rnacentral:lncRNA from 1 species
AAGCAAUGGGGUUUGACCGUGCAACUGUGCUCCAAGUGUUCUUUGCGUGCAACAAGAAUGAGGAACUUGCAGCCAACUACCUUUUAGAUCAUAUGCAUGAUUUUCAGGAUUGAGUUGGUAAAGGAAAUGACUAGGGGAAGUACAAUUUCAUUCUCUUUCGUUCUUUGGGUCCAUUGUCAUUCAUGUUCCCCCUCCCGUCCCCCCAAAACUCUACCGACUUUAUUCUUAAACAAGUGAUGUAAGUGUUUGGUGUAGAGACAAGGAAUGUGAAGAUGUUAACUUCAUUUUUUUUUCUUUUUUCUUUUUAUUUCAGGACCCAUUAUUUAUAACGUUAUAUACAAGUUUCUUUCUAAGCUUGUGCGUAUUGUACUUUACAUUUUAUGCUAUUAUAAGCACUUGCGACGAGGAGCUGCACCCAACUUUCAAGUUCUUCGAUCAAUACUCUUAGAGGUCUAGACAUGGAAAAGACUUAAGGCAGUAUGACGCAGCCAAAUUUUCCAUAAGGCGAAGGUAAAAACAAUGGACUAAGGAAUCGUCGGGUGGUGAACUCACACUUUUGAAGUGACAUUUUCUUGGGCCCAUUUCCCCCAAUUACUCCGUUGAGGUCUAACUCAAAAGUGAAAAUGAACAGAAUUUCAUAAUUGCUGGACAAUAUGACAUUCCCAGGAGCAAAGGAGCAAUAGAUUCAUGUUCAACAUUGCGAAAACAACAGGAUCCACUAGGUUCAUACCUCGAAGGAUCAUAAAAUAUCGGGUUGAGAGAGGUGUCCACCCACAUUUCUAAAGGAAGAACUUUAACUAUGAAGGAAGACGAGCUUUCCAAAUCAAAUUCCAGAGAGUUAGUUGACUACCCGGGGAAAUGUCAAUAGAGGGAGUACUAAAUGCUAGGAUGAAAGAAUAAGCAUUAGCCAAGGUAAAAGUUCCAGAUUUCGUAAGCCCCCAACCAACAAAAUUUGAUCCCUAGAGUGCUUAAGAACACAUCAAUUAAAUCUUGCGGGAAUUGGACAAAUAUCGAAUAAAAACCACUACGAUCCUAGCUAUUGCAGACUUGCUCGAAAGACCAAAACUCCUCCAAUGGCAGCAGGGGGCCUUGUACAAGAUUGCGGAGAGGGCCUUGUCUUGACCACUUAUCACUAAAAAAAUUCAUUGUUCUACCAUCCUUAAUAACCCAUCUCAUCUCUAGCUCAAUGAAGUGGCGAAUCUUCUUCAAAGAGGGUGUAUUCUGUACAAGGUUUGGAUUACUAGGGUCAGUGAUGUAUUUUGAUAUAAGGAUUUUAGCCCAAAGGGUAGCCUUCUCCUGGAUUAGUAUCCAACCAAGCUUUACUAGCAAAGCUUGAUUUUUAAUUAUUGCUUUUGAUAUACCCAAACCUCCAUAGGCUUUAGGUUGUACGACCAAAUCCCACUUUAGAAGUUGUCCAUGAUUUGUAUGAUCAUAACUUUCCUAAAGAAAGUUCUUGUUGAUUCAGUCUAGCUGACUAUGAAUACUGGAGGGGAGUAAACAACACUGCAUGUAAUAGUUCUGGAUGGAGGCCAUUGUUGACUGGAUAAGAACCAACCUUCCAAGGGAUAGAAAAUUUGGCUUUCCAAUAGCUUAGCUUGUUAUGGAAUUUAUCAACAAUAAAAUCAUAGUCAUGUUUAGUGACUCUCUUCAUGUGCAUAAAGAACCCAAGAUAUUUCACUAAAGCAUUGGAUAUGCUUUUUCUAGAGUCCGCACAUUUAGGGGAAAAAGCCACUUGGGAUUUCUCAAAGUUUAUAGUUCGUCUAGAUUCUACCAUGAAUAGCUAAAUGAUCCUUUGGAUAGAGGAUACCGGUGUAGCAUAAUUUUUUUGCCAACAAAAUGAUAUCAUAUGCAAAUAAUAAGUGAGAGAACCAGGGUACACUCCUAGAGGGUCGGAUAGGAGACCAAACUUGUUGAUCCACCACUCUUGAAAUUAACAAGCUAAGGAAUUCCAUGCAUAAAAUAAAUAUAUAAGGGGAGACUGGGUCACCUUAUCGGAUUCCUCUAGAUGGUUUGAAGCUAUUCAAUUUUGAUAUGUUUAACAGCACCGAGGUGGAUGUCGUCGAAAUACAACUCAUUAUCAACUUGACCCAACUAGGGGGAAACCAAAGAAUAUAAGAACUUUAUGAAUAAAGCUCUAUUGUAGCUUAUCGUAAGAUUUUUCUAGAUCUAAUUUAAUAGUCAUAAGAUCUUUUUCCCAUUACAAUGAGAAAGGGAAUGGCAAAUUUCCUGCACUAUCAUUGUAUUAUCCGAAGAUAAGCACUUAGGGAGAAAAUUGCCUUGGACCGAGGAUGUAAUGUCAUUGAGGAUGGGUUGAAGACUCAUAACAAGGAUCUUCGUGAUAAUUUUGUAGAAAGUAUUGCAUAAGCUUAUUGGUCAGAAUUGUGAGAUCGAAGCAACUUCCCUAGAUUUGUGAGUAAGCGCGAUUGAGGUUUUGUUUAGCUCAUUGGGGAUCGUAGAGUUAUAAAACACCAUCACAUCGUUGUGAUGUGGGAAGACUCCUCGUCACGAUGUCACCACCGUGAAAAUCCUUCCCAUCUUCAUCGCAUCAUCGUGAUGAGAGAAAUCUUCUCGUCACGACGUCAAGAGUAUUUCUGGCCUUGGCAGCUUCGUUGCUCUAUCAAACUGCCUUGUCUCGUGGCCCGAUGAUCAUCCCUUGAAUUCUUGGACCUGAAUUGACAUCCUACACACUCAAUUAGCCCAUUAUUCACUUACGAGGCCAAAGUCGGUCUUAUGAGUCAUCGAAAUAAAAGAAAAUGCGUAAAAAUACUUUUUUAUUAAUAUUUAGUUUCUAACCUAGUAAUACUGAAAAUGCAAUAAUUAAUUAUAAGACGCCUAGAAAACAAGCUCGUUAAAUGUAGAAAUGACCCAAACUAAAUACUACAUUUGAAGCCAGGUCACAUACCCCCACACUUAAGUCCUUGUCUUCAAGCAAGCAAAACAAAAAUAAAAAACAAAACAAAUUGAAAAUGAAAACUAAACAUGCAAGAAAAGAAAGUGCACUUGAACUAGCUUAAUGCAGGAAAUUGGGCAGAAAUGUAUUAAAAAGAUAAUGUAAAUAAACAUAUAAUUCUAGCAUGAUACACAAUUGACUCGCAAUUUCUAAAAUUAGACAGAUUAGUUCAUUAAAUUACAAAUCAAAUAAAUAAAAGAAUAUUAAGUAUAGGUAUCCAUCAAAAUAAAUAUAUAAAUAUACAAUUAUGUUCAAAUGAAUACAAGUGGUAAAAAUAUCAAAACUUGGCACGACUGCCAUCCAUAUAGAGUACUACUUAGGUCACAUAGGACUUUUUGGCUUGUAACAUUUUGCGGCUUAAGUUGGUUUGGAAUUCAAGGAACAGACUUGACAAAAUGGCUAAGCACAAAACUAGUUUGACACAUUGUAUUGUCCCUGAUACUCCCCUAAUUUCGAAUAAUCUCACCACCUUAUAUCCACUUCCAGGGGCGAAGCUAGAAAUUUUUUUAGGGGGGGCCAAAAUGAAAUUUUAAUUUUUAAUAGUCUAUAUUUUUAUAAUUUUCAAAGGAUUAAAUCAAAUUUUUAUAAUUUUAAAGGGCCAAAGUGAAAUUUUACCUUUACUAAAUUAAAAUUUUAAAAAUUUCUAAAGGACCUAAAUAGUAAUUUUCUAUUUUAGAAGGGUCGGGGCACCUGCCAGCCCCCUAGAUUCGCUUUUUUCAACUUCUCUCACCUUCCUUUUCUCUUCAUCAUUAAUGCCCCGUAUAGUAUUCAUGAGUACAAUCAUUCAAGCUUGAAAUAAAUUUUUUUUCUUUUCAUCGAGAUUUUUUGGAUUGGCAUUUUUCCUUAUUUUGUACAAGCUCAAAAUCUUAUACUCACUAUACCAUACAGUUCCUUAGUCACUCAAUUUUUUUUCUCUUUUCUUUUGAAACCACCAUGAUGCAUCUCAAUAUCAAUGGUCGGACAUCAAAAUCUGUGCAAGGACUAAAAAAUAAAUGAUCAAAUAGAUUAUAUAUUAGGCUUAAGGUUUCAUUUAGGGUUCACCAAGAAAAUGGAUUCAAGCACAAAUUAGGUACUAGGGAAAAUAUAUAUAGGGUUAGCUUUUUGGCUAAAAAAAUUGCCUACCAAAUAAUGCCUUAGGUCGUCCCUAGGUAUUUCAAUGCAUGGAUUAAAUCGGCUAAGUCUCUUGAACGCUUAUAAAUGUGUUAUUUUUUAUAGUAUAAAUAUUGCACCAAAAAUAUAUAAAAUUAAUUUGCGGUGUCUGCAAGCGUACAAGUCAGAUUGUAAUAUAGUAAAAUUUACAACAAAACAUUGGUAAGUAUUCUAAGGAUCAUACCCAAGGGAGGAUGAAAUAAAUCUAUAAAAACCUUUUUAGAAUAAUAAAUUUAAAUAGUAAUAAUUAAUUCCUGUAUUAUGAUAAGCCAUAAAAUAGAUUAAUAAGAGAAUUUAAAUAACUAAAACAAAUAAACAAGAAAAAUAACAAAUGCAUUAAAUUAGUAAAACCAAUUAGGAAUAUUAACUCGUUUCAGGGUUUGUAUUUAACUUUGGAUUAGGGUUUUAGGGUAGAUUAGCUACCAAUUAACCAAUUAUUACCUCCCGUCCUCUACUAAUUAAUCAAUUGGUUGAUACUUGCUUAUCUCCCGAUCUCACUUUCUCAACCAAGAUAAACUAAAAUUUACUUGAUUCGACUUAUCUCCCGAUCUCGUCUCACCUAUGAUAACUUCCUAGGGUUGUCAAGCCUAAGGUUUAAGAACACGUAACCUAUACCAACUAAUCCUCUCAGGAAACCCUAAAUUCUUCGUUAAUCACAUCCAUAUCCACUCGUUAAAAAACCCUUAAGGGAUUUAGCCACUCAUGUUAUUCAUAAUAUCUAACUCAAUCGAAUAAAUCAUGUAAAUAACAUGAUUGAAUCAGAAGAGAAAUGAGAUUAGAAUAAUCGUGGAUUGAUAUCGAAUAGAGAACAGUGUAGGAAAUUAUUAAUCGUAAUAAUAAAAUAUAUCGAUUGCAAUGAAGAAAUAAACUGAAUACUUUAAUAAAAUAAAAUAACUCUUGGAUCGAAACAAAUUCCAAGAGGAAAAACAAAUAGUUUAUGAAAAGCCAAAAUAAAAUUAAUCUAAUCCUACUCUUAAGUGCGAAAAUAACACGAAUUAACUACCACAUUUGAUGGCAGGUCAAAUACCCCUACAUUUAAGUCUUUUCUUGUUCUCAAGCAAACAAAACAAAACAAAAUAAAUACUAAAUAUGAACUAAACUGAAAACAAGAAAUAAAUAUGCAAGGAAAAGAAAAUGUACUCGAGCUAGCUUAAUAAAGUAAAUUGGAUAGAAACAUAUUAACAAGAUAAUGUAAAUAAACAUAUAAUUCUAGAGUGAUAUAAAAUUGACUUGCAAUUUCUAAAGUUAGACGGAUUAGUUCAAUAAAUUACAAGGCAAACAAGUAAAAUAAUGUUAAGUGUGGGUUUUCAUCAAAACAUAUAUACAAAUAUACAUGUAUGCUCAAAUGAGUAUAAGUGGUAAAAACAUCAAAACUUAGAACAAUUUCAUCCAUAUAAAUUACUACCUAAGUCACAUAGGACUUUUCGUCUUGUAGCAUUUUGUGAUUUAGGUUGGUUUGGAAUUCAAAGAAUAGGCUCAAUCAAACAAUUAAGCACGAAAGUAGUUUGUCACAUGAUAUUGUCCUCGAUACUCCCCCGAGUAUACAUAUGCUCACCACCUUAUAUCCACUUCCCUCACCUUCCUUAUUUCUCAAUUUACUAAGGCCUUGUAUAGUAUUUAUGAAUACAAUCAUUUGAGCUCAUAAAAAAAUUAUUAUCUUUUUAUUUCUUUUUUGAACAAAAGUGAGCGUACUUUUUUUCCAGCUCACAUUGUUUUUAUUUUUCAUCGAGAUUUUCUCGAUUGACUUUUUGUCUUAUUUUAUACAAGUUCAAAAUCUUGUACUCAUUAUACCAUACAAUUCCUUAGUCACUCAAAUUUUUCCGUUUCCUUUGAAACCACUGAGAUUUAUCUACCUAAUCCCUCAAUAUCGAUGGUUGGACGUCUAAAUUCGUGCAAGAACUAAGAAAUAAAAGAUCAAGUAAAUUAUCUAUUAGGCUUAGGGUUUCAUUUUUGGCUCAUCAAGAAAAUGGAUUAAGGCUCAAAGUAGGUACUAGGGAAAAUAUUUAUGGGAUAUCUUUUAGGCUAAAAAAUUUCUACCAAACAAUGCCUUAGGUCCUCCCUAGGUAAUUAUAUACAUGGAUAAAAUAGGCCAAGUCUCUCAAUUUCUAAAACUUAUAAUUCAAUUAAAUAUACAUGCUAUUUAUAUACCUGUUUAUCAUGUGGUAUUGUAACACUUUCCACCCGACCCGAAUCACCGAGUCUGAAUAUAGUGGGGUCCACAUGACAAUCCUACUGUGGGGUAGUUAAAUUAUCAUAUCAUGAAAAGAACCACUGAUAGAGGUCGUAGGUCUUGUUUAGGGACCUUCUCCUACUCAAUUUUUUAAAAACAUGCAAGGUUUUUAAUGUUCAAUUUCAAUCAUGAAUGAAUAAUAUAUGCAUGUCAAGUACAUGUGACAUUCUUCCCUAAACUAUAUGACAUGCUUAUCAUACAUAUGCAUGAACAUACAUUCACAGUCAUAUCAAUAUCAUCAUGAUUAUCACAUAUAUAAAAGCAUAAAAAUUUAAAAGACUCUAACUAGCCAAAGUUUCCAUGAUUCCAUCCUAGAAAAAAUAAAAAAAAUUCACCUCAAAGCAUACUUUGGGUCUUCUAUUUUGUCACCAUGGACUUAUGGUACAGUACCAGUUCACGUUUUCAUUGUCAUUGUCUUUUUGCAGCCAUUUUUGUAUCACUGUCGCUGAACCGCCAUUACCGACCAUAGUUGGGUUAUCUCAAGUCACCGUCGAAUCGCCUCUAGCCACCGUCAUCAGCCUCCAUCGCUAACCCUUGUCGUCGAUCAUCACCAUUAGACCACCAGUAGUCGAUUGUUGCCAGACCACUAUUGGUCUCAUGCUAGUUUGGUUGGGUCAGGUUUGCAUCAUCUUGAUGGCCUAGAUACGUCUCAGUUCUCCUAGUUCCGUUGAAAAAUUUAGGUAACAAAAUUCCUAUGUCCGUUUCCAGCUCAAAUAUUUUAUUCUAAAAUAAUAAAAUUAAACCAUGCGUGAAGAUGAUAGUCCACGAUCAAAAAUAUACAUGCCCGAUAAAUCAAUAAAUUUAAUUUAAUUUUCUAGGAAUCACAACUUUGGCAAAUUUAUUUUAUCAUACAUAAUAAUAAAAUAAUAUCAUGAAUUCAUUCCUUUAGACAUGCAUACAAUUACAAGAAUGACACAUCUUAUCAAAAUAAAACUAUAAACAUAAUACAACCCGACACUCUGAUACCAAUUUUUGGAAAAAUAAAUCCUAUUCGAAAACGAUUUUCUUGCAUAGUGAAAAAAUUUGAAAAUCGUGCCGAUUUGUGAUAUUUAUAGCAAUAAACCCUUUACCAAAAUCGCACUUGUGUUUUUAGCUAGAUGAAUCCUUCUCAUUCUUGGCUUUUAAUUGAAUGACCUUCUUCGUUAUUCUCAUACCACAAACUGCUUUGAGUGUGGGCUUGAACAAUUUGAAUCAAACACAAAACCAAAAAUAGUUUCCUUAACUUUUAGUGUGAAAAUGAAAAUCUCUUCUCAAUAGAAAUUGGAAAAAAUUUUAUUUUAGAAAAUAGAUUUAAUAUUUGAGAAUUAACUCUCACUAUUUCCGGGCAAAGUAACAAUAUCUUUGAGUUUUAUUUUUAACCCUAUCGAUGCCAUCUAUUUAUAGGGAAAAGAAGUUAAACCUUUGUUGAAUUAUAGAAGUGUAUUUCCAGUAGAAAAAUGAAGUCCUAUUAUAACUAGAAUUAUAGGGGAUGACAACCCUAGUUAAUAAUACUAGGGAUUGUUGUCCUUCCCUUUAACAUGCGGGGCUUUUGGGCCUCUCUCAUAACAAGUUAAAUUACAAGUACUUCCUGAACUUUUAACCUACUACUUUAUAAUUCGAUCCAACCCGAUAUUUGUUUUUUUUAUUUCCCAAAAUAAAUAUAUCAAUUUAUUUCCAAUUAAAUAAUCUUCUAAACCCAAUUCUAAUUCUGUUAAAAUCACGACUUUACCGUAAAAGAAACUAUGAGAAAAUAUAUUUAAUAUUUCUACAUUUAAUGGGUUCACUAUGACCAAAUUAUUUAUUUCCAUUUUCAAACUUCAUUUAAUUCAAAAACCAUAAAUUCAUUUUCAGGUCAUUAUAUUUUGGAGAAAAUCACAUUCAUUUCCAAAUGUUUCUCAUUUCUCCAUUUUCACCAUUUCUAUUCAUUUAAUUCAACAUGCAAUUUAUUUAUGGUUUCAACAAUAUAGUGGAAAUAUUGAUUGGACACAUACGAUUAGGGCUCAAAUAAUUUAUAAUUAAGUCCCCCCUUUUCGCCUAUUAAUUAUAAAGUCAUUUAGUCACAAAGUCAUUUCACUAUAGUAUCGUGAUUGAGCUCUUUCCAACGGCAUACCAUUAUGAAAGCAACUACUCAGUGCUCGUCUAAUGACCUUGUCAUAAGUGUGUUACCCUUAUAAGAUAUCAUUAAUCUCUUUGGGAUAAUAUAUGUUCUCCCAAUAUGAUCGUAUUUUAUUUCAUGGUAAUCAUUACAUCUUCUUUCAUGAAAGGUCAAUCAUUAUCAAAUAGUGAUCAAAUCAUCCAUCACAAAGACGGAUGAACCUUGGCCACGUUUAAUUUUCAUCAACUAUGUAAUGCCAAUGAGAGGGUAUCAUUUACCCAUGUUUUGGGCUAUGAAUUCCACAUUUGUGAAUCACUCUACAUACUACAGAAGUCGUACACCCAACACACCAGCUUUCAGUUCCUUAUAUAUUUGAACUCAAACUUUUACUUACAUCAAAGUAUACGAGUCAUACAUACAUAACCCGUCAUUCACUUAGGAUUUAGGUAUGCCACACUGUAAACAUCACAACUAAAUAAAUACAUAAACGAAUUCAGGAUGUAUUCUUCUUCGGUCCAGUCCAAUGUACUAUCAUUCCAGUUAGUCACAUCUAUGUCUCUAUCUUUUGGGAGUCAUCCACUUUGAUGCCCAAGACAAAACAUCUCCCCAAUUGGACUUGAUAGAUGGUAUAUUAGUCUUUUAAUCGGUUUUGCUCAUUUCUAAUUAGACUAAGGACAUGUUUAGGUUCAUCUACUAAUAUAAGUUUUCUUUUCGUAUUACAAUACCACCACAUAAUACCGCUUAGUAUUAGUUUAAACAUUAGACAACUAGUGAGCCAAUAUUUGCUUCUAUUUUAAUUUGCAUGCAGAAACCACAUAAGGAAAAUUAUACAAAAUAAUAUUAAUGUAAUUCAUAAUUUUUUGUUAAUCAAUCUGUUUGAAAAAAAUACAAGUUUACAAACGAAUAUACUACACCCGUGGCAUGAGAUCCAACACUUCCUUCUUUUUCGUGUAACUAGGAAUGUUGAAUUUUUUCGACCUUAAAUCCAUACCUCUAAUCCUAAACUUCCCUGGCACCUUGUCUUCUCUUUUUCUUUUUGGGAAUUAUUGCUUCUUAGGAAUGCUGUCACCUUUAAUUGCAAUGCUAGGUAUGGUAGAAUUAGGGAGCGAGCUUUGGUUGGGGCAUGUGAAUUCUUUAUUGUAUCACUAGCUUUGAAGGUAAAUACCCACCCUUUUCAAUGAUGGUUAAUUGGAAGUCGCCUCGUCAAAGAUGGAAAAAGCACAAUACCAAUGCAUCAUCACUUGGCAAUCCCAGUAAAAUAGUGGCGGGGACAAUUAUCUGAGAUCAUGUUGGUGGUUUGGUUAUAAGAAGUUAUCGAUAUAUCCCCAAAGCUAACAUCAUCAAGGCUGAGUUGCAUGUGUUGUGAGAUGGCCUUAAACUUGUUGUUGAUUUGAAAAUCUCGCAUUUAGAAAUAGAAGUCGAUUGUACUGUUGUUGUUUCUUUUAUUUCUAGUAUGCUUAUUACUAAUCCUUUUGAUAUGUUGAUUAAUGAUUAUAGUUUGCUCUGUGCUUCUAUCCCGAAUACUAGAAUCAAACAUAUUUUCAAAGAAGGAAAUUAGAGUGUUGAUGCCGUAACACCUUAUACCCGACCUGAUCGCUAGGUUCGGGUACUAAGUGUCACAAUCAACCCAAUAUACUUAACAAUAAUUCUAUAUUGAUUUACUUUCAACUUUUACAUUCUAAGAUAGGUUUCUUAUAUAUACAUAACUUCACUCCAAUCUUGUAACAUCCCGAUUUAGAGCUUAGUCGGAACAGUGGUUUCGGGACCACAAAUUUGAUGAGGAAAAAAUUAUUUUUACUAUAUUUUUAUGGCCUACAAUUUCACGGAAAGAUUUCUUGAAAAUUUCGUUCAAAAAUUUUGACGUUUGGGCACUCAAUUUAGUCAAAAGGACUAAAUUGUAAAAAGUGUGAAAGUUGAGUUUUAUAUGUUAAAGGUAUUUAAUUGUUAUGGAACUAUAAAUUAGGGGUCCUUAUAUGGUAAUUAUACCAUUAGUUAGUGAUGGAAAAAAAUGGACAUGAGAUAAGUGAAAUAGGAUUUUUUUUAAGUAAGGGCAUUUUAGUCAUUUAGUAAAUAAAUAGAAUUAAAAGGGAAAAAGAUGUAAAAAUUGUAUUCAUCAUCUUUACUUGCUGCUGAAAUUUGAAAGAAGCCAUAGCUAGGGUUUCUUCACUUUCUCAAGCUCAUAGUAAGUGAUUUCAAGUCCCUUUUUAAUGUUCUUUAUGUUUUUGGAAUCCCGGUAGCUUAAUUUAGCUUAUUUUAGCAAUAAUUUAACCUAGGGUUCAUAUUUGGAAAAAUACCCAUAGGUGAAAUAUGUUUAUUUUGAUGUUUUAUGGUAGAAUAUGAAGUUAGGAAUUAUGUUAAACAACUUUUUCUAGUCGAUUUUAAGUGAAAACGAGUAUAUUGACAUAAUCGGCAAAAAUACCUAAUGUUCAUAAGUAAGUGUUAGAGUAAGAAUUUGAUGUUGUCAUAGAAGGAAAAAAUUUUCAGCAUGUUAUAAAACAUAAUAAUAAGAUAUGAAGUUUAAUUUAUGAGCUUUGGGGCAAAAGUGUAAAUAUGCAAAAGUUUAGGGGCAAAACUGUAAUUUUGCAAAAAUUGAGUCAAGGACUGUUUUGAUGAAUGUGAGUAUUAAAUACGCCAAAUUUGCUAUUAUAGAUCAAGAAGAACGAAUCCGGAGCUAGAUCGGGGAAAGAAAAAGAUUGAGGACUAAAGUGUUAGAUUUGAUCACAUUUUUGAAUUCGAGGUAAAUUUACGGUAAAUAAAUGCAAUAUUUCAAUAAUUAUUAUUAAUACUGCUAUUUUCCAACAAUUAUGUACUUAUUUUAUGAAAUUAUUUAAUGUUGACUUAAGAAUGAGAUGACAGAGAAUCAGUGAUAAAAGCCCCGUUGAAACAUAAGGAAUGUAUCGGAUACAAAUGUCAUGACAUUUGGAUAAAGAGAUCUCAUGUAAUACCAUGUCUGGGACAUGGCAUUGCCAUCAUUGAGAUUAUGUGAGGUCCCAUGUAAGACCAUGUCUGGGACAUGGCGUUGGCACCGAGAUGAGAGGUCCCUCGUAAGACCAUGUCUGGGACAUGGCAUGGGCACCAAUAUGAGAACUCCCAUCUAAGACCAUAUCUGGGAUAUGACAUUGGCAGUACUGGAAACAUCUCAUGUAAGACCAUGUCUGGGAUAUGGCUUUGGCAUGUUAUUAUCAAAUAUCAGACCCAAGUAUCCUUAUUAUUCCAAUGUGGCUCAACGGGCUAGAAAACAAAUUAUGUUCUAUGUAAGUUCAAGUAAAAGUAUAAUUAGCAGCUUCAGGUGAGUUAUAAGAGUUAAGAAUAUAUUAUGUUAUCAGUGAGAACCAAUAUUUCAGCAAGAGAAGAGUAAGUUGUAAUCUAAAGCUAUCUAAGCAGGUAAGUAAGUAAACAAGUAAAUGAGAUUAAGUAAAGAGAAAGCUUAAGAACAUGAUACUUGCAUAUCAUUAUUUAUGUUAAAUGCUGUUAUUUAUUUACUUGUAAACUUACUAAGCUUUAUGCAUACUUCUUUUAUUUCUUUUUUCUUUCAUAUAGUAUUAUCAAGCGUAGUCGGGAUCUUGAAGACGUCGGAGAGCGUUCACACUAUCAACCACCACAACUCGGUAUUUUAAGACGAUAAAUGUUUCGAGCUAUGGCAUGUAUAGGGACUUGGUCAUUUCGAUUUUAUAUUCUUAAGAUAUGACCAAAAGAUGAUAUGUAAAUAUUUGAUGAUGAAUAGUUAUUAAAAUGACUAAGUAUGAACGUGUUUGUUGUUAUAAAUGUCUAGGUGAUAAAUUAUGCAUAGAAAUCAUGAAAAAGUAAAAAAAAAUGUUAGCGAAUCAGUUUUGAGACAACAGUAGUGACGUGAUUUUGAAAAAUCACCAAGAAUAGUAGAAAAUGAAUUAGAGGGUGGAUGAGAUAUAGAAUUAAAGCUUAUUGAGUCUAUUUUAUAUAAAAAUAACACUGUAGACAAAGGAAUUAUGUAUUAUGAGAUAUUUGCAUUUUAGUUAGACAAGGUCAAAGUGGUUUUCGGAAUCUCCUGUUCUGACUUUAGAAAAUCAUUAAAACUUGUACAAAAAUAGUUAUGAAUUGUAAUUUAUAUGUCUAGAUUUAUUAUUGAGUGUAUCUUCUGUAGGAACAAGUGGGAACACCAUAUGAAGUCUGUAAAAUGAGAUAAUUAAAUUUUAGUGAUGAGAGGUCAGGACAGUCGAUCAGUGAAGUAGGGGAGACUUUAACUAAUAAAAUAUACUAAUUGGAUAAAACCAAAAAUUCUGAAAAAUUUAUGGUAAAUAUAUAUAUGAUUCUAGUUUUAGGGAAAAUUUAUAGAUCUAAAUUUCAGGUUUCGUAGCUCGAGUUAUAAUUGAUUUAGUAACUACUGCGCAAGUGGACAACUUUGUUGUGAAUAGUGAAAUUAAUUUCAAAAGUAAAAUUUUAUUCCCCGAACUUUUAAGUUAAGUCAAGUAACGCCUCAUGCUCGACUCCGGCAACCGUCUCGGGUAAGGGGUGUUACAAAUAUAUUUAGUUAACAUGUUAAAAAAUAUCACUACAGAUAAAAUUUCUACUAUUUCUAAAGUUCUUAGUAUCAAAUUACCUUAUUGAGCAGGUUUAAGUUUAUAAGUGUACAACAACUUGGGAAUUAAAACUUCUAUAAAAGCCUUCUAUAAAAGCCUUCUUAUUCGAACCCCGAGGCAUAGCCUCUAAGGGUGCCUCUUUAAAUGCAUGUACAACUAUGGCACCAUUUGCGUAACUUCACAACGUUUGGCAUAGUCCCUUCCUAACCCUUGAAUCAUUCUUUAAUCCUGCAUACAAAACAGUAAAAUCAUAAGUUUUGAUGAACUUAGUGAGAUUCUAUACAUCAGAAAUUAAAGGCUCUCAAAUUUUGGGUAAAUAAGAAUAAGAGUAUAGAAUUUAAAACUCCUUAGCAAAACUUAGGAAUUUUGUAGUAACACUAGAGUAGCUAAUGCUCAUGUCUUCUUUGAACCAAUCAUUGGCGGAUAUAACUGCUGAUCUGAUCAUAGGUGCACUCUUUCAAACAACCCAUUUCUGGGGCCCAACCUUGUCUAGCUCCAUCUUAGGCUCCCAUUUUACCUUUCUGGCUCGACUAAUCAAGGUUCCAUAUACACGAAUAUGCGAUUUGACAACUACUUUUGGUGGACUAUCAGGUAUCUCACCAUAACUGUGGAUCCUUACCCUAAUCUCUUCGUUCCACCCUGAACUCAAAAUAGGCUUACUACAUUACCCCGAUAAUUUUCUUUUUAUGACUUAUCCUGUGCUUAAACCCUUAUUCUAAGGAAGACCCAUAUACUGAGAAUCUCAUUUGCUAUCUUGAAUUUGAGAUUUGGCUGAUACAUGAUCACCUUGUUCUUUGCAGACUUGUACUCGUCAAUAAUCUCGGAAGACUUUCCUAUUUCAGAUCGUUCUAUUAAAAUACUCCCAGUAACAGAUAGUUCCCUACGAAGUAUUUCUUUCUUAGAUUUCCCUUGGCAGGCUUUCACAUUUGAUAGUCCUAAGAGGACUUCCCUGCUCUAUACAGUCAUGAUAGACUUUCGUUUCUUCUAUUAUUUCCCGAUGGACUUUCUACUUCAGAUUGUCCUUGGUGUUUUUCUUUCUUAAGAAAGUCCUCGAUGGACUUCCCUCUUAUUCUAGCAACCUCUUUACCCAUGAAUACUUAGGAUUAAUAUUUGCAGAAUCAUCUCACUUUAUUACAACAAAAAACUUGUUUACUUAUCGAACUUUGGUGGACCUUUAUGGUGGAUACCUAUUUGCCAAUACUUUGAAGGAAUUCCUCUUUCCUCUCACAUAUACCCUUGUUAAGACAUUUUUACCAGUUCUACUUACCUUCGCAUUUUUGAGGAUUCUCUUAUUAUCAUGUUUGCCCGUGUUCGCAAAUGCACGAUGCUCAUUUUGUUAGACUUCUUGUCGCGCGAAUCAUACAGUGAUUUCCCUUUUUUUGUGCCUUGACAGGUUUCCUACUUACUAUCCUGGGAGACUCCAUUUCACCAUAAAGUCUACCUGUUCACCACUAGAUUAUGUCAUGGCUAACCAUGGACUUUUGAUUUUGAAAAAUUAGUAAACCCCUUUCAAAAUGUCGUCUCAUAGGGCCUGUAUGUCAUUUACACAGUGUCGCCUUGAAGGACCUAUAUAUUGUAGUCAUGGUGUCACCCUAAAGGACCAUUAGAUAAUCGUCAUCACAGUGUCGCCCCAAAGGACUAGUAGAUAAUUGUUAUCACAGUGUCGCCCCAAAGGACAAGUAGAUAACUGUCGUCACAGUGUCGCCCUGAAGGACCAGUACAUAUCUGUUCCACGAUGCCACUAAACUCCCUUGUAUCCCAUAACAAUUCAUCAAUUCCUUCAUUACGCUAAUUUUUCCUAUCUUCAUCCAACCGUCAUAAUAACUCCUUCCAUACUUCUCAUUUUAAAAACAUGUUUUUUUCACUUAUUACUAUAACAUAUAACAUGCCAUAUUUCAAUACAUCAAUAUUGGUCUGCUGCAAUUUGUUAAAGCAGAUUAAACCAUUUUUCGUACUUAAAGAGCUUGAAUAAAAGCAAUUUCAUCAUGUUUUACUUAGCUUUUCACUUUUAGUUAUGAAAUAAUAAAGAGUGUGAUUUGAGUCAUUUAUAUGACUUUAGGGCCAAAAUAGGUUAAAAGAAGACUAACGUGUUUGGUGAGUGUGCAAGACAUCAUUCAGAUGUAUGGAAACACAAGACUAGUCACCAUGUUCCAACAUAGAGGUUCGACGUCGCAACAUAGUGAGAAGUAUAACCAAAAUAACAAGACUGCCUUUAGUGUCGUGACACAACCUUGAAUUUAAGCCUGAGCCAAGUAAACUACAACCAAUGUUACGACAUAGGGCAGAUGAUGUCGUGCCACCGGCCUGAUGUGAAGAAUUAAUGAGUUGAUGGUGUUUUGGUCUACACAAUGAACUUUAACAUAAAAACGUCAGUCAAACUAGGGCUAUGAACGAUAGCCAACCUUAAAUUUGUAAAUAGGUUUCACUAAACACUUCUUAGACAACUUUUCUAUAUGUUUAAACUUUUAUUCUAGUUUAGGUUACAAAUUUUAUUUACUUUUCAAUUUUUACUCCUUUGUAAUUAGGAUUUCUUUUCAAUUUUAUUUUCACUUUUGUUUGACGGAGAAUCUGGUUGGUAGAUUCAUCAAACUCUUAUUAAAAAAAAUGUUACUUUCCAACCUCCUUAUAUGCAAAUACGCUAGUAGAGGGCCAAACCAAGUGACCAUACUGUAUGUGGUCAAAGACUGGAUUGAAUUGAGGGAGAGAUACAGUCAAUGCAAACUGAAGUGAAUCAGGUGCAAUUUAAGUGCACCUAAAUGAUAAAAACAUUGACAAGACUAGAAGAUCAGAUGAGCCAAUUGAUAAGCAUGAUGGGGAAUAACAAAAGGAAAAUUGACACCGGGAUCCCAAGUAGUAUUGAGAAUAAUCCUCAGAGAGAAAGGAAGGAGCACAUUAAAGCAAUUGUGCUCUAUUUGGGCAAAGUACUCAGUAGCCCAAAGAACCCAACUCAAGAGGAGUGCAAGAAAGAUGUCGAUGAUUUUUGAGAAGAAGCUCCUUGAAAUGAUGAUGCUGAACUAGAACCAAAAAAGGUAGUCGAGCCGACAACUAAGUCGGUAGCUGAGCCAAAUAGAGAACCCGCACCAACCAAGGUACCAUUCCCUUCACAGUUAGAGGAUAAGUGGAAACAGGAUCAAGCGAAAUUUGUAAUUUUUCUAAAAUUAUUCAAGUCGUUUAAUGUUAACUUACCUCUAAUGGAAGUAAUUGAAAAUUUUCCUAAAUACUCCAAGUACUUAAAAGAAUUUAUGGCUAGGCGUAUGAAAAUUAAAACGGAGAGCAAGCUAAUAUAAAUGCAUCAUGUAGUGUGAUGAUUUCUAAAUAGAUACCCCAAAAACUGAAAGAUCCAGGGAGUUUUGCAAUUUCUAUAGAGAUAGGGGAUAUUCACUUUAAUAAGGCUCUAUGUGAUUUAAGAGCCAAUAUAAAUUUGAUGCCCUUAUCGAUAUACAAGAAACUGAGGUUAGCGGAACUUAAAAACACACAUAUCACACUACAAUUAACUUCUAGGUCUUCGGUAAAAUGAAAAGGAGUACUUGAAGAUAUGUUGGUUAAGGUGUGUAGCUUUAUAAUCCUGGUCGAUUUUAUAAUUAUGGACUUUAAGGAAGACCAUGAGAUACCUAUUAUGUUAGGUAGACCAUUUUUAGCCAUGACAAGGUCUGCCAUUAAUCUAGAAAAUAAUGAGUUAAUCAUGAAAAUCAAUGGCGAGAUUGAAGUAUUCAAAUGCGGUCACCAGUAGAAUGAGGGAAGUAGGGAAAAGUUAGGGAAAACAUGUUUUGAAAUAUUUGUAAACAUCCCUAAUUACCUUGAUUUGGAAAAGGUAUUUUUUUGUGAUAAGUGCAGGUCAAAAGAGAUUCAAGGAGCGGACCAAGGUGGAGUGGCAUGAUGGAUUUUGGACCAACACAGAUAGAAGAUCGAUUAAAGGGACAUCUAAGAAUACACUGACUAAGCUAACGGACGAAUCCGACAACAAUACUUGAUAUUUUUAAAUUGAGUUAAUUUUUUUGUGUAUUAUUGCAUUUUAAUAGACUUAUGGGUAGUUUAAGAAUUAAUUUUAUUUAACCUAUCUAAAAAUAUGUUUUGAACAUUUUGAAACUCGAGAAGAAGGGCCAAAACAGAGCCGAUGUUGCAAUACGAACCUGACUGCCUCCGGACGUACCAACAUCCAGAGUUUGAAUACUAGAACUAAAAUAUAUGGAAUUAAGGUAGUGUCCGCAAGUAUACGGGUCAGGUUGUAAUAUAAAUACAACGAAGAAGGUAACUUCUCCGAGGAUUGUACCCAAUGGAGGCGAGUACUAAAUUAAUGUCAACCUAAAUACAAAUAGAAGUAAUUAGUGGUUUAAAUAAAUUAUAGUAUGAUAAAACAUAAAAGAAUUUUUUUUGGGAUUUUAUAAAGAAUGAAAUAAAAAUAACAAAAGGAAAGUGAGCUUUAGAAAUAUAAAUUCUAACUUAAUCAAAUCUAAGUAUGGGUGAUUAGUUCACUUUGGUGAUCAUAACUAAUUCCUAUUUCAGGUUUCUACUUAAUCAACUAGUUGCUACCCUAGAAGGAUCUCUCGAUCUUCCACUAGACUAACGAGUUGGAAAGAACUAAUUAUCUCUCGACUUUACAGUUCAAAUCGAUUUGGGGUAAAGGUGUUCACGGAUAGGCCAUACCAAUUUUGGGUUAAUUCCCACCUAAAUUACUUCCUAGGGUCUCCAAGCCUAAAGUUUAAGUUCUUCCUCUCCCUAACAGCUGAUCCACUAUGAAAACCCUACAUAGCAAUUAAUGAAUCACACCUCCACCCACUAAUCCCCCAUAAAAGGAUUAGUUCCUUGUGGAUCUCAUGUACACAGUAAUCUUGAUAAUAAAGAUAAGCAUGAAUAAUGAAUCAAGAUAAAUUUUUAAGAGAACCCUGAAUUGUAUUGAUUGAAGUAUAGAAUCUAUAGCAGUUUGAUCACAGUUACAAGUCACGUUCUCUGACGAACACGGAAUAGAAUAGAACUGAAAUAAACCUAACACCUAAAAUAAAGGAAAAAAUAAAGACUAAAUUUACAAGGAAAGUAAAAGUUGUCUAAAAUAAGUGUUUUAAGAGCCUAUUUAUAGAGUUAGGGUUGCCGUCGUCCUCAACCUUAGGUCAGCUGACGUUCUUGUGUUUUAAUUUCCAUUGUGCAGACCAAAAUGCCUCUGAUGUCGUGACACCCUAGUUCUUGUGUCGGGACAUCAAAGGUAGUAUGCAUGGUUCAAGGCUAACUUCAGUAGUGUGUCGUGACAUCUCUUGGCUAUGUUGCGACAUCCAAGGUAGUAUAGUUGUUCUAGUAUUCUGCUCCCUAUGUUGCGACAUCGAAUCCCCGUGUUGCAACAUAGCGACUAGCUUUGAGUUUCUAUGCAUUUGAAUGAUCUCUUGCACACUUAGUAAGUACGUUAGCUCACAUUUAGGCCUCAGUCGGCCCCUCAGGUAAAUAAAAGACUCAAAAUGCAGUUUUUAUUGAUUUAACUAAACUAAGAAAACACAUGUAAAACAUACUAAAAUUUCUCAUCUUCAAGCUCCUCAAGUGUGAAAACUAGUUUAAUAUUCUACACCGAAUUACAAUAGAUCAAACUUUCCUACACUUAAGUCAUUGCUUGUCUUCAAGCAAAGCAAGACAUAAAUAAAAACAUAAAAGAAUACCCUUGAAAAAGUAUAGUACAAAGAUUGGUUUUGGAGUACAUAACUAGGCAUUUUCAUGUUUACACAUAAUCCUGAAAUGAUAUAUAAACAACUUACUGAUAACUCUUGAAAAAAGUUAUAUCUCAUGCUUUUAGACCUAGCUAAUUGCUUGUACUUAAGUACAUUUUGUUGCAUUUUAGAACAUUUUAGUUAGCAUUUUUAAAUAUUGCAUUAGGACUUGGAUUGUGUUGGAAUUAGGUGCUUUUAAUCGCUUGUAGUGGAGUUUUUUUUAACUAGUAGGAACAUGUUUUUGAACGAGAACAUAAAGGAGUGAAGUUUUUUCAAGGCAAAGUACAGACAGUUUGCCAGCGCGGAUGCCGUUACAAUGCCAGGAAGACCAAGUCAACAUUUUUCGUACUGCAGUCUCGGUUCAAAUUCAAACUUGUACCAAAUAAAUCCCCCUAAAAUAGGAGAAGAUAAUCAUAAGUUGUUAGCCAACCCUAGCCUAAUCUAUCUAUAAAUACCGAUGAAGGGGACCUCACAAAUGACAAAAAAAGGAGAGAGAGAUCCUUAGGCAUAAAUAAGGGUAUGACUGCGCAAAGGAAAGGAAGUUGAAGGUAGUCCUUCUUAGCCAUCAUAGGAUGCUUUGCUGCCAAAGUGUGGAUUGGGCAUGCAAAAGUUAUUUCUUGAAGUUCUUCCGUUAUUUCCAUUAGUGUUCCUUUGAAAUAGUGAAUUAAAGUAGUGGAACGCAAUGUCGGAUAAUGUUUUCGUUUGGAAUUUUAUUUCCCAGCCCAUGAGUUAAAUCCCAUAGGGUUGGGAUUACUUUCGAUGAAACUUUAAUUGUUUAUGGUGCAAUAUAUAUUUGAUUUAUUUUUCUGUUUCAUUUGAUUGUUUUUAUUUCGUAAUUUAAAUGCAACGAUCUCUAGACAUAGAAGGCUAUCGACAUACUAUAAACUGAUUCUAAUUCUAGAAAGGCUGGAAUGGUUGGAUAAAAAUUAAAUGAAAUGAGCAAGUAUUCGAUAGACACUUGUAGUUGACUCUAGACAUAGAGUCACAAUCAUAAAAUAGGAACCCAUGCAAGAUAUCUAAAAAGCCUAUAGACACAGGCAAGGUAACUUGAGGUUUUGCUCUCGCGAGAGGCAAGCCAUUUUAUAACUCUUCCGUGUAGUAAAGUAGAUACGAUUUUGCCAAGGCAUUACUGACAGUAAGGGUCAAGUCUGGGUAAUCCCGACCUUCCAUAUCAAUAACACUCUAUCCUUAUUCUUUGUCGUAGUAUCUCUGCCACAACAUAUUUAGUUGUUUAUUUCUGUUCGGAUAAUCACUCUCGUUAUUGCCAUUACAUUUCUACUUUCACUUUUGCCAUUACAUUUCUACUUUCACUUUUGCCAUAGCAUUUCCAAUCACUCAUCAAUUUUCAUCUAUCGCAUACUUUACUGCAUACUUACCUUAGUUUACCAUUCAUCAAUCUUAUCAUAGCAUUAACCAGAUUAUAAUAACUUGACAACUUCUGUGCCUCGAUCUGGUCCUCAUGGGACCGGUACUCACUCAUCACUUUAUUACUUAAACUGACGUGUAUACUUACACAAAAUCACAUAUCAUUUUACACGUGACACUUACCGCUCCUAAUAUUAACCACCUAAGUUCAGUAUAUUACAAAGUACACAAGUAUUAAGGUUUUCAAAUAUAUGCAUCCAUCAACAAAUCAUAUAUGUAAUUUGAUUAUCCUAGCAAAAUAUAAACAAUCGUGAAAGCAAUUACUUAGUAUGAUGUCAAUUGAUCAUUAAGUCUACCUAGGUCACAUAAGACUUUUCGGCUUCUAUCGUUCUGAAGCUUAGGACGGGUAUGGAAUUCAAGAACAAGAAGCAUUGAUUACCUCUAGACGUACCCACGUCCAGAGUAGAAAUCCUGCACAGAAUAUAUGAAAAACGCGAUAUCCGUAAGUAUACGGGUUAGGUUGUAAUACAGUUACAACAGAGUAGAAGAGUAGUCUGAGGAUCGUAACCAAGGGAGGCGAACACUAAAUUAAUUCUAACCUAAGCAUAAAUAGAUCUAGUUAUUACUUUAAAUAGAUUACAUUACGAUAAAGAAAAAAGAAGGUUUUUAUGAUCUAUACUAAUAAUAAAAUAAAUAAAUAAGCUCAGGAAAUCAAAUAAUAAAAUCUAUCAAAUCUGGGCAUGGGUGAUUAGCUUGCUUCAGUAAUCAUAACCAACUGUUACUUCGGAUUUUCUUAUUCCAUCGACUAGUCAAUAUCCCAGUAGGAUCUUUCGAUCUUCCACUAAAAUAAUGAGUUGGUAACAACUACUUAUCUCUCGAGCUCACAGUCCAGACCAGUUCAGGGUUAAGGUGUUUACGGAUAGACCAUAACAAAUUUGGGUUAAUUCCCACCUUAAUGACUUCCUAGGGUUGUUAGGCCUAGGGUUUAGGUUCUUCCUUUCUUGAAUAGUUGAUCUGCUAAGAAAACCCUACAAAAUAGCUAAUCAAUCAUACCUCCAUGCACUAAUCCCCCAUAGGAGGAUUAGUUCCUCAUGGAUCUAAUAAACAAUAUAAACUUGAUAAAACAAAGUAACCAUGAAUAAUAAUUCAAGAGUAUAAAGUUUAGUAGAAGCUUGAUUUGUAUUAGAAUUGAGCACAAAAUCCUCACAGGGUUUGAUUGUAUUUCACAAAUUUGAUCUCUCCCAAAAAAGCAAAUAACAAGAACUAAAAUUAACUUAAAACCUAAUAAGGGAAAAACUAAAGACUAAAUCUAGGAAGAAAAUUAUACAAUACAAAAGCCCUUCCCUAAUAUGUGCAAAAUGAGCCUAUUUAUAGACUUUAGAAUAGUCGUCGUCCUUAACCCUAGGCAACUGCUGUCCUCGUGCUUAACAUUUGAUUAUGUAGACCAAAAUGCCCUUAGCUCGUAAUUAUUUCCCGAACAAAGGUGAUGUCGAGAUAGACUAGGUCUUGUGUCAUGACAUCGAGGGUAGUAUGCUCAUUUUCCAGGUAUCUUCAGGGGUGUGUCGCGACAUCCUCAUGCUGUGUCGUGACACUGAAAGAAGUCUUAGAAUUCUUCUACUCUGCUUCCUAAGUUGUGACAUACAAUGCUCUGUGUUGCAAUACAUCGACCAGUAUCGAGUUAGCAUGCCUUCAUGCUCAUAAAGUAUAUUAGCUCACCCUUAGAUGUCUUUCGCCCUCUAAGGUUAAUAAAAGACUCAAAUUACACACUUUAGUAAAUUUAACUAAAUUUACAAAAACAUAUUUAAAACUUAACUAAAAUGCUUAUGUUCAAGCUCCUAAAGUGUGAAAACUAGUUUAAUCUACUACAUCGAAUUACAACAGAUCAAACUCUUCCACACUUAAAUCAUUGCUUGUCCUCAAGCAAAACAAAAAAAAAAGUAAAUGAAAAGACGACCCUUGAGCAAGCAUGGCAGAAAUGUUAGCUUUGGAGCAUAUGAAUAAGCAUUUCAUAUUCAUACAGAAUAUUGGCAUGAUAUAUAGCUGACUUACCACUUUUGAUAUCAAGGACCUAUGUUCAGUAUAUUACAAAGCAUACAAGCAUUAAAGGUCUCAAAUGUAGGAAUCCAUCAAUAAAUUAUAUAAGUAAUUUGAUUAUCCUAGCAGAAUACAAACAAUCAUACAUGCAAUUAUUUAGUAUGAUUUCAAAUUGUGAAUAAGUCUACCUAGAUCACAUAGGGUUUUUCAGCUUGUAACAUUCCAAGGCUUAAGAUUGGUAUGGAUUUCAAUAACAAUAAGCAUCAAAUAGUUUCAAGCACAAAAAUAGUUUGGCACAUCGUAUUGUCCCAUAUUCUCCCUUUUAGUGACCCUUUCCUGCUCACCGCCUUAUUUCUCCUUCUCUCCUCUUUCUUUUAUCUCCUUAUAGUAAACCUUAGCAUCAUAUAGUAACUACAACUAGCUCACGAGUUUUUGUGCAAUAAUGAUCAAGUUUUUCUAUAGUUGUGACUUUGUCACUUUUCUUUCCUUUUCAUAGUACCUCAUUCAUAAUUGUUUCUAUUUUUCACGUAUUCUUUUCCUACUCGUUUAAAUUUUUUUUUGAAUAUAUCUUUUUUUUAUAGUUUUAAGCUAACCUAUAAUCACUAUACUCUACUAAUCUUUCAUAUCACUUUAUUUUUACAAAGCUACCAUAAUGUAUCUAUUUAACCCUCAAUAUGUAUGGCCAGACGUCUAUAAUCAUGCAGUUCAAGACUAAAGAAAAGGGUAAGCACAAAUCAUCGCUUUUAUCUCACAUAUUGUAUAGAGGUUCAUCAAGAAGUGUUUUCUGGCUCAAAAUAGAUACUAAGGAUGAAUAAAUAGGGUUAGCUUUUUGGCUUUGGGUGUAUACCAAAGAAUGCCUUAGGUCAUCCCUAGGUUUCUGAAUAUUCCCAAAUUUAGUCAACCAAACAAUCACAAAUUCAAUAAUUUAUCAUUCAUACUAGCAUUCUCGUUUCCUAGUAUUCUCUAUGUCAUUUGGUACAAUCAAUUGCUUCAUACCUAUUUACAAUGUAAUAUAUAGAACUUAAUAGUCUAAUAAUAAAAAAUUUAAAAUCACUUAUCCUCAUGCCAAAUUUACUAUAAAUACAAUCAACCUAUGUACAUGCUCCUAACCAAUCACUUGUACUUUUACAAGCUCAAGCACACAAAUGAUAAGAAAAAUCGAAGAAAAAAAAAAAUUAAAAAAAAUCUUCUAUGUUACCCCCCACACUUUAGAUAACUCAUCAUCCUCAAUGUGUAGCCCUGAAAAAAAAUAAGGAACAAAGUUACCCUAUUGAUCGUGAUAGUUUCAUAGACUAUUGGUGGGUACCUCUGUAAACUCGAAAUUAUAUAGGGUUUUUCUAUAUAAUUUUACCACCUUUUUACUUAAUUAUUUUGUUUAUCUUGAGUAAUUAUUAUUGAAAUAGGUUAAUUUUAAUUAAUUAGUAAUUUUGAACAUGAAUUUUGAAAGUAUGUGAAAUUAUGCUUAAUUACAUUAUUUUUAUGCAUAUUUUAUAUGAAUUCAUGUUAAUUUAUUAAUGUAUUUAUUUUUCACCAUGUAGAAGGUCCAUUGGAGACAUGAUUUAAAUAAAUAAAAGAUGGUCAUGCACAAACUAUCCAUAUGGAUGGCAAGACCAUGCAAUUUUGGGCAUGGGGUUGACUAUUUGACCCAGUAAGGAAGAUGAUGAAUGAUGUACAUAUUUGCUAAGUUAUUGGACUGAAAAAAGUUGUCAAACAAGGGGAAUUAAAAGCCCAAUUUCAGCAAUAGAAGAUGGCUACCAAAAAUAUGUUUUGAAAUAUUUAAUGGAAGGUCCUUACAGUUGGAAAAUAAUUAGAAUUCAGCCCAACAACUUCCCUAUUGAAACCGUACACUACAUAGCUAUUUUUAUCUUGAAUUUAAAAUUCAAAUUGAGAAGACUUGGUCAUCCAUUUUCCUUGAAGCAUGGUCGACCACAUAAGAAAAGGAAGCAAGAGAAUUUAAACCUAUUUUUAGUAAAUACCUUGUCAUCCCUCACUUCUAAAUCGUUCCUUAUCACUCAACAUUUCUCUCUCAUUCUCAAUAGUUUUCUCUCAAUUUCUUCUCUCUUUUUCCCUUGCAUAGCCAUUCAUACCCUCUCCAAUAUCUAGCUUCAAAAGCUUUUUCAAAAGCAAUAUUUAGUCGACUACCUUCUAAACCCUUAAAAAAAACCUUCAAUCAGAACGAAGGAGCGCUUCAGUCAAAAUAGAUCCGAAAGGCUGCUGAACUGAGUCUACUCUUUCCUCUUGUCAUUUAUUUUAAACUUGUUUGCUUUGAGUUUUAUGUUUUUAACAUCAAAUAUGAAGUUUUAAUUCCUAUAUUCUAGAAUGAUUAUAUUAAUUUAAUGAGAUUUCUUUAAUUCAUGUUAACAUGUUUUGUGCUUCAGUUGAUUAUGUUUUCAAUUAAUAUCAUGAUGCAUUUCAUUCAUACAUGAUUGGGUGCACUUAAAUUAGAUGAGCAAUCCUAACCAGAUGACGACUAAUAGACGCAUAAUUGAAAAGUGCAAUGCUUAAUUUAGGUCAUUAAAACCGACUAAGUUAAGGUUCAUAAUAUCUUUAGUUAGCUUUAUUAUCUUGCAUGGUUUUUAGAUUUAUGUAAUUGCAAAUGUAAAUAUCCAUGUGACUUUGCAUAAAUGCCAAGAAACCCUUAGUCUAAUAUGAUCAUUAACAUGCAUAUUUAACUAAGUAAAAGAUCUGAGAGGACUUAAUUUGGUUUCCGAACCCAUACGAGAUCAAGUUGCCAUGGAAAUAAUUUCGAGCAUGUUAGCAUGAUGAAAGUAAGUUGAUUUGAUUAAUAUAAUUAUCCUAGCCCAUUUAAUGUUGAUUGUUUUUGUUGCUAAAGCUCUCAUUUCAUACAUUUAGGUAAAUUACAUCUAGAUUAAUUUUGCAUUAGGGAUCACUCUUACAUUUAAUUUAUCUAAUCAUCACUAUCAAAUUUAUUGAGUUUUUUUACAUCAAAUUGUUAAUUAUAAUUUUGCAAUUAAUUGUUUAAGCUUAUAUAGUCCCCGUGGAGACGAUAACUCAUUUGUACUUACUUAUUACUUGAACGACUAUGUACACUUGCGUAAACGUUACAAUUCAUUACAACCUCCUCCUUUGAUCAUUGAUAGUUCAAAAUCAUUACGCUUCUUCCAUGUGAGGCUCCUGUAAAGAAAAUUUAAGCACAAAACAACAACUAGUCUAUUAUUACUCCUACUCCUAACAAUUUAAAUUAAAAAAAUGAUCCCUAAAAUUAAUACAAUCUUUAAAAACAAAAAUUAUAAGUUCAAUCCUCCUCCUCAAAGACUGUCUCAUCAUCCGACGUAUAAUUAGGUACCCUAAUAUUGUUUUGCUGCACGAAUUCCUAAAAAAUAGGCCCAACUCCUGCAUCUAGGUUAUCAUCCAAUCUAGCUUGGGAUGAUUGCCCUCGCCAAUUUAUUAUUGAGUGGUCAAUUUUGCUUUCCUUUGAGAUGAAGUUGGAGAGACCAUCAUCUUUUGCUGGCGUUUAUUCUAUUCCUUAAUCUGUUUAUCCCGAAGCUCAAUGUACUAUGUAUACAAUGUUUCGCCAAUUAUACUUUGGGAUGGCUGCAUUGAUUGUUUCAUGGAUAUCAUCGAUACACCUUCUCUUUUACAUAAGGCCCUCUCUAAGUGAGGAAAGAAGACUCCCACUCUCUAGCCACUAACGCAUCGCUUCAUAUUUUGGUAUAUCCAUGUUCCGAUGUGUACCUAUUUUUCUACAAAAUAGAAUAAAGCAAAAUCGAUCGAAAAGUAUUGACAUUAGAAACAUUCAAAGCAGAAGCUAUUCUAGUGCAUAGAAAUUGAAUCCACAUUUUUGCUUCAGGAAACAUUAUUGCUUAAUUAAAGAAGGUUGGAAUACCAGUACUUGGGCGACAUUUGCAUUCACCCCUCCCCUCUGUUAUCAAGUUUAUAAUGUUGUCAUAGUUAUAUCUCAAAAAUAUUUCAAAUCAAUUUCUUCUGUAAAAUCUUUUUCAUAAAAUGGAGCAUUAUAAAAUUCACAAAUAACCCAAGGGGUAAUUCAUACAUCUUUCCCUCGCACAGGUAUCAUUUCCCAUGUACAACCUUUGGCUUUUCUAGACUCUUGGUCUCAUAAAGAUACAUAAAAUUCCUGAACUACAGGGACCACGAAAAAGUCCUUUGGGAUCGUUAAAAAAUGUUCCCAUCUAUGAUAUCUAACUAAAGGUCUUAUCUCCUGACAGAGAACCAUCGAUGGUUCAAAUCCCCUCUCUUGGAUAAAUAUUUUUCCCUGAAGUUCUAGAAAAUAUUUUUCAACAGUUGGAUUUGAUAAAUUAAAGGGGUUUAGAACCGUCGAUGGUUCUGAUUCAUUGGUUCUUCUCACUUUUCUUCGAGGCAUUUUGAAUAUUGUUCAAGUUCAAUAAUUAAUGAACUAACGAACAAAUUUUCCAAUGGAACAAUAAAAAUAGGAGUUAGGAACCCUUAACCUUGGAAAAUGAUGUGUUGGAUUCCUUGUAAUAUUCAUUUGUGGUCACUCCUUUUAGUUCUUCCCAUUUGUUUCUGUAUCAAAUAGAGAUGAAUAAAAGAAAUUUUAUAGUAAACUAGUAAGAAGAAGUAAGAAAAGAGUUUUAGGGUUUAUCAAAAUUAAGAGGUUUUGAGGUGUUUAAAGUGUUAAGAUUGGGUUAGGUAGUGAUUUAAUAUGUUUUUGGGUUUUAAAUAAGGUUUUUUUAGGGUUAAAAUUGGAUUAAUAAGGUGUUUUAAUUGGCUGGUUUGCGCAGUUGGGUCGGGUCAACCUUGUAAAACAUCCCCAGUAGUUUGCCAUUGUCGCAACAUCGAGGUUCGAUGUCGCAACACACUCUGGAAUUUUGGAAUUUUGGGUAAACUAUCUUUGGUGUCACAACACAGGAUUGCAGUGUUGCGACAUUGGCCCUAUUUUUGCCCAAACUUCCAAUUUCUAAAGUGUCACGGUUCCUAUAAAACAUAAAUUUCAUAAAAAUUAAAAUCUAGACUAAACAGUUAGUUAAAUAUAUAAUAAUUUACAAAGAAUUAAAUAUCAAUUUAAAAUAUCAAUUUUUACUGUCGGAUUCAUCCGAUAGCACCAUUAAUGCAUAUAAGGACGUUUUUCUGGUUCUUUCAAUGUUAGCCCAUCGCCCGUCGUGUCACUCCACCUUAUUUCAUUUAUCUCUUUCCCAGAACCUGUUCUUUUGACCUGCAUUGAUCGUAGGAAGUACAUUCUUUGAUUCUGGAUUAUUAGGGUUAAAAGCAGAUAAUUCAUUACAAUGUUCCCCUAGUCCCUUUUAUUUCCUCACUCUGUUGGUGACCACAUUUAAAAAAAUUUGUUUUGCCAUUGAUCUUCAUUGUUAAUUGAUUUCUCUUUAGAUCAAUGGUGGAGCUUGAUGUAGCUAGAAAAUUUCUGCAAAAUAGAAUGGGUUUCUCACGGUCCUCUUCAAAGUCUAAAACUACAAAGUCCGCCGAAAUGAUAAAGUUGCGCACUUUGACUAACACAUCUUCUAGUAUUCCUUUCGGAUGUAGUGUAAUUUGUGUAUUCUUGAGGUCCCUUAACCUAAGUUCUUCACAUAUUGAUAGAGGCAUUAAAUUGAUACUAGCUCCUAAAUCGCAUAUGGCUCUAUUGAAUUGAAUGCUCCCUAUCUCUAUGGGAAUUGUAAAGCUUCCCAGGUCUUUCAGUUUUUGGUGAACUUGUUUAGAAAUAAUAGCACUACAGGAAGCGCUCAUGUUAAUUUGUUCUCCUACAUUAAUUUUCCUACGUCUAGACAUGAUUUCCUUUAAAAUUUUGACAUACUCAAGAACUUUCUCAAUAGUUUAACUAAAGGUAGUUUCACAUUGAAUGUUUUAAACAAGUUUAAAAACCUUAGAAACUCGUCUUCAUCCCAUUUUUAUCUCUUCCAACCUUGAAGGGAGCAAUAUCUUUACAACGAUAGGGUCUUUAAUUGUCUCUUUCUCUAGUUCAACUACCGGUGCAACUACUUCCUCUAGUUUUGGUUCAUCAUCAGCUUCCAACCUUGAAGGGAACAAUAUCUUUACCACAGUAGGGUCUUUAAUUGUCUCUUUCUCCAAUUCAACUACCGGUGUAACUACUUUCACUAGUUUUGGUUCAUCAUCAGCUUCUAAGGGUCCUUUAUUAAGAUCACUUGUACUCCCCAUAGGUUCCUCCUAAGUAAGGUUCUCUGGGCUACUCAGUACUUUACUCGAUCAAAGCACGAUUGCUUUCACAUGCUCCUUCCCUUCUCUCCAAGGAUUAUUUUUGAUGUUGUAGGGAUACCUAUGCCAAUUUGUGUUUUUAUAUCACCCAUCAUGUUCUUCAAUUGGCUUAUCUGAUCUUCAAACUUAGUCAAUGUUUUUGCUGGAUUGGUGCAUUCAGACUGCACCUGCUUUACAUCUAUCCUCAUUGAUUGCAUUUUCCCUUUGAUUUGAUCCAAACGUUGACCACAUAUAGCAUGAUCAUUUGGGUUGGCCCUUUCCUAAGGUUUUUGUAAAUAAGGAGGUUGAUAGUUAGCAUUUUUAACCUGAUUUGAAGUAUUACCUCAUCCUUGAUUUCCUCCCCAUCUUAGGUUUAGAUGAUCUCUCCAUCCAGGAUUGUAAGUAUUUGAAUAAGGAUUUUCACCCCUAUUCCUGAUGUAAUUCACAUCCUUAGUGAAUUGUUAAUAUAGUGGAAGAGUAGUUUGUCUCCUCCAUAUAUAGACGGUGCAUUCUUUUCAGAUUUUAUUUAAUUGAUUCUAUCAAUUGUUGAUAUUUGUCAUCCUCCUAAACAGCCUUCACCGUAGAUGGUCUUUGGCCAUAUUUGUUUCGUUCAAUUGGCCACUGGUAGGAGUUCAUCGCCAUAUUUUCUAUUAAUUUGUACGUAUCCUCAUACAUUCGGUUCAUUAAAGCACCUCUUGCGGCUCUAUCCAAUCCUAACCUUCAGUGCACAUCCAACACAUUGUAGAAAAUUUACAGUCGUAACCACUCAGGAAAUCCGUGGUGUAGGCAUUUCUGAAUCAACUUUUUAAAAGACACCCAUGCUUCGUGAAAAAUUUCUCCUUCUAAUUGUUUAAACAUAGAAAUUUCCCUUCUUAGCUAGACCGUCUUGCUAAUGGGGAAGAACUUUUGUAGGAAUUUCCCUGCGAGUUCGUCCCAUGUCGUGAUUAAUCCUAAUGCCUGCGAAUCUAACCAAGGAAAGGCAUUACCAAUAAAAGAAAAAGGAAACAACCGAAGAAGAAUAGCGUCAUCAGUGACCCUAUUGUAUUUGAAGGUAUCACAAAGCUGGAUGAACCAUUUUAGACCCUGACUCGAAUCUUCUAUCAUCGUUCCUCGAAACCGCAAAUUAUUUUGAAUCAUCUAGAUCAUAGCUGGCUUGAUCUUGAAAUUAUUGGUCGUGAUGGCUAGCCUCGUUAUACUCCCUUGAACCAUAUCCAGAUUCGAUAACGUAUACUCUCUUAGAGUCCUUUCAUUAUAUGCCUUGAGAUUGUUUGCGGGUAAUUAUGGUGGUGGUGAUGGGUAGUCUAGAUUGUUAUUGUUAGCUUCGUUGAACAAUGGAUUCUCACAUGGUUGUAAAUUACCUUCAGUAGGUAGUUGAUUCUGCAUUAGUUGUGGUUGCUAUUGACAAUUUCUUCAGAUUAUUCAUUCUAAAUCUGUGACUAGCUCUAUAGGUGUUCCCCUACUACAAAUCAUACACUAAACCCAAAGAUAAAAGAUUAGUAUAAAAUAAGAAAAUAAAAUCGUAGCUAUAAUCUAAAAAUUUCCUAAUUAUUCUAUUAAUAUGCGAAAAAUUAAAUUUAAAUCAGUGACGUUGCCUCCCUAGAAACGAUGCAACAACUUGACCGCCUCCGGACGUACUAACGUCCAGAGUGUGAAUACUGCUACAAAAUAUAUGGAAUUUGAGGUGGUGUCUGCAAUUAUACGGGUCGAUUUGUAAUAUUUUGUUUACAACGAAACGCUUCGUAAGAAUUCUGGGGAUCGUACCCAGUAGAGGCUAGUACCAAACUAAUUCAAACCUACAAGCUAAUAGAUCUAAUUAGUACUUUAAAUUAUUUAUAGUACGAUAACAUAAAUAAAAGGGAUUUUUGGGAUUUUUAUAAUAGUAAAAUAAUAAUAAAGAAAUAAAUAACAAGAGAUUGAAAAGUAGAAUUAAUCAAAUCUACGUAUAGGUGAUUAGCUCGUUUCGACAAUCCCCAUCAAUUUUCACUUUGGGUUCCUCAUAAAUCAAAUAGUCACUAUUUCAGUAGGAUCUUCUGAUCUUCUACUAAAAUAACGAGUCAGUAAAAACUACUUAUUUUUCGACCUCACAGUCCAGACCGGCUUGGGAUGAAGAUGUUCACGGAUAGGCCAUACCAAUUUUGGGUUAAUUCCUACCUUGAUGACUUCCUAGGGUUGUCAAGCCUUGGAUUUUGGUUACUCUUUUCCCAAAUAGUUGAUCCAUUGAGUAACCCUAUAAAAUAGUUAAUAGAUCAUACCUCUACUCACUAAUCCCCUAUAGAAGGAUUAGUUCCUCAUGGAAUCAAUAAACAUUAUAUCGAAUAUAUGUAUAAAGAAUAAAACAAGAGUAGAGUUUAGAGAAUCCUAUUUGUAUUUGAUAUAUGAAGUGCUGUAAUCCUCAACCGUUUGUUUGCGUCUACAAAUCAAGUUCUCCGAUGAACACGAAUGAAAAGAACUAAAAACAAGUCUAAACCCUAAGAGAAAGAAAAAUAAACUAAAAACUAAAUUUUACAAAAGAAACUAAUAAUAUGAAAAGCUCUCUAUAACAAGUGUGAAAUGGGCCUAUCUAUAACAAGUCUAUAUUCAUGUAGUUCAGGACCGAAGUAAAAGGGUAAAUACAAAGUAACAUUUUUGGCUUGAGUUUUGUAUGAAAGUUAAUCCAGAAGUCUAUUCUAACUCAAAAUAGGUACUAAGGAUGAAUAAACAAGGUUAGCUUUUUUACUCUAGGUGUAUACCAAACAAUGCCUUAGGUUAUCCCUAAGCAUCUCAAUAUUCGCAAAUUUAAUCAAUCAAACAAUCACAAAUUCAACUAUUUAUCAUACAUACUAGCAUGCUAGUUUCCUCGUAUUUUUUAUAUCAUUUGGUAUAUUCAAUAACUCAAUACCUAUUUACAAUGUAAUAUAUAGAACUUAGUUGUCUAAAAAUUGAAAAUUUAAAACCAUUCACUAUCAUGCCAAGUUUAUAGUAAACACAAUCAACCUAUGUACAUGCUCCUAACCAAUCACUUAUAUUUCUACAAGCUUAAGCAUGCAUUUGACAAUAAAAGAAAAGAAAAAGUAUAGAAACAAAAUAAGAAAAAAAUUCCUAUGUUACCCCCCACACUUUAGAUAGCACAUUAUCCCUAAUGUGCACCCCUAUAGAUAAGGAAAGAAGUUACCCGAUUGAUCGUUACAUUGUAGUAGUCUUAUGGUGGUUGCUUCCUACCUUGUUCGUUAAAAGCUCAAAAAUGUUGUGCUUUCUUUCAUGUGAAGUUCCUACAUAGGAAACUUGAAAUAGAAUAUAUAUAUAUAAAUCUACUGUUACUCCUACUCCUAAAAUAAAAAUAAAAAUCAUCCCAAUUAUUUACAAUAGAAAAAGUUAAAAGUUAAUUUAAUCAUUCUCCUCCUCCUAGUAAUCCAUCUCAUUCCCACCACUUCAGCGUCCUCCUCUUUACUACCUUCCCCUUCCUCGGUUCCUUGCUCUUCUACUUUAGACCACAUUUUUCUGGCUGAUAAUUUGGUACUCUCAUAUUAUUCUACCGCUCGAAUUCUUGAAGAACUAGGCCCGUUUCUUGUAACCAUCUUAUCAUCCAUUCCAUCUUUAUGUUACUACUCUCGCCUGUUUCUUUACAAGAUGUCGAUUUUGCCUUUCACUUAAGUGAAGUUGGGACAUCCAUCUUUUCCUUUCGGCAUUUUUUUCUAAUCGUUUAUUUUCUUUCGUUGAAGCUUCAUAUAUUGCUUGUAUAAUGAGUCUCCUAUGAGACAUGGCUUCAUGAACUACUUAGUAUUUGUCAUUGGAACUUUGGCCUUCAUGCACAAGGUAGUCACUAAGUGGGGGAAGAAGACCCUAACAUUUUGGUCACUAAUGCACUGCUUCAUAUAAUGGUAGAUCAAUGUCCCAAUGCACACCUAUUUAUUCUUGGUCGAAAUCUUUUGAUUCCUCGUGAAAUUUCCUUGCACAUUCUUUGCUAAUGUAAUGUGGUUGUUCUGAGAAGGUUGAAUCCUUGUUGUUGUCUUGACAUUGGGAUUCGUUUACUCCAAGUGGGCAAAUGAAAAAUAUGCAACAUAGUAUAAAGGAAAUAAAAUAAAAUAAACAUUAAAGUAAUAAAAGAAAUAAAACAAAAUUUAAAACAAGAAAUAGAAGUUCUUUAAAGAUUGAGACGUUCUGUGUUGCCACCAUAAAAGAACCUCUAGCUAGUUCUCGGCACCUUGAUCCGAUGUUUGUUUUUCUGUUGAUGUAUUUGAACCAGUCACUUUGGUUUAUUCGAAUUAUUUUGUCUUAUUUUUUACCGUCGUGAAAUCCACAUUGUCAGUCAUUUAGUACCAAAUCCGAGCCAACCCCAAACUUUUUUUGAGGUAUUAUUGUCUCGAGCUUCCUCCUCUCCUUGUUAUAUGAGGCUUUGGUGACUCGAGCCUUGUUGCUGUUUUCGAAUGAGAAUGAGUCAAACUCCUCGACUUUUUUAGUUGGAACCUUUUCUGCUAUUGCCAGAAAGUGUAUUAACUCUUCUGUACUUUCAUUCAAUAUCGGUUUAACCUCUAUGUUAGUGUUUAAUUCAUCUUUUACUUAUACCUCUAUGGUUAGAUCUAUUACUAUGUGAAUUGGAUCAGAUACCAUUUCCACUAUGUUCAACUCAUCCCCAUAAUCUUUAGUUCUAAGCUCAAGUUGAAUCUCAUCAUGGCUAUCGGUAAUACCAAGGUUCUCAUGAUCCAAGUUGUGAAGGUCAAACAUGUCCUCUUUGAGGUAGCACUUCGGAUAUUUUUUUUCAUUAUUUGCACCAUCAUGUUUGACAUGUUUGAUAAGACCUUAGAGUUGACCAUCCUUGUGGUUUCACAUGGAAACAUCUCAGAUGAAUCACUAGGAGGCUUGUCCGAAUGUUUGGGCAUAUCAUGUUCUUCAAGUGUUAGAAAUUGUAGAUUGCAAAUUCAUAACUACUUAUAAGCACUUAUUAGAAUGUGAUGAUUUACUCAAAAGAUACAUUUGAUUCCAUGAGACAUGUUUUUCUAAGAAGUAUGUCCAAUUGAAAUCAAACAUAAAGAAUUGUGACUUUUAAAAAUAGUGUCUAUUGGGUGUAUAUAAAUAGAGGGUCUAUGGUGCUCAUAAAUUACAAUUACAAUCAAUCCUAUUUUUAAAAAAUUAAAGUAAGAGUUAGGGAAUUCCUUGAUUUUUCUAAUCAAAGGAAAUUCAAAAACUUCAUUGUAUCCUGGGAGGACCUUUGUCUUAACCCUUUAGUAACUUUGUGUGGGGGCAAAUAGUUCGUUUUAGAAUGCAUCACCCACUCCUCGAAGUCUACUGUUUAUUUCAAUAUCUUCCCCACUCUAUAUAUCUAACAAUCAAAGAGAAAUACUUUGGAGAUGGCGAUGGAGGCUACCACACAUUCAAAGUAAUGAACUAAGAGUUUGUGAAACUUGACCAAUUUGAUGGUUCACACUUCAAUCGUUGAAAUGACAAGAUGUUGUUCAUUCUUACUAUCUUAAAUGUGGCAUACGUUCUGGAUCUGAACCUACAACCUGUGGAGGACCCCACCCUUAAUGCGAACCCCGAAGAAAUUAUAAAAGUGGCCGAACUAAAGAAGAAGCAUGAAGAAGAAAAUUUCACAUGUCAAUGACACAUUCUCAACACCUUGUCUAAUCGAUUGUAUGAUCUCUACAUGUCGAAGUAAUCCCUGGUGGAAAUAUGGAAAGCUCUUGAAGAAAAAUACAACACCAAGCGGUAAUGUACUGAUAAAUUUUUAAUAAUGAAGCAUUUUGAAUUCAAAAUGCUCGAUAGUAUCCUGAUCAUAGAUCAAGUUCAUGAAUUAUAAGUCCUUGUAAGUAGGCUUCGUGACUUGAAAUUUGUUAUUUUGGAAUUGUUACAAGUCAUCUUGAAGUUGCCCUCAUCUUGGAACAAUUAUUGGAAGAAACUUCAGCGUAUGGCAGAGGACUUCACUGUGGAGAAAAUACUUAGGCAUUUGAUAUUGAAGAAGAAACUCGGAAGCGUGAUGCGGUGUAUCUUUCCCAAAUUUCUAAAGUGAACCAUAUGAGUGACUCCAAGAACUCUCGAAAUGGUAAGCGAAAGGCCACAUCCGAGGCCAAUGACAUGCAAGACAAGAAGAAAAAAAUCUCGCAAUUGUUAUAAUUGCAAUAGGAAAGGACAUUAUAUUAAGGAUUGCAAACUUCUCAAAAAGAAGCAAGAUGCCACAAAUUCUAAAGCCAACAUGGUGGCGGACAUGGACUUAAUGGCCAUGGUUACGGAAAGGAUCGAGAGUUUGGAGAUUGUUAUGAUUACUGAACUUAACAUAGCCAUGACUGAUAAGUCUUGUAAUUGAUGGCUCGACUCCAGAGCUACCAUCCAUGUGUGUAAUGACCGACAACAAUUCAAGAGUUAUGAACUAGUAGCAAACCGUGAAGUGCUUAUAGGCAACUAUCAAUCGACUAAGGUACUCGAUCAAGAGAUGGUGGAACUUAACUUCACAUCUGGGAAAAAAUUAGAUUUGACCAAUGUGUUGCAUGUUCCUGAUAUGAGAAAGAAUUUAGUGUCCACGACUAUUCUGUGUAACAAGGGGUUCAAGAUUAUCUUAGAAUCUGAUAAGUUUGUCUUGCUUUAGUGUCAGCAAGGGUAUGUUCAUGUUGAGCAUUGAUAUGAAUAAAGUUAAUUCUUUUGCUUAUAUUGUUGAAUCUAAUCCUUUGUGGCAUGCGCGUUUAGCACAUUUUAAUUUUAAAACUUUACAAUAUAUGCAAAACAAUGGUUAUAUAAGUCUAAGUAAUGAUGAGUUUGUGGAGAAAUGUGAAAUUUCUAUUCAAUCAAAAAUUACCAAAAAUUGGUGUCCUAAUAAGUGUGAAAGGAAUUCACAAGUGUUAGAUUUAAUUCAUUCAGAUGUUUGUGAAUUAAAUGAAACUCUAACAAAAGGUGGAAAACGAUAUUUUAUCACUUUUAUAGACAACUUCUCUAGAUUUACUUAUGUGUAUCUCAUGAGAAGUGAAGAUGAGGCGUUUGAUAUGUUUAAACAUUUUAAAAUUGAGGUUGAGAAUUUGUUUAGUUAGGAAAUCAAAGUGCUUCGUAGUUAUAGAGGUGGUAAAUAUUUUUCAAAUGAAUUUAAUAUAUUUUGUGAGGAACAAGGUGUGGCACAUGAGUGUUUCGUGCCUUAUACUCUGCCAACAAAAUGGUUUGGUAGAAAGAAAGAAUCGUACUUUAGUAGAUAUGGUUAACUCGAUGUUGUUAAAUGCUAAACUUCCAUAUAAUCUAUGGGGUGAAGCAUUAUUGACUAUAUGUUAUAUUCUUAACAAAAUACUGUAGAAAAAAUUCAAAGUAUCUCCAUAUGAGUUAGGGAAGAGCCAGAUGCCAAACUUAGAUUAUUUCAAAGUGUAGGGGUGUUUGGCUUACUAUAGAGUUCUCGACCAACGGAGAACAAAGUUAGGUCUAAGAGCCAUCAAGGGUGAAUUCAUUGGAUAUGCCCAACACUCUAAGGCUUAUCGUGUUCUUGACUUAGUGUCAAAUACAAUAAUUAAAACAAGAGAUGUCGUAUUCAUUGAAAAUAAGGUUUUUAAUGAUUCAAAAGAUUCAGAAAAAGAAUAUCAACCAAUGGUCUCAAGUGAUCAAACCAAAAAAAUUCUUUGUGACAAUAAGGAUAUGGAGCCGAGGAAAAGUCAAAGAGUGUGAAAAGUAAAGAACUUUGGUCCUGAUUUCAUUUCCUCGCAAUCUCUAGCAUUACUUGUUAAGGGAAAUAAAGAAUCUGUAAUUAGGAAGAUUGUAACGCUGAAGUUUGUGCAAGUGUACACAGUCAUUAUCAAGUAAUGAGUAAGUAUCGAGUUAUCGUCUCCAUAGGGAUUGUAUUUGUGCUAAGUCACUUAAUUUGUAGAAUUAUAUUAACAAUUUGGUAAAUAAAAACACAAUAUAGUUGAGAUGUGGUGAUUAAAAUAUAUUAAACUAAAUGCAAUGAUCCCUAAUGCAAAUUAUCCUAAGUAUGCAAACUAUAUGAAUGAAAUAGAUUUUAGUAAAAUUAAACACAAUUCACAACAAUUAUAACAUAAAUAAACUAGGGCAAUUACUUUUAUUAAACUCAAUUUAUUAUCAACAUGCUUAAUAACAUUCGGAAAAACAUUCCAUCGCAACUCGAUCUUUCAUGAGUUUGGAAACCACAUUAGGUCCUUUCGGAAUCCUUUACUUAGUAAAUACGCAUUUUACUGAUCCUUAUUUACUAAGGGUUUCUUGGCAUUCGUGUGAGUUAACAGGGACGUGUUAGGUUUGAAACAAUUUAAUCACACAAAUCUAAAAAAUAUGUAGAUAAUAGAGCUUGGUUAGAGUUGUUAUGCAACCUACAAUUCAAUCGGGUUAGGAUCUAAAUUGAGCAUGCACAUUUCAAUGAUGCGUCCAUUACUCGUCAUUUGGUUAGGAUCGCUCAGCUAAUUCAGGUGCAUUUCAAUCACGUAUGAACGAAAUACAAAGUUGAUUUUAAUUGAAAACAUAAGCAUGAACCAAAUAAAUAUUAUUUAAUAAAAAUAAUCAUCCUAGCUUAAAUAAAAUUAAGCUAUCAUUAUUGUAAAUAAGAACAAAGAACACUUAGCAAAUAUCUUUAAAUUAAAUUUAAAGAAAAGGAAGAUUAAACCCAAUUCAGAGUGGCUGUCACCCAAGACUAUGAAUAACGAGGCUCAUUCGCUUCUUUGCGUCGCUUCUUUGCGUUGCUCCUUUGCUGAUGGCUCUCCAAGGUGGCCGACCAAGGGUUCUUUAAGAGGCUUAAUUGCUAAAAUCCUUAUGCAAGGAUGAUGAAGGGGAAAGAUAUCUAAAAGAGUUGAGAGAAUGAUGAAUGAGUGAGAGAUGAUGGGAUGAGGGAUGAUUGAAAAAGUAAGAAAUGAGCUUUUAUUUAUAGGUGAAGCAAGGGAGCUAGUUUGCUAAAAAUAGGUGUGUCCAUCCUUUGAAACUUCCUCCAAGAGUGGCCGGCCAUGAAUUGAGGAAAGGUGGCUGAUUUUUCCUUUAUUUUUGGUCAAUUUGAAUGCCACAACAACUCAGGACUAAGACUUGGUUAUCAGUAAAUCUUCGAGAAAAUCUCCAAUUUCUUUAACUCUUCAAAGACUUUGUAUAAUUAAACCAAAAAAUGGUUUAUGUCAUCCAUGUGCAGCCAAAAAUUGGGUUGACUUGGUCCCCAAUUUGGACGGUUUUGCAAUUAGAAGUAAACUCUCAGACUUGUCCAAAAAUAGUAGAUAGUUUAGAGGACCAAAUAAUAUAAUUUAACCACUUUAAUUAAUCAAUUUACCUAAUUAACUAAAACCCAAUUUAUUAAUGAAUUAUUAAAAAUGAACUAUUAAACAUAACUUUAUAUUUUAUUAUUUAAUUUAAUCAUGCAUGGCCCACUUUAUAGCUUAAAAAUAUAAUAUGCUCAAAUUAAUAUAAAAUAAGCCAUUUUAUGCAUGAAAACUAUAUAAUAAAGUAUAAAAUCACAUUCUAAUAAUUUCUAUGUCCUAAUUUCAUAUUUUCUCAUUUUUGAUUAAUUUAUUAAACAAUUACUUGGUUUUAACAACAAAUUUAAGUAAAAAUGUGAUGAAUUAUGUAGGAAAAAUCCUAUAUAUUUUUCAGUUUACAAAAAUCCCCAUAAUGUUUAAUGUGGAUGGUGAUUCACAAUCUUAUGGUGAAACCAUGACUUUUAGGGAUGCAAGAUUUUGGAAAGAGGCGAUCAAUGAUGAAAUGGAUUCAAUAUUAGCCAAUAAUACUUGGAUUUCUAGUUGAUCUUCCUCAAGGAUUGAAGCCUAUCGGGUGUAAAUGGGUGUUUAAAAGGAAAAAUAAUCCAACAGGGGGUUCUUCUAGCUUUAAGUCUAGGUUGGUGGCUAAAGGAUUUAGGCAAAAGGAAGGCCUAGACUAUUUUCACACUUGUAUCUAUCCAUAAGUUACAUAUACAUAAAAUGGAUGUUAAGAUAACUUUUUUAAAUGGUGAUCUCGAAGAGGAAAUCUACAUGGAGCAACUACAAGGCUUUGCUCUUCCUAGGAAUGAACAUAAGGUGUGUAAGUUUAUCAAGUCAUUAUAUGUUUUAAAACAAUCACCUAAACAGUGGCAUGAGAAAUUUGACUUGAUUAUCUUGUCCUAUGGUUUUUUACAUAAUGGUGCAGCUAAAUGUAUUUACACUAAAUUCAUCAAUAGAUAUGGUGUAAUUAUUUGUCUUUAUGUAGAUGACUUGUUGAUUUUUGGUAUGAACAUGGAUGGUGUUCGUGAGACCAAAGAGUAUUUAGCCUCGAAUUUUAAGAUAAAGGAUCUCAACGAGGGAGAUACAUUUCUAGGUAUAAAGGUGAAAAAGCAUGAAAAGGGCUUUGUACUAAGCCAAUCUCACUAUAUCGAGAAAGUAUUGGAAAAGUUUAAACACUUGAAUAUGAAGGAUUUGAACACGCUAUACGAUUGGAACUUCAAGUUAAGUGAGAAUAAUGGUAAGGCUAUAGUGCAACUUGAGUAUGCCAACACAAUCGGAAGUCUAAUGUAUGCAAUGCAUUCCACUAGACACGAUAUCGCAUUUGUUGUGUGCCAAUUGGCGAGAUUUACAAAUUGUCCUAGUACCGAUCAUAGGAAAGGAAUUUGUAGGAUUUUUCGCCAUCUUAGGAAAAUAAAAAAUUUGGGAUAAUUCUAUAGUGAUUAUCCCGCGGUACUAGAAGGUUACUCGGAUGCAAGUUGGAUUACAAGUCUAACUGACAAUAAGUCCACAUCGGGAAGGAUUUUUACAAUCAGAGGUGGAGCCAUUAGUUGGGCCUCCAAACAAAAACAAGCAUCUCACGUUCAGCUAUGGAGGCUGAAUAGUGGAAUGGCUAAGAGAUCUUUUGCUAGAUAUAAAGUUAUGGCCACAACGUAAGUUCGCCAUUUUCGUAUAAUGCAAUAGUGAAUCUACCAUGUCUCAAGCAUACAAUAAGGUGUAUAAUGGAAAGUCUAGACAUAUAAGUUUGUGACAUGAGUAUGUCAGACAAUUGAUUAGUGACAGUGUGAUAACUGUUACCUAUGUUAAGUCAGUUGACAAUUUAGUGGAUCCAUUGAAAAAAGGUUUUUAAAGAGAUUUGGUUAAGAGUACCACCACUAAGAUGGGAUUAAAACCAUUCUAAUCGCUUCAUUGAUAAUGGAAACCCUAACAUAUUCUAGCUAAAAGUUAGUUUCGAGGUUCAAAGGGUAAUAACAAGUUAUUGAAUGACAAUGUGAACUAAGGAUCAGGAUUUAAUGUUUAUAUUAUAGGAGGAUAAGUUUUACUCUUAAUAGAUUGACAUUAAUUGUCAUGAAAUCCACCAAUAUGGACAUGAAGUGAUGUCACUUCAACGAGAUUUUCUUUAUGGUUUUCUCUCAUACAUUUUUAUGAAACGGGAUGAGCACAUGGCCAUAACGGUGCUAAAGCAAAUUAAACUCUUACUCUAAUACUUUACAGUUAUGUGUGAAAUUUUUCCAGUACUGACUUUAAGAAUGAUGGUCCAAGCGAAUAGCCACCAUUUACUUUGUUGAUAUUUUGAAGAGUUUGCACUAAAGGAAGGUUCAAUCUAUGGACACCUUUCUUUAUGCAUAAUCAUUGUGUACUUAUUUUUUGGAAUUAGCAAUCUAGUUGGGGACUGUUAGAAAUUGUAGAUUGCAAAUACAUAAUUAUUCAUGAGCACUUAUUAGAAAGUGAUGGUUUAUUCAAAAGAUACAUUUGAUCCGUGAGACAUGUUUCUCUAAGAAGUAUGUCCAAUAGAAAUCAAACAUAAAGGAUUGUGACUCUUUAAAAUAGUGUCUAUUGAGUGUAUAUAAAUAAAAGGUCAAUGGUUCUCACAAAUUACAAUCACAAUCAAUUCUAUUUUUUUAGAAAUUAAAGUAAGAGUUAGGGAAUUCCUCGAUUUGCUAAUCAAAGGAAAUUCAAAAACUUCAUUCUAUCCCGGGAAGAACUUUGUCUUAACCCUCUAGCAACUUUGUAUGGGGGCAAAUAGUUCUCUUUGGAAAGCAUCACCCGCGCCUCGAAGUCUACUAUUUAUUUCAAUAUCGUACUCGGAUUUUUCUUCUCCACUCUAUAUAUCUAACAACAAGUGCCUCACACAAAUUACCAGUGAACUCAUGUGGAUGUUCAACUAUAUUAGUCCCUUGAUCAUUACUCCACUAGUGCGUUGAGGCUUCGUUUCCACAUUGGCUCAGCUCUAUAAUGAAAAUUCUUUUAUUCUCCAUAAUCUCUAAUUCUUUAUAUACUCCCUUUUCAAAUAUUUCGUCAUAAAAAAUUAUCUCAUCGUUAAACCACAUGUAAUUAGUUUCAUCCAUAAUUGAAUGGUUUUUCAAGAUUAAUCUCUAUGGAUUAGUGAAUAACUAAAUAGAUGUUCCUUUCCACUAAAGCAUAUACUGAAAUUAACAAAGAAAAAGAAAGAAGUUAGUAAACUAAAUUAAUAAAAUUCAAAUUACAAAUUGUAUCUAUAAUUCAAAUAUUUCCUAAUUAUUCUAUUAAAACGUAAAAAUUACAUUUAAUUUAGUAAUGUUGCCUUCACAGCAACGACGCCAACAACUUGACCGCCUUCGGACGUACCAACAUCUAGAGUAUGAGUACUACAACUAAAAGAUAUGGAAUUAAGGUAGUGUUCGCAAGUAUACAGGUUAGGUUGUAAUAUAGUUACAACGAAGCAAGUAUGUACUCCGAGGAUCAUACCCAACGCAGGCGAGUACUAAAUUAAUGUCAACUUGAACGCAAAUAGAACUAAUUAGUAGUUUAAAUAAAUUAUAGUACAAUAAAACAUAAAAGAAUAUUUUUUGGGAUUUUAUAAAGAAUAAAAUAAAAAUAAAAAAAGGAAAGUGAGAUUCAGAAAUAUAAAUUCUAACUUAAUUAGAUCUAAGUAUGGUUGAUUAGUUUGCUUUGGUGAUCAUAACUAAUUCAUAUUUCGGGUUUCUACUCAACCAACUAGUCGCUACCCUAGAAGGAUCUCUCGAUCUUCCACUAAACUAAUGAGUCGACAAGAACUACUUAUCUCUCAACCUCACAAUUCAAACCGAUUCGGGGUAAAGGUGUUCACAAUAGGCCAUACCAAUUUUGGGUUAAUUCCUACCUGAAUGACUUUCUAGGGUCAUACCUAGGUUUUAAGUUCUUUCUCUCCCAACCAGUUGCUCCACUAAGAAAACCCUACAUAACAAUUAAUUAAUCACACCUCCACCACAAAUCCCCCAUAAAAGAUUUAGUUCCUUAUGGAUCUCAUGAACACAGUAAUCUUGAUAAUAAAGAUAAGCAUGAAUAAUGAAUCAAGAUAAAGGUUAAAGAGAAUCCUGAAUUGUAUUGAUUGAAAUGCAGAAUCCACAGUAGUUUGAUCACAAUUACAACUCAAGUUCUUCGACAAAUACGAAAUAGAACAGAACUGAAAUAAACCUAACGCCUAAAAGAAAGGAAAAACUAGAGACUAAAUUUACAAAGAAAAUCUUAGAAUUUAAAAUCUGUCCUAAACAAGUGUUUUAAGAGCCUAUUUAUAGAGUUAGGGUUGUCGUCAUCCUCAACCCUAGGUUAGUUGAUGUUCUCGUGUUUUAAUUUCCAUUGUGCGGGCCAAAAUACCUUUGGCUCGUUAAUACUUCCCGUAAAGGACUGAUGUCACGACACCCUAGUUCCUGUUUCAUGACAUUGAAGGCAAUAUGCAUGGUUCAAGGCUAACUACAGCGGUGUGUCGUGACAUCCCUUAGCUAUGUCAUGACAUCCAAGGCAGUACAAUUGUAACACCCCAAACCCGGCCUAGAAGUUAUGGCCGAAUCUGGCGGUGUCACAUUGAGGUGUUUAGUGAAAAUUGAACUCGUUGGUAAAAAUUCAUUUCUAGGUUUAAAAACCCCAUUAUUAUUAUUUAACAAAUCAUCUAGUAAAAAAAGUUUACCUUGUUAUCUGCUAUUGUGAUAAAAGUUUGAUCUAAAAUCGCAGAAGCUUUUGAAAACUCUAAUGUUUAAAUUUCGUGUCUUUAAAAACAGUAAUUAUUUUGAAAAUUCAUCUUCUGCUAAAUUAGCAGUUUAAAAUAAGUAAGCAAAAUCCCAAUUAAAAAUUUAAACAAACAUAAAUGGCCUUAUUACAAAAACAAAACCCAACAUAAACUUUAAAUUUAUUUAAAAACAAUGUAGAUCAGUUGCAGUUGUGUGGCCACCUCCGAGUCCCUCGCAGCACCAAAUCGCCUAUAGCUGAGGAUUACCUGUACAGUAAAAACGAAAGGGUGAGUUUACGAAACUCAUUGUGUAAUCCCUUACCAAACAGUUAGCAUACAACAUUCAGUAACAGUCUGGGCCUGAGCCCUAUACAGUAAUAGUACAGUGUGGGCCUUAGCCCAUUACAGUAACAGUAUGUGGGCCUUAGCCCAAUAUAGUAACAAUGUGUGGGCCUUAGCCCAAUACAGUAACAGUGUGAGCCUUAGCCCAAUACAGUAAUCAAUACAAUGCAGUAAUGCAACCCAUCCCAAUCCAACUAACAUACCACUCCGUACCACCAACACACCAUGUGGGGAUAAAAUCGACCCACCCAGCCAACACACCAAUAUCGCAGCAAAGCUGCCAGUAACAGUAUCGCAGCAAAGCUGUCAGUAACUAUAUCGCAGUAAAGCUGCCAGUAACAGUAUACUUCCUCCAUAACAGUAUCCCAACCCCAUACAGUAUGUCAUGUCAUAAAUCAUAUGUGUAUGCUAAAUGUCAUACUCAUUCAUAGUCAUACAUAUCAUAAAGCAAAUCAGUUAUACAUAACAUAAGGCCAUAUCAAUCAUUUCAUCUCCUAGGGGUAUAACAGUUAUUAUUUUACCCUAUGGGGGUAAUUCAAUCAUUUUACCCUAUAGGGGUAAUUUGUUCAUUUUACCCUACGAGGGUAAUUCGGUCAUUUUACCCUACGAGGUAAUUCAGUUAUUUUAUCCUACGGGGGUAAUUCGAUCAUUUUACCCUACGGGGGUAACUCGAUCAUUUUACCCUAUAGAGGUAAUUCAGUCAUUUUACCCUACGAGGGUAAUUCAAUCAUUUUAUCCUUCGACAGUAUUUCAGUUAUUUAACCCUAUAGGGGUAUUUCGAUCAUUUUACCCUUCGAGGGUAUUUUGAUCAUUUUACCCUUCAGGGGUAUUUUGAUCAUUUUAACUUAUGGGGGUAUUUCGGUCAUUUUACCCUAUGGGGGUAUUUCAAUCAUUCUACCCUAUGAGGGUAUUUCGAUCAUUCUACCCUAUGGGGGUAUUUCGGUCAUUCUACCUUAUGGGGUAUUUCCAUCAUUUUACCUAUGAGGGUAUUUCAGUCAUUUUACCUUAUGGGGGUAUUUCGGUCAUUCUACCCAAUGGGGGUAUUUCGAUCAUUCUACCUUAUGGGGUAUUUAAGUCAUUCUACCCUAUGAGGGUAUUUCAGUCAUUUUACCCUAUGGGGGUAUUUCGAUCUUUCUACCCUAUAGGGGUAUUUCGGUCACUUUACCCUAUCAGGGUAUUUUGGUCAUUUUAACUAUUUUGGGGUCUCGAUGCAGAUAUCAACCACCCAGAAUUCCUUCCAGGGCCUGCUGAAUUACUUUUAUAGAUUCCGUCAUUUCACUGAUUCGGACUAAAUAACGAGCUAAUGAAUCUCCUUCUUUUUGCCACUGGAUUUCCCAAUCAAAUUCUUCGUAACACUCAUAAUGAUAAACUUUCUGAAGAUCCUAUUUGAUUCCAGAUGCUCGUAGCAUUGGGCCGGAUAAACCCCAAUUUAUUGCUUCUUCUCCACCAAUAACGCCUAUCCCUUAAAUUCGUUCUAAAAAAAUAGGAUUUUCAAUGAUUCCUGUUAAAAAUAAUCAAAAAAAUCCAAACAUUUAUCUAUCCAGCCGUAAGGUAGAUCGGCCGCCGCUCCUCCGAUACGAAAAUAAUUAUGCAUCAUUCUCAUACCGGUGGCAGCUUCGAAUAGAUCAUAUACUAAUUCUCUUUCUCUGAAAAUAUAGAAAAGGGGAGUCUGUGCACCAAUAUCUGCCAUAAAAGGUCCAAGCCAUAACAGAUGAGAAGCUAUAUGACUCAACUCCAACAUAGUGGCUAAAUAAUCCCAACGCGUUACAUACGGCAAAUAUUGUAUAAUUGUUCGGUUUUCUGCAAUUUUAUCCAUUCCUCUAUGUAAAUAACCUAAUAUUGGUUCACAGUCAACAACAUCUUCACCAUCUAGAGUAACAAUGAGACGAAGAACACCAUGCAUUGAUGGGUGGUGAGGCCCCAUAUUGACUAUCAUAAGGUCUUUUUCUGUAGCUGAUAGAUUCAUAAGUUUUUCCUCGAUUCAUUCUUACAUGAAUUGUUGAAAACGAAAACAAGUACAUCAAAAUGAAAAUCUAAUAAAUCGACUAAUUCAAAAUUUACAAAUUAACGAUUUUUUGAUUCCCGAAUAUCCAACUCACUAAUUAAUUCUUUAUAACAUAUUUUAUUUGUCUCGAAAGGUCCGCAAUCUCCUUGACCGACUCAGGUAACCUAAAUGGUCAUAACAGUGUAAAUGGGCCCAAGGCCCAUUACUCGGCCCAAGUGGGCCCACACGCUUGGGUGGCCCGUUCAGCCCAAAUUUCGCCACGGCUAUGAGAUAUACUUAGCCCCGACCAGUAUUUGCCACAAAUCAAUGAUCAUCGCACCCUUGGUUCCCAGGCAAUGUGCCAAUCAACCUCGACCACCACCAGUUAGGAAUGAAAGCAAUGCAGGUUGGAGAGAGCGACGAAAACCUUGAAAACCUCACCGAUCUCCCAUCGAGAACAAGGAACAAAUGAGAUGAUAUAUAUCUCUCCACAACAACAACCUCCCCAAAUCCCAAUAUUCUCUCCUCAAAUCUCUCCAAGUAUCCCUCCUUAAUUCUCUCUAUGACCAGUUCAAACUCCAUUUAGCAGUAUUUCAAUCCAACUCUACCACCCACACGAAUUAGGCAGCAAAAUAAAUAUUCCCUUUCUGAUGCGCCACCACUCAAACCUUAGACCCCAUGUACACUCCAUACGCCCCUUACCACUAGACCAACAACUCAUUUGUAUCAUAUUUUAACCACAAUAAUUUAAGAACCUACUAUCUAGAUCCAAGGAUUUUAUUCACUUAAAAUAAAAAUUUUGCAUAAGCCAAGGCUUGAACCCCUGACUUCUCAGACACUUCCAAACACUCCUAAGUCUCUUAACCACUGAAGUAGAUAUUCAUUUAUGUCACUUCCUUGCACAACUAAAUAUUUGUGUGCAGUCUCCUAACUGUUCCCUUGUUCAAAACCUAUUUCUUCUAGGCCCAAAAUUCGGGGUGUUACAAUAGUGGUUCUGGUCUUCUACUGCCUAUGUUGCAACAUAGAACUACCCAUGUUGCAACAUAGCAACCAACUUUGAGUUCCUAUGCCUUUGAAUGGUCUUUUGCACACUUACUAAGUACAUUAGCCCACCUUUAGGCCUCAGCCGGCCCUUAAGGUCAAUAAAAGACUCAAAAUGAACUUUUCAUUGGAUUUAACUAAACUAAGAAAACAUAAGUAAAACAUACUAAAACUGCUCGUAUUCAAGCUCCUCAAGUACAAAAACUAGUUUAAUUAGCUACACCGAAUUACCACAGAUCAGAAACUCCGUGUUGCAACACCACUGACAAGAUCAAUGAAUAGAGCAAUUUAGCUCUAUGUCGCGACACGACACCUUUAUUUCAUGACAAAACAGUCAGAUUGUCCCAAAUUCUAAAGAUUUCAAGGUGUGUUGCGACAUCAAUCCCUGAUGUCACGACAUCAGUAUCCUGCUAAGGGUGUCAGGACAUAAAACCCCUAUGUUUCAACAUCACUACAAUUUUUUAUAGGGUCGACCUAACCCUCCAUGCAACCCAUUGGUUUUAACACUUGUUUAACCCAAUUUUUAACCUAAAAACACCAACAAAUUUUAAAUCUAAAACACUUUUAACUUGUUUUUAAACUUUCUCUAACUUUAAACUCCCUCUAAAACCUUCCAAACUCUUGAAACUCAAAAACCUUGUUUUACUUGUCUUUCUCUUUUGCUACAAAUUUUCUCCUGUUUUUCUUAUGUUUCUAUUUUUUGUAAGAUAAAAGCAACACGACAACGAGGAACUUGCAAUGGAUUUUCAAAAAGAAUCACAAGUUCUCAAGUAAGGUUAAGGCUUCUAAAUAGAUUUUUACUAUUUUAUUACAUUAUUUGCUUGAUUUUUGUUAUUUUUUAGUUAGAAUAUUAUUCAAAAUGCCUGCUAGGAAAAUCUAGAAGUACUAGGGAACAAAAACCAUUAAUGGUUGCAAAUCUCUUGAAAUUUCCAAACGAGAAUGUGGAAAAAUAUUUUUUAGAACUAUAAGGAAAGACAUUCAUUCAAGAAUAGGGUUUUGAACCAUUGACGAUUCUUUACAAAGAAAUUUGGCCGUUAGUUUGGUAUCAUAGAUGGGAGAGAUUUUGCGUGACUCCCAAAGAAAAUGCAAUAAUCCUCAUAAUCCAAGAAUUUUAUGCAUUUUUUAAGGAUUAAGAGACAAGGAGACUAUAUACGGCUAUUUGGGAAACCAUAAUAGUACUAGGGAAAGAGGUGCACUCACCUCUUGUGAAAUUUGUGAGUUUUACAAUAAAAUGUUUUCCUUGAAAACACAAAUUUAACAAGUUUAAAUGACAUAAAUAUGGAUAAUAUUGUGAACUACUUAACUGAAGAGAGGGGUGAGUGGAAUCAUUGACAGCAUACCGGUCUACCGAUCAAUUUUAAUCAAGCAAUAAUGUUCCCUACUAUGAAUGUUUCUAAUGUAAAUACUUUCUAAGCCAUUUUGUUAUAUGGUAAUUUGCAGAAUAAAUAGAUAUGCAUCGGGGAAUGGAGCAUGAAACAUUGUAUCAAUGACUAGAAGGUCGGGGUUUUCUUCCCUCACCUAGUGACGACAAUACGCAAAAAGGCUAAAGUUCCAAUGGAAGCGAAUGAACAAUUCACGAGGCCAACGAAAAGCUUAAUAGGUGACUCUCGUAUACAUAGUAUGUCAAGCUCAAGUGGAAAAAAAUAAAGGAUUGGAACCAGCGAAGAAAGCAAAAGAUGGAUGUCCUGGCAUCUCUGAAAAGAAAAAAGGUAUCAAAAGCUCGAAAAGGAAGUGAAAUCUCGAACAACGAAUGGCUGAUUAGAUGGAUGCAAGAAACAGUCCCAGUUAUUCAAGAAUUUGCAUGGAAAAAUGGUAUGAGAAUACCAAAAUUACUGCCACCCAAAUAUGGCCCUAUUCGAUCCCAUAACAGAUCCAAAGAGUAAUUUUAUAUUUUUUUUUGUUUUUGGUUUUGAAUUUUCUAUGUAGGAACCUUUCAUGAAGGAAAAACUACAUUUACGAGCUUUCAACGAUUAAGGAAGUAGUACCCACCAUAAGAAUACGUCAAUGUCACAAUCAAUUGGGUAACUUCAUUCCUAAUCUAUUUAAGGGUUGCACAUUAGGGACAAUAUGCUAUCUAAAGUGUGGGGGUAACAUAGGAAAUUUUAGUUUCAGUUUUACACUUUUUCAUUUAUUUUUCUUGUCAAAAGUGUGCUUGAGUUUGUAAAAAUACAAGUGAUUGGUUAAGAGCAUGCAUAUAGGGUGAUUGUAUUUAUGAUAAAUUUGGCAUGAUAGUGACUUAUUUUAAAUUUUUAGUUAUUAGACUACUAAGUUUUAUAAAUUACACUGUAAAUAGGCAUUAAGUAAUUGAAUAUACCAAAUGACAGAGAGAAUAUAGGGAAAUGAGCAUGCUAGUAUGUAUGAUAAAUGGCUAAAUUGUGAUUACUUGAUUGAUUAAAUUUAUGAAUAUUGAGAUACCUAGGGAUGACCUAAGACAAUGUUUGGUAUACACCUAGAGCUAAAAAGCCAACCUUAUUCAUGAAUCCUUAAAACCCAUAUUUGAGCUAGAAAACUCUUCUUGAUAAACCUUCAUGCAAAACCAAAGCCAAAAUAUGAACUUGUACUUGCCUUUUUUCUUUGGUCCAUGAAAUGCACGAAUUUAGACAUCCUGUCAUAUGUAUUGAGGGAUAAGUAGAGACAUCAUGGUGGUUUUGUAAAUAUAAGAGUGAAAUAGAAAGGAGAAAUGUGAUAUAGUUAUUAUAAGGUUCAGCCAAAAUGUGUAAAACAAAAGAAAAUUUCAGAAAAAAAUCAAAAUGAGUAGAAAAAGUACUUGAACAAUUGAAAACAAAAUCAUUGUGAGUGGGAAUCAUUGGAAAAGUCAAAAGUGACUCCAAAAGUAAAUGUAAGGCCCCAAAAAUAGGUCCAGUAGUUUCGAGUAAGUUUACCGAGUUUCGAGUGAAAAUUGAGAAUUCAUCGGGUUAAUUAGCGAUUUAUAUUCUUAAUUAGUUAGCUUAACUUUAUCUAAAAAUCGUUAAAUAAUAUUUCGAAAAAUAAAAAUAUUUUUAGAAAAAUUAAUUUCAAAAAAUAAAAAUAUUUUUAGAAAAAUUAAUUUUAUGGUUUUAAAUAAUUUUUGGGUAAAAAUAAAUAUUUUGGGUUAAAUUGGAAUAUAAAAAUAAUUUAAAAUAGGGGUUUAAUUGGGUGAUUUAAAAUAUUAAUUAAAUGAGACUAAUUUGAAAAAAAAAAAGGGGAAAUGUGUAAGAGGUUUUAUAGAAAAUAAAUCAUAUUUUCAGAAUUUUAGAGGGAAAUGAGCAAAUUGUAAAACAAGGGAAAAGGGGGAGUGGCCUAAUGGCAAAUUUCCCAAAUUUUGAAAAUCAGGUGGGGGUUUUAAGUUUUAAAAACUCUGCAACUACCUCACUUUUCACUCAUUUUUCACCUGAAUUGAGAGCGCUCUCUCUCUCUCUCUNNNNNNNNNNNNNNNNNNNNNNNNNNNNNNNNNNNNNNNNNNNNNNNNNNNNNNNNNNNNNNNNNNNNNNNNNNNNNNNNNNNNNNNNNNNNNNNNNNNNCUCGUACUCUCUCUCUCUCUCUCUCUCUCUCUCUCUCUCUCUCUCUCUCUCUCUCUCUCUCUCUCUCUCUCUCUCUCUCUCUCUUUGCUUAUUUUCAUAAACCAAAUAUCAUAGAAUAGAUUUAAACAUUUUCUCUCCCAAAAUUCUCCCUAAAAUCUCUCAAAAUAAUUUUAAAAGUUGGGCGAAAAAUCAUCCGAAUUUCUUCAAGCAUUUUGAUUCAAACUUCCAAAUCAAUGAUUUGAGUUCAAUUGAAGGUAAUUCACAUCUUUAAACUUUUUUUAAGUUGAUUUCAAUCGUUAUUUAUUAAUUAAAGUGAUUAUAAUGGAUUUUUAACUUUAAUUUCUUCUUCCUUGAACUUGAGGAUCAACAAUGGUGGAUCUUUAAUUUUGAGUUGGAAUCCAAAUAUUAAUAGAUGUGAAAGCUCAAAAUAGGUCUAAUAAGAGGUUUUUAAUCUUAAACCAAAAGAUCAAACAUGUUUUAUGGAUCAAUUUUGAUAAACUCGAAUUUGAUGAAGAACAUAGAUGAUUUUUUCGAAAAAUUAUGAAACAGAUUAAAUGAUGAAAUUAAUACUUAAAAUACAUGUUAUUGGACUAGGAAUGAAGAUUAGAAGUGGUUUGAGGUGCUGAAAAGGGAGUUUAGUUGAGGAAUUCCACAUUUCGACUUAGUUUUCAACAUCGGUAAGGGAGUUUAGAGCAAUGAUCUAGAUUCAUAUUCUUUAUCAAAUUUCGUUUUUCUUGUUAUUAUUCUUAGUUUGUAAUGCAUACUUUAUCUCUAUUAAAACUUCACAUCAAGAGGAGGAACAUGCAAAUCAGAAUUGAAGCCCAAACUUGCUUGUUUGAAGCCCAAACUUGCUUGUUUGAACACUUUGUUUUUUACUUAAAGAGUUAAGUGUGGAGGUGAGUGAUAUUGAGAGAAAUUUGGUAAAUUGGCCUAAUUAUGUGUUAAAUUAAAGGUUUAAUUGGUUUUAUUAACGACUUAACUAUAUAUUGGAUGGUUGGAUUUGCAAAAAUAGGUUUUAUUUUAUAAAAGAGCGAAAUGGCAAUUGGUUUGGUAAGUUGUGUAUUAUGCUUUUAGCAUGAUUAAAUUUUAUAGAAUAAAUUGAUAUUUGGAGCAUGAAUUGUUGAUUUAUUGAACAUUUGAUAAAUGUGUUCAAUUGGUAUAUGAAUAUUGGGAAAAUGAUAUUUGCCAUGAUUAAUUUUAUUGAUGUUAAAAUUGCUUAGCGACAUGCUUUUACUUGCAUUUUAACAUCCUAAAUUAAGUGAUUAAACAAUAGAUUUGAUGCCUUGUAUGUAUGAUUAUAUUGGCAACAUUGCAUGGUGAUCCAUUGGAUACAGUUGGCAUGCCAUAUUUGUGAGUACUCACCAUUAUUUGUGAUAUUGUGAGCCUAUGGCUCUUGGUGGAUUGAUUUGUUUGGAGUAGAUAAGGGAGUGUUGAGCUUGAGUCUUCACUCACCAGGUUAUUUGAAGCGCUAUAAAGGAGCAUGUGGCUUUGGCCCACUCAAUUCGGAGGACUGUAUUUGAUUUGUGGGAGUUCGGAGAUGCGUUUAUCCAAUAUAUGAUCACACGUUUACUUAUUGUCAUGGAUGUAUUAUGUCAAUAUAAUUGAUUGAUUGUGCCAAUAUAAUUGAAUGUUAUGUGUUAAAAGAUGCUUUUAUAUGCCAUGAAAAAAAAUUAUUCUUAAUUAUUCUUAAUAGUAUGUGAUGUUAUGGCGAAAUAUUAACAUGUUGUGACUGAAAAUUUAAUGCUUAAUUGCUUUGAUUUAUGACUGAAAAUUUAAUGCUUAAUUGCUUUGAUUUAUGCCUGAUUGGGUACAAAUUACUUGAUGUUUUUACUAUCAUUCAUUGAGCUUUUUAAGCUCACACCCUCACAUUACGUGCAGACAAUUUUCGGGCGGAAGGAGUCGAGAAGCGAGUGCAAGGGCAAUCCAAGAAUAAGGCUCGGUAGUGGCUUAAAAAUUUUACUUUAGAGACUAUAUAGGGCAUUGUGAUGCUUUUGGGACUAGUGUUAUUUUACUUGUAAUGGACAUUGGACAUUAAAUUUUGGACUUUAAUUUUGGUGAUUUUAUAGUUGCUUUGUCUAAUUGAUGUUUGAUUUAUGGUAUGUUGAUGAGUGUUCGUACGGUGGUUGAUAACACGAUGAAUGAAGCAUGUAUUUUGUACUAACAAUGUUUAAUUGAAGCUUACCAUAGAGUGGAUUGCUUGCGACUAAGGUAUGUAGCUUGUGUGAAUUAAUUGGUGUUUGCUAAGCGUGUAAUUGGGUGUUAAAUUUUGAUUAAUUGUUGCAUAUGUGUUGUAAAUAAAUUAAAUUGGAGACGUGUGGAUGUUUAUGGUGAUUAAUUGUAACUAUUUCAAGUUUAAUGUGUAAGUAAAAUAUGUAAAAUCGGGUAAUUAAAAUGGAUUUUAAACAAAAUAGGUGCAGUGGUUUGCACACGGGCGUGUGUCUUUUCACACGGGAAUGUGGGUUUUGGGGGGUUUAAUUUUUCGUUUUUGUAAUCUAGUAUUCUAAUUUGCUUAAUUUAUAAUUUAGUCCUAAAACUUGAUUAGAUUAAUUAAAGCCUUUGAUGAUAGGGAAACUUGGUAAUAUUUUAGACUUGUAACUAUUAAUAUUUGGUAGAAACAAUCUUAAUUUUUAAUUUGAAAAUGUACUAAAAGUUUGUGAAAGUUACGAUUUAGUCCCUAAUAAUAAAACCUAAAUUAGAUAUAGUAAAUGAACUUGAAUUAAGUUGAAAUUUUUAGGGCUUGCAUAAUUUGAAUAAAAGAAGGUAGAUAACUAUUUAGAAAUAAAAUCAAGAUAGUUUAACCUUAGGCGGUAAAAUAACCAAAAUACCCUUAUGUUUAAAUAUUUAGAAAAAGUUUUAAAAUGGUUCACAAAUUGCUUCCGUAUUAAUAAAUGAUAGUUAAUUAGUCAUAAAUGAGGUAUUAUAAGGUUGGGGUGCACGUCGGGUGGUCGUCAGCUAGAGAGUCAAUUCGGUGGCUAAUGUAAUGCUUCGAAUUCGGGUCGGUCCAUCCCAGUCGGGUUUGGGGUGUCACAAUAAAAGUCACAAAAUUAGAAACCUCAACAAUUAGUGCACAAAAAAUUGUGAGCUAACCAUAGUUGCUUUAUUAUACCGUGACUUGCUAUAUGGAGAAAUAAGGAAAGUAAAAGAAUGAGAAAUAAGGUGGUGAGCAGGCAAGGGAUAUUAAGGGGAAGAAUAGGGAACAAUGGAUGUGCCAAACUACUUUUGUGCUUGAAAUUGUUUUGAUGCCCUUUUUAUUAAAUUCCAUACCAACCUUAAGCUUUAGAACGUUACAAGUCGAAAAGUCCUAUGUGACGUUGAUAAAUCUAUUCAUGAAUGGACAUUAUAUCAAGUAAUUGCAAUAAUGGUUGUUUGUAUUCUGUUAGUAUAAUCAAAUUACAUGUAUGAUUUAGCAAUGGAUCCAUAUAUUUAAGGACCUUAUUGUUUAUAUAUUUUGUAAUAUACUGAAUUUAGGGGUUUGAAGUUGAGAAUGUUAAGUCAUUGAUGUUGGAUUGUCGGUACGCCCUGUGACACAACGAAAAAUUUAUUCCGAUGAUCACCAUCAAAGGAUCAAAGUACGAGGAAUGAAUCGGGUUGAAACAUAAUUGGAAAUAUACCUUUAGCAAUCUAAUUUCCUUUGUGGUGUCGAUUCCAAGCCGUAACAGAAUCAUUUUGGCAUCUACGUAAUCCACUCAGUCAAGCAUGAACAAUAAAACUCUUUGAACUUUUCAGAGAGAAUUCAGACUGGCUGCUAGACCUCUUGAAUUUUUCCUUACUUCUCAAUCGCAUCAUCAGGGAUCUUUUUCCUUUUAUUAAUUACCUAUAAUAAAAACGGAAUAAUUCCCUUUUACUUCUAGAGAAAAUCAUGGAAGGUAUUAAAGUUUUCUUCUGUCCAAAAGAAUAUUAACUUUCAUAAAUAUUAACUCUGGAAAAUAGUUGCGAAUCGUAUUCACUAGGCGAUAUGUUAGUCAGGCGAUAUAGUCCGCCAGACGAUACUGUCCACCAGGCGAUAUUGUCUGCCAAAGAUGUAUAUAGGAAGGUAUAUGGCCAACAUUUUGUAUGAAGUCUAUUCGCUUUAACCAUAGGGUGUGACCUUGUAGGUUAUUGUAACAGUAGUAGUAAUACUAAAACAUUUCUAAUGUUACAAGCAAUGAGUGGCAUCUAGUAAUGCAUCAUUGCUACCUAAGUUACAAGAAGUUGUGAUUCGACAUAAAAUUUCUAUGAUAAACUUUUAUCCUUUAUAUCUAGAUUGGACGCAAGUCAUGGUAUAGUCACACUUGUAUAGUCCAAUCUCAUAGUUCUUGAUAUUUUGAGUAGACUAAAAUAAACAAAUAAGUGCGAUAUCUCAUAUCAACUUAUUUGAGUAUGGCCAUGCAUUUCUAGUCUCACUUCAUCAAAUGGCCCAAGAUAUUACUCCCAUUAUGUAUGAGGGAUAAAUCAGAUUUUGAUCAAUCAUAUCCCACUACAUGGUUUGUGGUAUAUCCAAUAUCAGUCUUUAUAGUACAACUUUGACUACAUCAAAAUAUACAACUCAUGAUGUUAGGACAAUGGUGAUUUCAAGUCUGAGGAUCAUAUACAUAGUUAUCACUAUGAGUAAUGUUGUGAUUAUUACAUAAUAAUCUAAGAAACAUACUCACAGUGGGUCAAUCCAAUAUGUUGUUCUCUAACACAUACUCAUGUAUUGAUUUUGACAUCCCUAUGUCAAUGACGACACUUUGUCAUCAAUCAACUACACAUUAGUCUCAAUGUAUUAUCGCUGUCCAAACCCACAAUAAUACUUGACUAAGGAAUUUUUAAGAAUAAUCAUAUUAUUCUCAGGACUUUAUUAUUUAUAAGUUUAUUUAUACACACAAAAAUUGAAAUAACAAUGGCAAUGUCUUAUAUUAACAACGUCAAUGUCUUAUAUUAACAACAAGGUAAAGACGAGUAUGUAAUUACAAUAAUAUCAUGCCAUAAUUACAUGUAUAUAUGAUUAUUCCUAGUUAUGUGUUCCAAAACUGGUAUUUGUAUCAUAUUUGCUCAAGAGUUGUGUUUUAUUUUUCAAUUUUUAUGUUUUCUUGCUUGAGGACAUGCAAUGACUUAAGUGUGGAGGAGUUUGAUCUACCGCAAUUUGUUGUAGUAGAUUAAACCAUUUUUCAUACUUAGCUUGAAUAAAAGAAAUUUCAUCAUGUUUUACUUAAUUUUUCACUUUUAGUUAUCAAAUAAUAAAAAGUGUAAUUUGAUUUGUUUAUAUGACUUUAGGGGCAAAAAUAGGCCUAAAGGAAGACUAACGUGUUUCGUGAAUGUGCAGGACACCAUUCGAAAGCAUGAAAACACGAGCUGGUCACCAUGUUGCAACACGGAGGUUCAACGAUGCAACAUAGUGAGCAAGACACCUAAAAUAGAAAGAUUGCCUUUGGCGUCCCGACAUAGCUAGAGGAUGUCGCGACACAGCCUUGAAUCUGAGCCUGAGCAAAGUAAACUACCACCAAUGUUGCGACACCGGCUUGACGUGAAGAAUUAAUAAGCUAAGAGUGUUUUGGUCCGCACAAUGAACUUUAACAUAAAAACGCCGGCCAGACUAAAGCUAUGGACGACAACCAACCCUAAAUCUAUAAAUAGGCUUUACUGAACACUUCUUAGACAACUUUUCUGUGUCUUUAAACUUUUAUUCUAGUUUAGGUUGUAAGUUUUAUUUAGUUUUCAGUUUAUUUUAACUUUUGUCUGGCAGAGAAUCUGAUUGGUAGAUUCAUUAUUCUUGUGGAUUUUUAUUUUUUCAAAUCAUCAAUACAAUUUAGGAUUUCUCUUAAACUUUUACUCUUGAUUUAUUCUUCAUGUUUAUCUUUUUUAUCAAGUUUAUGUUGUUUAUGAGAUUCAUGAGGAACUAAUCCUCUUGUGGGGAAUUAACGAGUGGACGCGAGAGUACUUAAUUUUUGUGUAAGGUUUCUUAGCAAAUCAACUUUUUAGGAUAGGAAGAACUUAAACCCUAGGCCUGACAACCUUAGGAAGUCAUCUAGGUGGCAAUGAACCAAAAAUUUGUAUUGCCUAUCUGUGAACCCCUUACCCCAAUCAGGUCUCGACUGUGAGGUCGAGAGAUAAGUAGUUCUUAUGGACUCGUUAGUUUAGUGGAAGAUCAAGUGAUCCUACUAGGUUAGUGACUAGUUGGUUGAGUAGAGCUCAACAUAGGAUUUAGUUAUGAGCACUAAAGUGAGUUAGUCUUCCAUGCUUAGAUUUGAGUGAUUCAACAAAUUAGUUUUCCAUUUUUUAUUAUUUUAUGUUAUUUAUUUAUUUUUCUUAUAAAAUAAUUUCUCUUCACUUUAUGUUUUAGUGUAAUGUAAUUUAAUUAAAAUACUAAUUAGAUCUAUUACGUUAGAGAUAUUAUUAAUUUAGUAUUCGCCUCCCUUGGGUACGAUCCUCGAAGUACUCUCCUACUUCAUUGUAAAAAACUAUAUUACAACCUGACCUAUAUACUUGCAAAAAUUGUCUAACUCUUAUUUGGUUGCAAGAAUUAUACUCUAAACGUUAAUACAUCUGGAGGUGGUCAAAUACACAACCACAUCGUGCAUUCAGAGAGCAUACCAACAAUCAUCUAUAUAUAUCCAUGGUAUUAUGCAUGCAUAGUUUACCCUUUAUCGUAAUCAUAUACAACCAUGGAUUUUAGACUGGACUCAAAACAAACACUCGAGCAAAACAUUUAGCAGCAUGAUAACAAAAAAUAACCAAAAUAGAUUCCAGAAACUCACCUUAAGUCCUUUGUCCUCGCCAGCUUAGCUUGUCCAAACACCAGAGUCUCUUUCGUCCUAGAAGCUAAGUAUGACAACCAUAUAUAUUGGUUAAACCGAAAGUAUUCAAAUCUUAAAACUUAGAAUUCAGUAUCAUUCAAAAGCUUCCUAGAGAUUUCAGAAAUCCUUAUUUCCCUUUCUCAAUCCAUGAAUACAAAAAGAUAGAAAGACUUACUAGUUCCUUAAAUUCUCUACUCCCUAACCUCAAUCCUCACGAUCACUGCCCCAUGCAAUAUUUCAUCAAUUUUCUCUCAUUCGGAGCAACCAGAAAAGACGAUGGAGAAGGAAGGAAAGUAAAACAGAAAUGAGGAGAAUUCUGCCUUCAAAAUAAUCCUCCACUCUCAUAUAUAUAACGAUUCUUAUGCACGGCUCAAGGCCCCAAGUAACCAUCCAUCGGCUAUCAUUUUGUCUCCCACUAAGGAAUCAGCUGGUUCCAACGUAACCAAACUAGAAUUGGUUCCCAACUAAUUACCAUUCAACCACCAAAAUUUUCCAAGUUUUCCAGUAAAGCCCUCCAACUUACUAUUUUAUUCAAUUAACUCUUAGCUCUCCAUUAAUUUCUGGGACUUAAAGAAAACCGGGUGUGACAAAUAUCGUAGCAAGACUAAAAACAACCUUAUUGUUUUAUGACCCUCUAGAUGGUCCAAUUAGUUAUGAUUUUUCUAUUUUUUAUAAUUAAUCCCUGAUGAGAUUCUCUCUUAUUUUGGAAGAGGCCUUCAGCCCUCCCAUUAGGAAAACAAUUAUGUAAUCUUUCUUUUUUAUCCAAGUUCAUUUUAUUACCAAAAAGAAAAAAAAAGUAGUAGUAUCUUUAGUUUCUUCUAGUGUCACGGGUAGCACAAAGAAGCCCGCAACCAAAGCACACUUUGAUGUUCCCUUUUGUUCAUUGGGGGUCAUUUGGCCUGACAAGAUUGACCCAUUCCUUGGAAGAGACUCAAGGCCUAUCUGCUUGGAUCCUAGCUAAAUUGUAAGCAUUGUAUUUUACCAAGGUAAUUAUUGUAAAUCCUAAAGGAUAAACAUGUAUAGAAUUUGAAUCCCUUAGGACUCUCUUAUUGUAGAUAAGAACUAAUCUCAACCAUUAAUGUAAUUCGAUCUGUACAGUUGGAUUUGAGGGAGCUAAACUAUAAAUAGAGUCAUCUCCCUUCAUUUGUAAUAAUUCCAUUCUUGAGUUAAAGAAUAUAUUGAGAGCAUUUACUCAAACACUUGGUGUGCGAUAUUUCUUUUUGGCUUUUUUGUUCAUUCUUUGCUCUUUCGUUUUUAGUUUGCUUCCAUUUUGCUUUGGUGUAUUAGAGAAUUUCUGCAAAAAUUUUCAUUUUUCCAGAGUAGGCUGACUUGGACAGGAAUUCAACCCAAGAAAUUGCCUAAAGCCGCGCGGUUUGCCAAACUAAAUUUCUAGCCCCAUGACAUUAAUAAUACCAUAUAUUCCUUGAUGGUCAACAUUUCUCUCCAUCUCCUAUAUAUAAAUGGUUAAAAUGUGCUACAAGUCGCUGUACGUUUCAAAAAUUAGGAAUUUAGUCCAUAUACUUCUAUAUCAUUGAUUUUAGUUCCUCUACUUUUUAGAUUUCAAAAUUCAUUUAAGUCCAAUUGUUAACAUUUUUUUUUUGGUGACAUUUUUGAAAUAAAAAUACUCAAUUGAUACCCAUGUAAUAAAAAAAAAGACUUUGUAAUUAAAUUGAAUUUAACAAAAUAAUAAUAAUGUUAACAAUUAAACCUAAAUUUUAAAAUAGGGAUAAAUUUUAAAAUUAUACAUGAACUUUGAUUUAAUGUGUAAUUGUAUAAAGAAACUUUAAUUUGGUGCAAUUAUACAUGUGAAACUCUAAUUGUGGUUCAAAUAUAUACUUGAAACUUUAAUUUUGAUUAAUCGUACAUAUUUAAAAAAAUAAUACAUCAAUUUAUUUUUAUUUGGGAAAAAUAUAUUUAUUUAUGUAUGCAAUAUAUAAAUAUAAAAUGAUGUUAUAUCAAUAAUUGUGUUAAUUAUUUACAAAAAUUGGAUCAAAUCAAAAUUUUAUAUAUAAAAUUAUACAAAAUCAAAAUUUAUAUAUAUAAUUAUAUAUUAAACCAUAAUUCAUAUAUAAUUUUAAAAUUUAUCCCUUUAAAAUAUGAAAAGUAUAAAAAUAAAUUCCUUCAAUUAAGAGUACAAGGUUCAUAUUCUCAAUUUUCAAAAAGUAUAGGUACUUGUGCCACAUUUUAACCUAUAUAAAUAGGAUCGGCGGAUUUAGACCAACGGAGUGAAAGAUCGAAAUUGGCAGAAGAUGAAGGUUUCCGUCAAAACUCUCAAAGGCACUCACUUCGAUAUCGAAGUCAAACCCGAAGAUGCGGUUCGCUUCUCUCUCCCUCUUUUUCCAGGGCUUUUACGUUUCUUGACUAGGGUUUUCCGUUUUCCCCUGCAUUUGAACAUUAAUUCGCGUUCAUCUAGGACUGUAUUAGUUGGACUUAUUAUGCACGUAGUUGAAUUACCAUGCUUGACAUGUGAAAUCGGAGAUCGUGAAUGAUUUGUUCAAUUUUAGUGUCUAAUUCAUUGAAUAUGUUUAUUUAGCUUGUGAAUAGUCUAGCUACUUCGAUUAAGUUUUAGUGGACUGAUACUCGUGUAGCUUGAACGGCGGUAUCCUUUUCUUCUGGCGACAAUUAGCAAUUAAGUACUUCCUACGUAAUGCUUUUUACCAGUUCAUUGAAAUUAGUGAAUAAUACUUUGAUUUCUGGGCUUCAUUUUUGUCUUAGUAUUUCAUUAACUUGUAUCAUUGAAUAUUGAUGCAUAGAUUGCCAUGUAAUUUCUAGUUGUAGUUUGCUAGAUUUAGGUUUGAAUUUGAGUAUACACAAGCUUUGAUCAUUGCCAUAAGCAUCUCAUAUUUUGCAAUGCUCUUUCACUUCUUUUUAAUUAGUGUGGUUAUGAACACUGGAUUAAAUGUACAGAGGCUUCUUUUAAUAGAUCUUCUAUAACCAAGGAUCAAGUUCUGCAUUCUAUGGUUACAUCUAAUCAAGGGUUGUGUUUUUUAAUGAUGUGGAUUUUCUAACUAUAUAAAUAAGCUAUUAUUAUUUUUAUUGUUUUUUGCUACUUUUUAUGCUUUUAAGGUUUAUAUAUACAUAUAUACAUACAUAUAUAUAUGCAUGUAUACAUACAUAUAUAUAUGCAUGUAUACAUACAUAUAUAAGCACAGACAUGAAAGUCUUGGGAUAAAAUGCAUUCUGCCUUCUGCCUUUUUCAUUUCUUUGUCACUUGUUAUUAUACAAUUCCGCUGCUAAUGCUUGUCAAUUCUUUCAGGUUGCGGAUGUAAAAAAGAACAUAGAAACUGUUCAAGGGACUGAUGUUUAUCCUGCUUCACAACAAAUGCUUAUCUAUAAGGGAAAAGUUCUUAAAGAUGACACGACACUGGCUGAAAACAGUGUCACUGAAAAUAGCUUUAUUGUGAUCAUGUUGACAAAGGUGAGAUUGUUUACAAUAUUCUGAUUUUUAUGUUUGUAAUAUUUCAUCUAACUUGUUCGAACUUUUCUGACCAAAGUAUGCUGACUUUGUCCUAAUAAAUGCCCAACUGACAUCAUUAUUUUUCACACUGCUGUUGAACUUGAAAGUUAUCUUAGUUAUAACUGAUGACGGAGUGUUGUAUCCUUAUAAUUUUCUUUUGAAAUCUGGUUGUUUCUUUCCUGUAGGUGCAUCUUAUAAAUCAAUUUGUUGCUAAACUAGAAAAUUUUCUUUGUGCUACUUUUUGACCUUUUACCUACUUGUAUUUGUAUCUGAAUUUAUUUUUCAUGACUGUCAUUUUCAUACUAAUAUUGUCCUUUUUGCUUAAAUAAACUAGAAUAAGGGUACAACUGGUGAGGGUUCAGCUGCUUCAACAGCUCCUACAAAGAAAGUAAGAUUGUUGUUACCUCUCUUACUACUACUUGCAUGCAUAAUUGGUUGUAAGCAAUGAUUGUCACUGUACCUUUUGAGCCACAUUUCUUGAGACAUUUUGCAAUAAAUAUGACAUGAAAAGUGUUGGGAUUCUGUUUUUUCCAUGAUGGUAGAUGUUCUUUAUUUCAAUGCUAUGAACUAGAACUUGAAGUGAUAGUCAAGCAUCUUGAACAAAUAUAAUUUGUAAACGAGUAGAUCAUCAAAAAAGUUAUAUACAGCAAAUAGAAUGCUUUUAAGAUUUUGGGUUUUUAGAUAUGGCCCAGGUUUGAGUUGUUUUGUGUCCAACUGCUUUCUAUGUUACACUAUUGAGCCAUAAACAUAUUGCAUAAUUUGGAGUUUGAGUUGGUGUUAUUACCAAAUUCAACCGCCUUAAAUGUUUAUGAGUUAGUUACACGAUCUCUUAUCCAUGUUUCUCAAUUUCACAAUUGUUUUCCCUUUCUCCUUUCCAGUAGCAUAUCAAUAUGAAAGAAUAUUGACUCCUUCUUAGAACUAUUUAGCUUGAGCUAUUAACUCUCACAAUCAUUAUGCAAAUUCUGAUUUGAUCUUCAAAUUUCUUUUUGAGUAUGAAUAUAAAUUUCUGUUUUCCCCCCACUAUACAAUCUUUAGGGUAUGUUGCUUCUGAAAACUUAGCCUGUAUCCAAAGAUUAUUGUGGAGUGAGUAGUGAUUUUGGAUUCUUUGUAGGAUCCUGAGGCAAGUAAUCUGCCAACAGCUCCAGCACCAGCUUCUACUGCACCUGUUGCAACAUCAGCUAUGUAAGUCCUGCUAUUCUACACUUUUGGUCAGAUACAGCACCUUUGCAAUUGAUUAAUUGCUUAUUAUUUUUUUUCAGGGCUGCAGCUGCCGCUGAAUCUGCUCCUGUUGCUUCAAGUACUCCUCUGUGAGUAACUUAUUCUUGAUAGUAAUUUUCAUGCUUCUUAUUUGAAGGAUAGAAGCUUUUGAUUUAAUCGAAUUGCUUUUAGUAGGAGAGAUCUUGAGUUUUUCCUUGUUUUCCUUUGCAUACUUGUAAUAUCUUGAAUAAUGUCUUUGGAAACAGGUCAGAUUCUGAUGUUUAUGGCCAAGCAGCAUCUAACCUGGUUGCAGGGAGUAACUUAGAGGGAACAAUCCAACAGAUUCUUGAUAUGGGUGGAGGGACCUGGGACAGGGACACUGUUGUCCGCGCCCUUCGUGCUGCUUAUAAUAACCCAGAGAGAGCUGUUGAAUAUUUGUAUUCUGUAAGUACCUUUCUUGUAUCUUGAAGAAUAUGUGCUUUCUUGCGUGCUUCUAGUUGCUGUUGUUUUAUUGUUCUCCUUAAUGUAGAUGUGGGAAUAACCUAAUAAGCUGAGCUCAUCCUGAGAGGUUUUCUUGGAAUGAUGAUUAUGCCAUUGUCAUUUUUAAUUUGAUGUAAUUCUAUUUGAAACUUGGCCUUCUCCUUGCCAUGAUUUAUUGGUCAAUGAUGAUUGAAUUUCUGCACACCCAAAAUAUGCCUCGUAUCUUUCAUUUUGCUGGUCCUUUUUGACUUGGUGGAUAAGUUGACUUCACCCCCCCCCAACAAAAAAAAAAAACAAUAUGAACAGGAAUGUUGGAUUUCUAUUUCAAUCACAUGGUGUGUCUUAAUUUGUUUUAUGGUGGGUUUUAAUGGUAUUUUAUACUGCACCCUUAUCUUUCUUUUCUUCUUUUUUUUAAAAUAUAUAUAUAUAACAAGCAUGCAUUUUGUUUCCUAAGCUGCUUCUUGUCAUCGUGUCAUAAAUUAUUGUUGCAAAUGCUAGGGCAUCCCCGAGCAAGCUGAAGCUCCACCUGUGGCCCGUGCUCCUGUCGUUGGGCAAACCACUAACCCUGCAGCACAACCUCAACAGCCUGCGCAAACGGCAGCUGUUCCUACAAGUGGACCAAAUGCAAAUCCAUUAGACCUCUUUCCCCAGGUAAAUUGUCAUGCGGUAGACCUUUGAUAAAUUUGAUGAUGGGCAAAUGAACCAGUGACUUGAUGGCCUUUUAUUGAUACAGGGCCUUCCCAACAUGGGUGCAAGUGGUGCUGGGGCUGGCACUCUUGAUUUUUUACGGAACAGUCCACAGGUCUCUCUCUUUCUCAUUUGGUUGUAUAUGGGAAUGUUAGCAUGACUGUCAUGUAAAUACCUACCUAGAACUACACUCAAUAUGCAAUUCUCUUUUCAGUUUCAAGCUUUGCGAGCAAUGGUGCAAGCCAACCCACAAAUAUUGCAGGUUAUUCUCUGGUCCCUUGUUUCCCCUCUUCAAUCCUAGUGUGUUUUUCAUUGUCUUUUUAUCUUUUGCUUUUUACCUUUCACCUUUCCUCAAUGUCUCCCUUUUUUAUAUUUUUGGCAGCCUAUGCUUCAAGAGUUGGGGAAACAAAAUCCUAAUUUAAUGAGACUUAUUCAAGAGCAUCAGGGUGACUUUCUUCGCUUGAUCAAUGAACCUGCUGAAGGUGGAGAGGGGUGAGUCUUGUUGUUUUUAGUUGCUCAUUUCUUGAACUUAUAUAGUGUGUAUGUAUAUCAAGUGCUUAUUUGACAUCUCCUGUUGUAAAGAAACAUUUUGGGGCAAUUAGCUGAGGCGAUGCCACAAGCUGUGCAAGUCACACCUGAGGAACGUGAAGCCAUAGAACGAGUAUGUCAUCUUUUACAUAAAGGCUGACUUGGAUGUGUUCACUAUUCUCUGUAAUCAUGGAUUAUUUAGCUAUCUUCCCCACUGACUCUGGAAAUGCCUUCAUUUCCUUGGCCUUUAUCUGAGUUAUGAGAUAUGCAUCACAUCUUUCUUUUAGGCAAUGGUUUUACUUUUAGAUGAUUAAUAAACUCAAAUUUGUUGCAUUGAUCUUGUGCCUACAAAUACUUUUGUAGUCUCCUUAUUCUCUUGUGCAUUCCCCAUCUCUUGCAGCUUGAAGCAAUGGGGUUUGACCGUGCAACUGUGCUCCAAGUGUUCUUUGCGUGCAACAAGAAUGAGGAACUUGCGGCCAACUACCUUUUAGAUCAUAUGCAUGAUUUUCAGGAUUGAGCUGGUAAAAGAAAUGGCUAGGGGAAGUACAAUAUCAUUUUCUCUUUCGUUCUUUGGGUCCAUUGUCAUUCAUGUCCCCCCUCCCCUCCCCCCAAAACUCUACCGACUUUAUUCUUAAUCAAGUGAUGUAAGUGUUUGGUGUAGAGACAAGGGAUGUGAAGAUGUUAACUUCAUUUUUUUCUUUUUUCUUUUUCUUUCCGAAGGACCCAUUAUCUAUAACGUUAUAUACAAGUUUCUUUCUAAGCUUGUGUGUAUUGUACUUCACAUUUUAUGCUAUUAUAAGCACUUGCCACAACGAGCUCCCCCAACUUUCAAGUUUUUCGAUCAAUUUUCUUCCCUAAAAUACCUUGUGCAUGAAUUUGGUAGCCCGUCAGAAUGGUUAGAGUUGGCAGUGGAAACUCUAGAACCGUGGAAACAGUGUGAAUAAUAUGCAGUGAUGUUGGCCAUGUAUUACACCUUCAUUGUACUCCUAAUACAUUAUUGAAUAUCAAAAUUAUCGAUGCGCCCUCAAGGUAUUAGCGUCUUAGUGUCUCAGCAUCUCAUUUCAUGUAAUGUAAAUAAAUCUCAAUCUCAAUAUCUUAAACAUAACCAAUUGUAUAUUUUAAUCAAAAUUUUUGUUUGAAAUGAUUUAAUGUGUCACAUCAAUUUACUAUUACACUGUUAACAGUAAUUAACGUUCGGUAACUAAAAUGUGCAUGAAUUUGGUAGGCCGUAAGAAUGGUUAGAGUUGACAAUGGAAACAAUAGAACCAUGGAAACUGUUCAAAUAAUAUGCAGUGAAAUUUUUGGUCGCAAAACAUGUAAAAUUUUGCUAUUUGAAGAACUUGUUGGCCAUGUACACUACUCUAAGAUGUGGCAAAAUGGUUCGGGAUUGGGUUAUUUUUGGAUUUGGAUCAUUUAGGGUUUGACUAGAACUUGAUUCAAAUUAUUUAAGUCUUAAUUAUAUAUAUUUAAUCAGUUCCUCUUUUAGUUCAAGAUAACUUUGUAUGGAUUGCUAGCUUAAUACAACUUUGUACGGAAUGCAUGAUAAAAGUUGCAUAAAUGAAUGUAUGAAAACGACGAAGAGAAAUAAAUUCAAUGUAUUACUAUAGAGAAAUAAAGGUAUGUUAAUAAUGUAAGAAAUAAUAAAGUGAUAAUUUAGUAGUGAAUUUAGUAAUGUAACAAAAAUAACAUACCAUUAUGAAUAUUGAAUUUAGUAAUGUAACAAAUAAAGGUAUGUUGUAAAAAAAUACAUACGAUUAUGAAUAUUGAAUUUAGUAGAGAAUAUAUAAAUAAAUGUAUGUCACUAAUGUAAGAAAUAAUAAAGUGAUAACUUAGUGAUCAGUGAAUUUCAUGAAACUAAGGAUUAAAUUAUUAAGAGUGAAAAUUUAUUUAUUUGUCAUAAAUUGAUAAGUGAAUAGAUGUGGUAUAGUAAAAUUACUAUAGAGAGGACUAAAUUGUAAAGUGUAUAAAAGGUGUUAUGUGAAAUUAAUAUUGUGAUUAAAGACUUAAAAUUUAAAGUGUAUAAAAGUUACUAUGUGUGCUAAAAUAGUGAAAUAAAAUAUUUAAGUGAGGCGUUAUAAGAAAGUAAAGUGUUUAAUGAUAGUGAAUUGAAAUCUAAAGUGCUAAGUGUUGUGAAUAUAUGUUAUGCUUAUAUUUUUAUGAAUUGUGAAUAAAGUGAACAUGUGAAAUAAAAAUGUAGUGAAUGUGUUUAUGUGAUUCAAAUUGAAUAAGUAAUAUGAUACAAAGUGAUAUAUGUGUAAUAUAUCAAGUAUGUUAUGUGAAACUGAUAUAUGAAUAAAUACCUUAGUGAACUCAGAGGAAAUAUGAUAUAUGAUAAUGAAAUGAUUUGUAGUUGAGAGGGGCUGGGGGUUCGGAUGGGAACCAAGUUAGUGAUACAGGGGUUUGGAGGGGAUUAGAAAAGGAGGAUUAGGUUAUGUGAUGUGUUUGCUAGAGUUCCUGUAUAUUUUUCUAGAUUUCCCGUUAUCAUAGUUCCGUUAUAGACAGAGAGUUUGUCUUUGGCCUAGAUUUUUGCAUUGUAUCGAAAUUAUUGAACUCCUUUGAGAUUCAUUAAGAAUUCAAAAGUGAUAUGUGAAAGUAAAAGUGUAUGAGGAUGUGUAAUAAUAUGUGAAAAUAAAAAUAAAAGUGAACAUGUGAAUUAAGUGUUUAUGUUAUUUUUGUGAAAUGAGAGAAAGAUCUUGAUACGUGAAUGUGAAAGUUAAUUAGUGAUAAUAUAUAUUAAACUAAAAACUAUAAAUUAUAAAGUUAAUUUAAAUGAUUUUAUGUUUUGGAAAUGAAUUAAAGUUUAACUAUAUCAUGGAAAGAAAUUGUGUGAAUAAAUAUUAUUAAAAUUAAUUUUUUAUAUAUAUAAGGUAAGAUUGAAUUCAGUUGAGUACUUACUAAGCUAUUCACGUAGCUUAACGCGUUUUUUUUAGGUGAUGGAUAAAUUUUGAAAAGAAUCGAGGAUUGCUACUUCAAUUUGGCAUGUAUUUAGGUUUAUUAGUAAAAAAUGUGAAUUGUGUGUGAAUGACAAUGUUUUGUGCUAUAAGUUACCUUGAUUAGAAUGAAACAAGAAUAUGUUUCAGUGGUGAGUUUAGUGUUUAAAUGGUGGGUUUAGUGUCUAAAUGUAGCAUCUCUUACUCGGUUUAGGUGAGGAGUGUUACAUUGAUGUUGCAACCUAGAGUUCUCUAACCUCAAUGUCGUGACAUCACUUUUGCAUGUCGCGACAUUGCUUGUUCAUCUUAGCCAAGGAGACAACCUCGAUGCACCUCAAAUGUCACGAUAUUCAACCUUCAAUCUCACAACAUGGAGCUCUCUGAUGUCAAAGCUGCGCCAUUGGUCUUGUAAUGUUGCAACAUUGACCCUAGACCUGGGUUGAAGAAACCAAGCGAGAGACUUCCAUCCCUCAAUGUCAUGACUUAGAGCCUUUUGAUUCACAUGUCGUGACAUUGGUCCUGUAAUGUCACCGCAUCGGGUUCAUCACAACCAAAACCAAAAGGAUAACAUGAAGACUUUUUGGGUCAAACUUGUCUUAGUUAAGUUUAAUGAUAGGGACAUUUUUGUAAUUGAAGAAUUAUCAUUACUGUAAUAGCCCAAUUUUCAGUAGUGUCAGAACAGUGAUUUGAGAUCACUAAAUCCGAUGAAAAUUUUAAAAAAAUUAUUAAUUAAUAAUUAUAAGUUAAGCGUGAUUUUAGAAAUAUAUUUGAAUUAGUGAAUUUUGUGAUUUAAAAGAAAUUAUUAGGUAAAUUGGGUCGAAAACGAGGUAUCGAGACCUCAAUAUUAUAAACUGAGCCAUAAAUAUUUUUAUAAAUAUUUACGGAGUGUCAUUAGGGUAGUAUUAAAGUUUCGUUAAGAAAUUUUAAUGUUUCGAUGGUUAAUUGAUUAAAAAGGAUAAAAUUGAAAAAAAAUAUAUUCCCGAGACUCCAUUUCGGUAAAUUGGACUCGUAAAUAUUUAUCAUAAAUAUUUACGAAGUUAGUUGUGUAGUUAAUUAGGUUUUAAUUAAGUGAAUUUGUCUAAAUUGAGGUUAAUUAUGAAAAAUGAUUAAAUUGCAAUAGAGAUAAAAGUUUAAUUAUAGAUUAAAGAAAAAUUAAAAGGACCAAAUAGGAAAUUAUGCCUUUUUCUAAAGUUGAGGCGGCAUAAGUAGAUAUUUUAUUUAAAAAUCUAAAGUUCAAAUAUAUUAUAAUAUUAUAAUAAUAUUACAAUAUUACUUAAAAGUUAAGUAUAUAUAUUAUAUAUUAUAUUAUAUAAUAUUAUAUAAUAAAAGAAACAAUGAAAUAAAAGAUAGAAAAAGAGAAUAGAAACAUAAUAGCAAAAUGAAAACAGGGGAGAAAGGAAAGAAAAAAAAAAGGGAAGGAAAGAAAGAAAAUUUGGGAUUUUAAGGUUCAAGGUUUGAUUGGUAAGUCAAUUUAGUCUCUCUUUUUUUCUUGUAAUUUUGAUAUUUUUGGAAUCCUAUAGCAAAAUACUACUUGAUUUAAGUUGAAAAUUUGAAAGUUAGUAAAUUUUUAGAUGUUGUUUAUGUUGAAUAAAUUGAAGAAUUAGGGAUUAAAUUGAUUGAAUUUCAAGUUAGAAGUUAGUAAAAGGUUGAUUUGUAAAAUAAAACAUAAGUUUUGAAUUAAUAAGGACUAAAUUGAGAGAAUUUUAAAAUUAGGGAUUUAUGGUGAAAAUGAAGAGUUAAAAUGAGUUUAUAGUAAGAAUUAAGAGAGAAUAUGGAGUUAGAUUGGGAAAAUAAAAUUAGUAUUGAUAAGGGAUUAAAUUAGAAUUUAGGUAAAGUUUAGGUAUAAAUAAAAAUAUUUUGAUGAAAUUGUGUAUUAAUGAUUUUUAAUUGUUUAAUUACGUAGCUAAUGUAGUGCAAAAGUCAUUAUCCGAGAAAGGAAAGGAAAAGGUGGACAAGGAGUGAUUCGAGAAAAUUUCGAUUAGUAUUACCAUAAUUCGAAUUUAAUUAUUAAUUGUUAAAAUUAAAACUAAUAUACAUGAUAAGCAAAUUGAGGUAAGUAUCAUGAUUGAAUUGAAUGAUAAAUACGUAUUGGUAUUGAAUUUAUUAAUAGUAAUUGUUGAAUUUUGAAUAAUAUGUUUAAUAAAUAAAAAUAAGGUGAAUAUCGAUAUUGAAUUAAAUGAUAUUGAAUUGUUUGUGAAUUGAAAUAAUAGAUGUUUUGAAUUGAUUGAAUAUUUGAAAUUGUUGUGGAAAUGAAUUCGAAAUUGGAAAAGUAAAAUAAUACCCUAUUAACUUAUCGAACUAGAUUGGAUACAAAUGGCAUGCCAUAGGAUUUGUGAUGUGAUGAGGAGAUUUGUAGUUCGUCCGAGAAGAUGAUUCUGUUAAUAUAUGCUUCGGUUUAUCUGAAGAGGCAUCUAAUGCCUUAUUGGUGUGUUUGGGAGGAUAUGAUAUACUGGUGUGUUAAGGAGGAUUUAUAUUAUUCCGGGUGUGUUAGGUUGGAUAUUCUGGUGUGUUUGGUUGGAUUCGUGUAUCUUAGGUUGGAUAUUCUGGUGUGUUUGGUUGGAUUCGUGUAUCCGUCAAGGUCCGAGUCUUGUUAAUAGGGGUAAAUAAUUGAAAUGAGAAAUUUUGAAUAAGUGUGAUUGAUUGAGCUAUGAAAAGAAAUGAGAAAGUGAAAUUGUGAAUUGAUAUGUGAAUUAGAAAUCGAGAUAUGAGAUUUGAAUAUAUGAACCCAAAGUUCAUGAUGUGAUUAAGAAUAAAUUUUUGUUAUAUGAUAUUAGUGAGUACAAAUUGCAAUAGAAUUGAUAUUGAAUAUAGUGAUAAAUUGAAUGAAUUGUAUAUGAAUUGAAAUGAACUAUUGGAAUGAGAUGUGAAAAAUCCAAUGGAAUUGAGAUAGUGAAAUAAGGUAUGAAUACAAUUCAAUACAAGAUUUGAAAUAUUGCUUACUGUUAUUAAUUAUCAAGUUGAUUUAAAGUAUGAGAAAAUUAAUGAAUAAUUGUAGACAUAAAUUAAAUGUAUAUAAUUUAUCGAUUAAUGUUAUAAAUUUGAAUUAUGGUAAUACCACUGAGUAUACCCAUACUCAGCAUACGGUUGUUUCUGUGUGCAGGUUAGUAGAAAGCCAGUGUCCGGUCCAGCAUCCAGAGCAAUCCUGACCUCAGAGAAAUUUUAGUGAUGUACCUUUCUUUUGAUAAUGUGACAUGUAUCUAGGUGAUGUAUUGAUUAAAGUAUGCUAUGUAUGUUAUUUAUUUGUGAAUUAGUUAUAAGUUAUCCGAUAUGUUCGGUAAUGCUCCGUAACCUAGUUCUGGCGACGGAUAAGGGUUGGGGGUGUUACAAUUACUUUGUCUAUAAAUACCAUCAUUAAUAAACUAUUUAGGGAGGUUAGAAAGUUAAUAUAGUUUUUAAAUUAGAUUAUUUUUAUAUAAUUGCUAGAACUUUAGGUUAAAUUAGCACAAAGAUCAUUUUCUAGGUUAGUUUUAUUUUUUACAAAAUGUCUUUCAAAUCUUUGUUUUACUCUUUUCAAUUGACAAUUUUAUCAAUUGGGCAUUCAAUAAUUUCGAAGAUUGAAGUUUUUUCUACCGUGGAAUCAAGAGUUCUUCUACACUAAUCCUAAGCAUUUCUCAACUUUUACAAUUUCAUCCUUACACUUUGUUUUUAUUGUAUGAAAUUAAAUUAUUUAUUUAUUUGCAUUAUUCUAUGAAAUUUCGGUUCGAAUUAUUAGAGCUGUCAUCCUGGGAGUACAAGCAACCCAAACCGUCAAUAGAAGAACCAUCCGAGCUAGACCUAAAGGUUGUGAAAAGGCAUAUGAAGGAUAUCGAGUAGACUAUUUCAAAUAGUCGAGGUAAUUAUCCUUCUUCGUACACUUACAAGUUAUUGCUAGGAGUAACUGAAAAUGUGUCUAUCAAGGGCUAGAGGAGCUUGAUUCAAUAUCGAAUAUUUGGUUUCAGGAAACUCAAGUCUCAAUGUUUAAAAGAGAGGAUCAUUUAUCCCAUCUAUGAUAAUUUUUGGAUGGACCCUGUUCAAUAUGCACUGAAGGAAGGAGGUAUCAUGAUUGUGGAAAAUGAAAAUGGCGAGUUGAUUCCAACAAGGAUGGUUACUUGUUGGUGAAUCUUUGCAGACUACAAGAAGCUAAACAAGGCUACCAAGAAAGAUAAUUUCUUGUUUCUUUUCCUGGAUCAAAUACUUAACAAAAUCGCUGGGAAAGAUUUUCCUUCUUUUUAGAUGGGUAUGAUUGGUAUGACAAAUGACCAUUUGACACCUCCUAGGUUAAAGACGAUCCCUAAUAACAUUAAGGGAGUUCUCUUUCUUUGUCAUUAUUUUUUAUUGUCAGUUUUGUUUUUUUUAUUUGAAUAAAAUGGCAGACUUGGAUAAAAUUCUCAUUGGAUUAUUAUGUUAAAAUAAAUUAUGUCUAAGAGAUUGGAAUUUAAGUGGGGCUGCUUGUUACCCCUCUAACCUUUCUUGGGAAUUGAUUUUAACAUAAUGUUCCAAAAAAAUAUUUUCUAAGUGGAAAAAUAAAUUUUAAUUUGUUGAAUAAAAGGGUCAAUUUUGAUCCAAGUUUCAGUUUUCUGCUUUAUUUUCAAAGUAUUUUCUAGUACAAGUAUUUAAUUUAAUUGCUUUCAAUAAAUAGUUGUGUUUUCAGUAAAUAUUUUAAACUAAAAUAUUUUUUUUAAAAUUUAUUUUAAUAAAUAAGAUAAUAAAAAUUAAUAUAUUAAUUGUUAUUAACUUUGUAUAUCAUUAGGAGUAGUAAUAUUUUAAUAAUAGUUUAUGUAAUAGCUCAUUUUUCAGUGGUGUCGGAAACAGUAGUUUCGGAGCCACCAAAUUUGACGAGUAAGUUCGUAAAUAUUAUUAUUUAAUAUUUAUGAGUCAAAUGUGAUUUUUAAAACGGUUUUUGAUUUGAUAAUUUAUGUUAUAUAAGUGAUUUAUUAAGUUCAAGUUGUUUUAGAAAAUAAGGUAUCGAGACCUUGUUUUUAUAAACUGAGACGUAAAUAUUUUUAUAAAUAUUUACAGAGUGUCAUUAAGGUGGUAUUAAAGUUUCGUUAAGAAAUUUUAACGUUUCAAUGGUUAAUUAAUUAAAAAGGAUCAAAUUAAAAAAAAGUGCAUUCCUAGGACUCCGUUCCCGUAAAUCAAACUCAUAAAUAUUUUUAAUAAAUAUUUACGAAUCUAUUUGUGUAGUUAAUUAGUUUCGAUUAAGUGAAUUUACUUGAAUUAAAAGUAAUUAGGUAUAAGGACUAAAUUGCAUAUAGGGUUAAAGUUGAAUUCUAGAUUAAGGAAAAAGUAAAAGGACUAAAGAAGCAAUUAUACCAUUGCUUAUAAAUGAGGUGGUAUAAGUUUUUUUAAAAAAUUUAAAUUUAAAAUAUAUAUUAUAAUAUUAUAAUAUUAUAUCUUAAUGUUUAAGUAUAUAUAUUAUAUAUAUUAUAUUAUAUAAUAAUAAAACAAAGAAAUAAAAGAAAAAGAAAUAGAGAAAGAAACAGAAAAGCAAAAGCGAAGCAGGAGAAAAAGAAGGAAAGGAGAAAACUAGGGUCUCAAAGUUCCAUGUUCAAUUGGUUAGUCAAUUUAGUCCCUUUUUCUUUUAAAUUUUAUGUUUUUGGAAUUUGGCAUUAAAUACUACCCGACACAUGUCAAAAUUUUAGCAAUUAUUGAGUUUUUAGAUGUUGUUAAUGUUGAAUAAUUUUAGUAUUAGGGAUUAAAUUGAUAGAUUUUUAAUUUAGAAGUGAAAAAUGAUUGAAUUGUAGAAUAAAUUAUAAAUUUUGAGUAAUUGGGACUAAAUUGUGAAAAAUUCAAAAUUGAAGGAUUUAAGUGAAAUUAGAGAGUUAAAUCUAGUUUAAAGUGGAAAUUGAAUGAAAAUAUUGAAUUGAUUGUGAAGAAAUAAAAUUAGUCUCGGUUUAAGGUCUAAAUUGGAAUUUAGACAAAUGUUGAGUAAAAAUUGAAAUAUGCAAUAUGAAAUUGAAUUAUAUUGUAUUGAUGAAUUAUAAUUGUUUUAAUUCCGUAGCUAACGUCACACCGGAAUCCUCGACUAAAAAGGGGAAAGAUAAAGUCGACGAGGAAUAGCUCGAAAUUUUUGGUUUAUAUUUCUAUAAUUUGAAUUUAGUUGUUAAUUGUUAUAAUUCAAUUUAAUGUAUAUGGUAAAUGUUGAGGUGAGAACUAUUGUGUUUUGCAUUUGAAAUGGAUUGAUUUAGUAUGUGAUGAAUUUAUUGAAUUUAUAUUGAUUGAAUUGGUAUAUAUAUAUUGAAUAUAUUGAUUAUUUGAAUUGAAAUGAUUAUUGGUUGUAUUUGAAAAGUGAAUUGAAACCCUAUUAACUGUAUCGAACUGAGUCGAAUAUAGAUGGCAUGCCAUAGGAUUGGAAGAGUUCAGAGAUUUCUUCGACUUCGAGUCAAUGAGACACUGGGUGUCAAUUUACUACUUCGGAUUAAUUCGAUGGGGCACUGGGUCCCAAUUUACUUAGGUUUAACCGAUGAGACACUGGGUGUCAAAUUAUUACUUCGAAUUAUCCGAUGAGGCACUGGGUGCCAAACUGGUGUGUUUUGGUUGGAUCCGUGUAUCCGUUCGAGUCCGAGUCGUGUUAAUAGUGGUAAAUGAAUAAUAAAGUUUUAUAAUUGAUAUUGAAAUGAUAUGGUAUGAGAAAUGGAAGUGAAAUAGUGAAUUGAAAUAGAAUGUGGAAUAUGUUGCAAAUAUAUGGAAUUUAUGAGUUACAUACUCAUGAAAUGACUAAGGAAUGGAUAUUGCAAUUGUAUAAUGAAAUAUGAAAUAUACUCAUGAAAUGACUAUGAGUUUAUACUCAGUGUACGGUUUUGUUUCCCAUGCGCAGAUUAGGUACUUAACUUUUGAUCGCUGAUUCAGCAUCCAACAAUGAUUCCGAACUCAAAUGUGGUGAUGUUUAUCCUUUGUGUCGGCAUGUACCUAGGGUGUCUAAAUAAUAGUUAUUUUAUGGUUUGAUUGUAAAUGAGUUUAUAAGUUUAACUUUGGUUGGUUUUAUACAUAUAAAUAUGUGUUUGUUUUUGAAGCCAUAUUAUGGCAUGAUAAAUUGAACUAAAUUUAGAUAGGUGCAUGUGAAUUUAAUUCUAUGUUUAAGUGCUCAUGAACUAGGCAAACUGAUUUGGAUUUGGUAUGUUUAUAAUUUGGAUUAAAAUGAUGCUUUGAUGACUUGUUUUGAUGAUAUGAAAUGUUUGAAAUUUCUGUUUGUUUGAUUUGUAAACUCUGGUAAUGCUCCGUAACCCAGUUUCGACGAGGGAUAUGGGUUGGGGUUGUUACAGUUUAAGCUUAUUUUUAUUAGAGUUUGUGUUAACUUUUACCUUACAAUUACUUUAAAUACCACCACUUUCCCUCUCUAUUCACAUCACCUACCAACCGAGGGCCUCACCCUUUUUCCCUUUCCAUUGCCACAUAUCACCUACCCUAACCCCCCAACCAUCGACACCCAUACCUGCUAGCAGCAACAGCCGCACGCCCUAGCUAUUAACACCUUGCAUCGCACCUCUUUUGUUGCAGCAUUAUCGAACCCUACAAGCCACCAUUCGGCCAUCCGCUAUAAGCUACCAAGCCAUCUCACCUUCUAUAUCCACCGCCCAAAUUGCCGUUAGCCAUCUAACCAACCCUUACCCGACACCAAUUGCUUCACCCUCACAUUAUUUUCUAAAGUUCUUAUUACUUUAAUUACAAAGGUGGUAAGAAAUUUCUUUCCAAAAUUUUAAUUUGAUUUGAUUAUUUAAAUUUUCAAUUUUAUAUGAAUUGAUUAUAUUUUAUUCUAAUUAAAAUUUGGGAAAUUAUUAUUAUUUUCCAUCUUAUGUGAUGUUCAAGUUGAACCAUGCCUCCUAAAAGAACUCGUGCCUCUGUUUAGGACGAAAAAUCACAAAACAAAUUCCACUGCGAAGAAGCUAAGAUGAGAUAUGAGAGCAUCUUUAAGAAAAAAAUAAAUGCUUCCGGAGAAAGGUUUUACUUUGGGGAAAAGUAACUACACUAAUUUCAUGGCAAACAUUCAAAAAUUUGCUGAGGCUCUAAAAUGGGAAGUGUUUUGUGAAAAAAGGCCAAAUUCAAGCGAUGAGUUAGUUCUGAAAUUUUAUGCAAAUUUGACCUUAGGUGCUUUAACAAAAUUUUCCAACUAAGGAAUUAAGGUACCUCUAAACCUGAGUUCCAUUAAUGAAUUUUAUGAUCUACGUGAUUUCGAAGAUGAUGAAUAUUCUUCCUUAAUGGAAAAUAUUGAGGUGGAGAAAUUGUAAUAAAUCUUAUAAGAACUCACAGUUUCGGGUUCUAAAUGGACUGUCGAAACACGAGACUCAUACUUGUCACAAAGAAUACUUGACCCCAUUAGCGAAUGUAUGGUUUUAUUUUUUCAAAUUCAAUAUUAUGCCUACCGCACAUGGGACUACAAUUUCAAUAGAACGAAUGGUUUAACUAUACUCAAUUAUGACAGCAAAGACAAUUAAUGUAGGAAAUAUCAUUCUUAAAGAAAUUUGAAAUUGUGUCGUAAGACGUUUGGGUACAGCCUAUUUCCCUUUUACAAUAACAAUUUUAUGUUUGAAGGAUAGUAUUCGUGCAAACGUAAAAAAGACAGGAUAAAAUCUAGGUACAAUUGCUGAUUGGGACCUUGUUUGAGUAGCAGGAAAUUCUAUUCUUCAAAAGCAAGCUAAGUCGAUCGAUGACAUCGAAGAAGAUGAAAUUCCUAUAGAAUCAGAAACAGUGCAGCCAGUUGAAAUUCCUGACUUGGCAAAGCCAACUAAACCAGUCUUCGAACCUGACAUGACUACCCCAACGUUUAAAACUCAUUCUCCUCGCCUAGAUCUUCGAGAUGAGCUAUUGGAUUUAAUGCAACAUAUGUAGUGGCAAGAAUAAGAUUAUUGUAGAUACUCAAAAAUACGAGAUGACUCAAUUAGAGAUGCUUUUAAGAAAAUAUUUCACAACCCAUUUGUUUUUAUUCCUGAAUUUCUUGAUUUUAUAUUCGAUCCAUGGAUUUCGAUGUUGAGGAAGGAGCGAGGUGAUUUAAGAAAAAACAAGGACAAUGAAGCAAAAAUGGGUAGAAUUUUGGGGGGUCUACAAAUAAAUAAAAAAGGGGGAUCUUUCUUUACUUUAUUUUUCUUUUUAGGAUAUUUUAAGUUUUUAUUUUUAGAUUUCUUGGGAUAUUUCUAUUUCUUGCAUAAUAAAAUAAGAUGUUCAAAUCAUUAAUAAAAUUGAAAAAUUUGAAGAAUAAGAAGUGUAGCAAUAGAUAUGUACAUAUUUAGGAUUGGAUCUUUCUAGGAAAAGCUUGGCAUUUAAGCAGUCAACUUGACUCACCUCCUUUUCUUGAGAUCCUACCUGGUGUACAGUAUCUAUUCACUUAUGUAUUUUCGAUCCAUAUUGUUUUUAACAAUGGGGACAUUGUUCAUCUUAAGUAGGGGGACCACAAAUUGAAAUUAUUUUUUUCAAAAUUCAUUUUUCGUAUCCAAUUAUGAUUAAGUUAUAUUUUACUCAAAAUUUUGAAUAAAGUUAUAUUAUCUCAAUAAUUGUUAUGAUUAGCUGAAUUAUGACAUAAAUGCUAUUUUUAAUAAAGUAUGUAAAUCAAACCAUGAAAUUUUUAAAUCCUUAGAAUAGAUAAGCAUGCAUGAAAGUUUAAGUCUCUAGAAUUGACUUAGUAAUUUAUUGAGGCGAAAUCCUAGGAAGCAUGGAAUUUUGAAAUUGAUUUAGGCAAACUUUUAUUUGGACCGUUUGAGCCUUUCAAGCCAAUCUUAAUGAAUAACUAUCCCUUGAAACCCAACUUUGAGACUAUAUGGCCUAAUUUUAUUCAAACCUUGCAAUAGUAAGUCAUCCAUUCUCUCAUAAUUAUCUCUAAAAUGUCCUAAACACUAGACUCAGUCUAUCCAAAAUAUUCUCUAAAAAUAAGUUUGGGGGAGUUGAGAAGAAGUAUCAAUACUCAAAAAAAUUUGUAGUACAUGCAAUAAUAUGGUCGAGUGUGUUAAAAAAGAGAGCAUAUGUACUCGAAAAAAACAGAUGUACAAAGAGCAUGUGUACUCAAAUGUAAAAUUAGUUGGUAAAUUUUAAGGUAUUUAUUCCGAAGGUCCAAAGCAAGCCGAGUCUAGGUUUUUUAGCUUAAAAUUAUCUAUCUUUUACCUACCCCUAGCCAAGCCACGUUACAACCUACUCAAAAGACCUAUUGAUUCAGAUUUUUGUGCUGACUACAUUAGUGGAGAGAAAUUGUUAAACUCAACUUAUGAAGGCAUAAUUAAACUUAGGGAUGCAGUUUAGUAUUGAAUGAGCAAAUACAAGUUAAUUGGUAAGAAUUUAGCAUAUCUUUAUUGAGAAUACAUUUAGUCUAUUCUUGCUAUCAUGAUAAUAAAAGAGAAUAAUUCAAACAAUGUGUAUACUUGAGUUGCAUAAUUUCAAAAUUCUUGUUCUUGAGCAUAAUUACACUAAACUCAUAAUUGUGGGAAAUGAUUUUUGGAGAAAUUUUUCAAAGGUUAUUUUCUUAAAAUUCUUUUUCAAUUUUUGCAUUACUCAGGACGAGUAAUUAAUUAACUCUGGGGGUGUGAAAAUACUAAAAUAUAUAGACUUUUUUUAGCACCUUUUGAGCACUAAUUCAUGCAAUUUCUAAUAAUUUCUGUUGAAUCUUAUAUUUUUAUUAUAAAAUAAUUAAAUUGAGCUUAAUUUAUAAAAAAAUUGAAUCUUAGUUAUUUUUAUAAAUUUUUCAUAAUUUGGGUUAUUUUUAACAGUUUUGCACAAAAGGUGAAAAAUCAGCUCAGCAGUCACCUUGAAAGAAUUAAUUGACGAGGCACAUUGGGAGCUCAAGAUGAUGAAUUAACAACCAUGGAGGACUUAAAUUUAUGCUCUUGUCGCAAAUUAGAUGACCUAAUUAAUUUUUUAUUGAAGAAAAAUGGGCAGCUUGAAGUAGAGAAAAUGACCUGAAUUGAGCAAAUAAAUGAGGAUGAACAAGCCCAAGAGAGCAACCCAAACCUUCCCAUCUAGCUGAGCCAAUCAGCUAAUUUUGGCUGAUUUUAACACUUACAAAUCAGCCCUUUAACUCUUCCUAAAUGUCGUUCAAACCCCUCAUGUUUUUGUGCAUUUCUUUUCUAGCCACAAGCUAAAAAUAGCAAAAUCAAUUCAACAUCUUCUUCCACCUAGCAUGGCCAGCCAUAAAGAGGGGGAUUUGGUGCUAUUUUUAGCUAAUCAAUGCUACCAUCUCCCACUAUAAAUACCUUUCACCACCUCUUUAUUUUUCAUCAACUUAUUCAUCCAUACAGCUUUUCAUUCAUUUCCCUCUUUCACUUUCUUUACCUUUCGAAUUUUCUUUCUUCCCUUGCAAUUUACCCUUUUGAAAAAUAGCUAGCACGCCCCUUGUAGCAGCAACAAUCAAGUAUUCAUGAAGGCCUUGGAUCGAUGGAACAAGUAGAGAAGAAGAGAAGCACACUAGACUGGCUUCAGAACAAUACCGAGAUUUGUUUUAUAGUUCCCUUCUAUUAAUCUAUUUUUUUAGUUUAUGUUGUGAUCAUGAAUAUGAACACUUGUUGGGUUGAUGUUCUUAAAUUAUUUAAAAUGACUUAAAUUUCAUUCGUGUUAGAUUAAUUUCAUCUUGUCCACUUAAUUUGUUAAAAUCAUGUUUGUGUUGUUAUAAGCCUUGGUAGUUUGUUCAAUUAACUAAAAUCAUGACUAUGUAUACUUGCAUUUUAAUUGCAAGGUAACAAAAAAUAAUAAUUAUUAAUCGGAUUGAAAUUAUAAUUAAUCGACACAAUAUCUAAUUGGUGUAUGUUUAAUCUUUUAAGGUAGUUGAGGGUUAAAUUAACGAUGGUAUUAAACAAUACUUUAGCCUUGCAUAACUUGUAAGAUUAUUUUGAUUAAAUUGUUUCAAUAUAGGAAUAUAUUAUUACAUCACUUUAUCUUAUACUUGCUUAUGAAAAUUGAUUAAUUGUUUGAAUUAACAUAGAAACAUGUUUAAGAGAUUAAUUGAUUUAGUAAGUAUGUAUGUGCAUUAGUUAACAAAAGACCAAGUUUCCAUGAAAUUAUUCGUAACAACAUGAACAUAGUUUUGAUAAAUCUAAGUUCAAGAAUAAAAUUGAUCUAACACAUUUAUGUCAUAUUGAUUAAAACCAUUUUUAGAAGUUGUUCAUUUGGAAUUUUAUUUUCUUAGUUAAACACUUAGUUCAUUUUUAGUUUUCAUAUCACCUUUUUCAAAUCAACAUCUUUUUCCUCACCAAAUUAUUUAAUUUUACAUUUAAUAAAUAAUCGCUUGCACAGUCCCUAUGGAUAUGAUAACUCGACAUACUUGUCACUUUAUUACUUGUUACAAUUGUGUACACUUGCACAUUUCCAUCGUUCCAGUAUGACACUUGUUCAAUUUCCUUAAGCAAGAUGAGUCAUAUUUAUAUGUGAGUGUGUCUUCUGAAAUGGGGUUCUUCCUUCUUCUUUCUUUUCCUUAGGUGGUAUAUACUAAAACCUUUCUUAAAUCUGAAUGUAUCCUACCUCGAUGAUCUAAAAGCUAAGGUUCUUUUAUGACCAGUAGUUACUUCCCAUCAGGGUAAGUAUUUUAGCUCUGCAUGUUAAGUAUUGAAUGAGUAAAUAUGUAUAUGGUAAUUGAACAACGAGAUUGUAAGUAUAUGGUUUCUGCAUGGGAAUGACAUCGAUUGAAAUGAUAAGUACUUUUUAUGUACAAUAAUAUUAAUGGUGANNNNNNNNNNNNNNNNNNNNNNNNNNNNNNNNNNNNNNNNNNNNNNNNNNNNNNNNNNNNNNNNNNNNNNNNNNNNNNGUAAGUUCCAUACUGACUCAUGCAUUUAUAUUGUUCAUAUUGUGAUUCAUCUAUAGAAAAUCGAUUGAACUAUAGAUCUGAAGUCAUGAAGAUUAUAGUAUGUGAUGAUUGGGAACGAGUAUUGAAACAUUGAAUUAUGGCUAAGUAUGCAUAUGUUUGAAAUGUAUACUAUGAGACACGUGUUCUGUUUGGGUGUAUAGUUGAAAUUAGAUUGUGUCAAUGCAUGAAAAUUCUGUCAAGAGAGUUUGUGUCUGUUCACUGAGGUGGUGUCUAAUGGAGUUUGUCGGGCACUAAAAGAAAGAGAAGUGACAAAACCAUUCUAUGAGAUACGAACCUUUGUUAAAGUCAGAGGAGUUAAUAUCCUAGUAACUGAAAGAAGUAUUUGUCAGUUUUAUGAUACUCCAUAUCUUUAUCAUGAUUACUUGUACAAAACAGAUCUCAAGGAAUUCAAUAAUGUAGACAUAAAAGAGACUUUGAUAUUCUUAAUAGAAGGAAAAUAAGUGUGGACAUAUAAAAUGGCAACAACAAUACCUGAAACAUUCAAUCAACCAUUAAUGACCCUAAAAGAAAAAAUAUGGAUGAAAUUUGUAUGUUCAAGGAUCUGGCCUACAGUUGAUCUUUCAGAUAUUAACCCGAUCCAAGCUAUCUUAGUUUACGCCAUCAUGCAAAAGAAGCAAGUAUGCAUUGAUACAUGGAUAUAUCAAAAUAUGAUUGAAUCUGCACGAAAUAAAAAAAAAGAACAUUCUUUCCGCAUCUGAUUACAGGGUUAUGUAAAAGAGUAGGAGUGCCUAUGGAGCAGCUGGAUAAAGAGAUGAAUCCUCCAAAGAAGUUGCUAGGAGAUAAUGUUUAUAAAUAGUACAUGAUUUUAUAGAGGAAACAAAAGGAGGAGAGGAGGACUCCAAGAGGAAGAUGAAUAAUGCAUAAAAUAUAUAUAUUUUUAGUAUAUUUAUUUAGGUUAAAAUUCUAUUAAGAAAUUAAGUUCAUUGUUAGGAUAUUGUAAUUAGUAAUGUUUAAUAAACUAUUAGAAUUCAAUUGACAUAUUUAUAAAUUUUUGUACAAACUCCUUACAUAGUAGAAACACAAACAAUAUGAAUUUUCAGUAAUCAACGGAGGAAGCACUCAGAAAAUUACCAACGAAACUAUUACAAUCAAUCGAGUAACUUCUUUCCUUUAUUCUUAUGACCAUACAUUGAGAACAAUGUAUUUUCUAAAGUGUAAGGGGGGUAACAUAGAAGUUUUUGUUUAGUUUUUACGCUUUUCUUUGAUUUUCCUUGUCAAUCAUGUGCUUGAACUUGUAGAAAAACAAGUGAUUGGUUAGGAGCAUGUACAUAGGUUGAUUGUAUUUACAAUAAAUUUGGCAUGAGGAUAGGUGAUUUUAAAUUUUUUAUUAUUAGACUGUUAAGUUUUAUAUAUUACACUAUAAAUAGGCAUUAAGCAAUUGUAUAAAUAAACUAUUUUAUAAUAAUGUCUUGAGAGUAAUAUGAUUAUUCUUAAAAGGUCUUUAGUCAAGUAUUAUUGUUGGAUAGGACAACAAUAAUGCAUUAAGACUUACAUGUAGUUGAUUGAUGAUAAAGAGUUGUCAUUGAUAUGGAAUGUCAAAAUCGAUGCAUGAAUAUGUGUUAGAGAACAACAUAUUGGACUGACCCGUUAUGAGUAUGUUUCUUGGAUUAUUAUGUAAUUGUCACAACAUUACUCAUAGUGAUUAAUAUGUAUAUGAUCCUCAAACUUGAGAUCACCAUAAUCCCAACAUCGUGAGUUGUAUAUUUUGAUACAGUCAAACGUACACCGUAACUGGUUGUUCUAUAAAGGCUGAUGUUGGAUAUACCACGAUCUAUGUAGAGGGAUAUGGCUGAUCGAUAUAGGAUAAGUCCCUCCUACAUAUCUUAGGCCACUUGAUUGAGUGAGACUAGAAAUGCAUGGCCAUGCUCAAAUAAGCUGAUAUGAGAUGUCAUACUUAUUUGUAUAUCAUAGUCUACUUAAGAUAUCAAGGAACAUGGAAUGGACUAUGCAAGUGUGACUAUUCCAUGACUUGUGUCCAAUCCAGAGAUAAAGGACUUAAGGAUUAUUGCAUGAAAGGUUAAUCAUAAAAAGGUUAUGUCGAAUCAUGAUUUCUUGUGACUUAGGUAGCAAUGAUGCAUUGCUAGGUGCCACUCAUUGUUUGUAACAUUAGAAUCGUUCUAGUAUUACUGCUAACGUUAUAAGAACCUACAGGGUCACACCCUAUAGUUGAAAUGAACGGAAUAAAACAUAGUUGGUAUUGUGUUUGGUUUUCACUUGAAUUAAAUUAAUUAUAGAAUUAAUUUAAUUGGAUAAUCAAAUAUCGAACACAUUAUGUACAAGGCUGUUGUACGCAUAAUGAGAACAUGAAUUUGGUUAGUAUAUAAAUUCAAAUAAAUAUAUAGUUUACCGAAAUCAUUAUUAUAAUUAAUGUAAUUAUAAUUUUCGGUUUAAAACAUAGUUAUAUUUAUUUAAUUUCUAGAAACCCUAAAAAUAGAUAUAAAAAUCUCGUUUUUUUUUUACUUGGUGUCUAGCAGCCGUCAAAGCAAAAUUUUUUUCCAAAACAGUUUUGGGGAUUUCUUCCGUUCAUUGUCAACUGGGUGGAUUACGUAGAGGCCGGAGUCACGAUAGAUUAAGGCUUGGUUCCAUAGUAGAUCAGAUUACUCGUUGCUGAGGCGUUGCUAUCUACUUAGAAUAAAGAUUCGGUAAUUUCGAAACCUUUAUUUCACCCCGAUUCGUUCCUCACACAUGGAUCCAUGGUUAGGAUCGCCAAAUGUUUUAAUUUUCCGCUGCGCCAUAGGGGUGCCGACGUUCCAACAAAAAGAAGGAAUUUUGAAUCUAUUUUUAGUUACCCUUUACCUUCACUUAUAAAUACCAUGCACCAAUCCCUUAAUCCAUCAUCCCUCAAAACUCAUUUCUCUUCUAUCAUUAUCAUUUUCUAUACAUUCCAUUUCCCUUUCCCUUCCCUUGCAUAUUCACCCAUCCCCUUUCCAUCUUUUAGCCACAAAAGCAUUCUUUGGCAGACCACCUUAGGAGCUCCUUAGCAAAAGAAGCAUCAAGCAGAACGGAGGAGCACAUUAGUCAGAAUAGAUCCGAAAGGCUGCUGAACUGAAUAGAGUUUACUCUUUCCUCUUAUUAUUUAUUUUAAUCACGUUUUCUUUGAGUUUAUUUUUUUUGACAUCAACGAUAAUAUUUUAAAUUCUAUUUGCUAGGAUGAUUAUGUUAAUUCAAUAAGAUUUAUUUUAUUCAUGUUUAACAUGUUUAGGCCUCAGUCAAUCAUGUUUUCAAUUAAUAUCAUGAUGCAUUUCAUUCAUACAUGAUUGGGUGAACUCAAAUUAGUUGAGCGAUCCUAACUAGGGCUAGUAGACGCAUAAUUGAAAAGUGCAAUGCUCAAUUUAGAUCCUUAAACGCGACUAAGUUGAGGUUAGUAAUAUCUUUAGUUAUCUCUAUUGUCUUGCAUAGUUUUUAGGUUUAUGUAAUUAAACUGUUGCAAAUGUAAAUGUCCCUAUGACAUUACAUAAAUGCUAAGAAACCCUUAGUCUAAUAUGACCAGUAAAAUGCAUAUUUCACUAAGUAAAAGAUCCGAGAGGACUUAAUUUGGUUUCCAAACUCAUGAAAGAUCGAGUUCCCAUGGAAGUAUUUUCGAACAUUGCUAAGCAUGAUAAAGUAAAUUGAAUUGAUUAAUAUAAUUAUCCUAGCCCAUUUAAUGUUGACUAUUUUUGUUGCUAAAGUCAUUAAUUCAUACAUUUAGGUAAAUUGCAUCUAAAUUAGAAUUGCAUAAGGAUCAAUCUUUGCAUCUAAUUAAUUUUACUUAAUUUAAUCAUCUCAAUCCAAAUUAUUGAGUUUUUACAUCAAAUUGUGAAUUUAUAAUUUUCCAAUUAAUUGAUUAAGUUUAUACAGUCCCUGUGGAGACGAUAACUCAUUUCACUUGCUUAUUACUUGAACAAUUGUGUACACUUGUGCAUAUUUCUCGUUACAAUAAUCAAAUGUACCAAAUGAUAUAGAGAAUACAAGGAAACGAGUAUGUUAGUAUGAAUGAUAAAUUAUUGUAUUUAUGAUUAUUUGGUUGACUAAAUUGGUGAAUAUUGAGAUACUUAGGGAUAACCUAAAGCAUUGUUUGGUAUACACCCAAAGCCAAAAAGCUAACUCUAUUUAUUCAUUUUUAGUGCUUAUUUUGAGCCAGAACCCUUUUUUGAUGAACCUUUAUACAAAACCUGAGAUAAAAAUGAUAACUUGUGCUUACCAUUUUCUUUGGUCCUGAACUGCAUAAUUAUAGACGUCCGGUGUAACAUCCCAAAUUUUAGGCUAGAAGAAAUAGGUUUUGAACAAGGCAAACAUUUGGUUAGGUGUUCUAUUAAACAUUAAUAAAGAGGUUACCAAACUUAAGAAACGAGUUUUAUCAACAAGUCUAAAUUUUUGGAAGACACUUCGAUGUGACACGCCAGAUUCGACCAUAACUCCUAGGCCGGGUUUGGGAUGUUACACUUAGUGGUAUCAGAGUCAGGUUGCAAAACUCGGCUGUGGAAUGGGUUUUGAAAAUAUUUGAAAUUUUUGGAAAACUGCUUUUGAAGUGUUUUAGAAGGUUUACAAGUGUGGCACAUCGAGUCUCCAGCGCCGAAUCCAUAAGUUUUCUUUAUACUAUAAACUGCUUGAACUAAAAUACACUAAGGGACUACUAUAGAUAGUAGGACUAUACUGAAACUCAUUAGUUAGAGUAAACUGAGACUGUAGGAAGCUAGAAACUGUACGGAGACCUUGAUUUGCGAAAACAAAACUCUGAUUACUGCUUUUCAUAAGACAUCUGUUAAUAAUUACUGGAAUUACAAACUGAUGCAUAAAACUUCGUAAACAAAUAAUACGUUAUUUGAUAUGAGCACUAGAGGUACACACGGACGAGGUACAAGAGACCAUGGUAGAGGUCGUAGAGAUGCUCGAGUUGGGUCCUCGUCGUUUGGCCAUACACCUAAUUUGGAACUAGAGUGUGCAGCGGAAGCGUAGUGGUGGAGUCUGUGUUAUGCGACUGAUCUGAUAAUUGGAAAUUUCGAGGACGAAAUUUAUUUAAGGAGGGGAGAAUUGUAACACCCUGAAUUUUGGGCCUAAUAGGUUUUGAACAAGGCAAACAUUUGGUUAGGUGUUCUGUUAAACAUUAAUAAAGAGGUUACCAAACUUAAGAAACGAGUUUUAUCAACAAGUCUAAAUUUUCGAAAGACACUUCGAUGUGACAUGUAAUACCCCGAAAAUUACUACAGUAAUAAAGUAAGACAAUAUCCUUGAUAUAGUAAAAUAAGGAAAUAAAGUGAUAAAAAGGGUAAUAUUGAGUUAUGUCAACAUUAGGAAGUAUAUUAUGACAUAUUAAUUCAAGAAAUAAUUAAAUUGCAAAAGUGAGAAAAUUUUGUUUCCCAAUAGUAAAUACUCAAAAUUUGAGGGGUUAAAGUGUAAAUACAAAAAAGUUGAAGGACCAAUAUUGUAAAUAUUUAAGGGUGGAAUAAUUUAGAAACUAAGGAAAAUGGAUGAAUUAGGACCAAAUUGAAAAGGUGAAGAAUUUUGAGGGACUAAAUUAUAAUUUUACCAAAUUUAGUGAUGACUCAAGGAUGAAAUUUCAAAAGAUUAUAAAGGGCAAAAUGGUCAAAUAGAGGGAGAGAAUUCUAGAAGGUAAUGAUGAUGUUUGUGAUAUUUUUAAUUAAUUAAUUAAUUAAAUGUUAUUUAAUUAAACAUUUAAUUAAGAUUUUAUUAAGAUUUUUAGUAUUAUUUUAUUAUUAAAUGAUUAAUAUAAAAGGGAGGAAAGAUGAUGACAGAUCAUCAUCUUUCCAUGCAACCAACAUUAGAAGAGAAAAGAAGAAAGAAAGUUUUCCUUUCUUUACAAUUUGGUCCUUUCACCAAAAAUUCACUAUUUUUGCUUAGAAAUCAAAAGAAUUUCCAUAGCUUCCAAGAGAGAAAAAUAAUAAGGAGAAAUUGGGGAGAUAGAAUGUCAAGUUAGAUUCAAGAAAUAGAGGCUGGAGGAGAGAGAAAAUCAAGUUAAAGAUUGAAAUCAAUAGCAUACGGUAAGAACAUCAAGAUUUCAAUAUAUUUUUAAGUUUGUUAUUGUUGAAAAAGUAUGGAAAUGAUGUUAUAGUAGAGUUUUAUUAUAUAAGGUCUUACGUUCUUGAUAUAUUAUUGAAGAGAAAUAAGUGAAAGUGAUGAGAAAUAUUAUAGAGAAACGGAAUAAGGGAGUUAUACACCUAGUAAUCAACAUUUUGCACUAAAACAGUUUUGGACAGCAACAGUAGGUUAAUUUUGAAAAAUCACCAUAAAUUGUAGAAACAAAAUUAUAGUAUUAAUAAAAUGUGUAAAUAAAUCUUAUUGAGUCUAGUUUCUCAUAGAAGAAACGGUGUAAGUAAUGGAAUUGUAAAUCAUGAGAUAUAAUAAAUUUUGUGAGACAAGUUCAGAAUGAAUUCGGGUUCCCCUAUUCUGACUUGGAAAAAUCAUUAAAAAUUGUACAAAAAUAAUUAUGGGUUAAAAUUUAUAUGUUUAAAAUUAUUAGUGAGUCUAUUUUUAAUAUAAACAAACAGGAACAUCAUUUGAAUUCUGUACAAAGAUAUAAUUAAUUUUUAGUCAAGAGGGGUCUGAACUGUCAAACAGUGAAACAGGGGAAACUUUAAAGAAUAAAAUGUACUUAUUGGAUAAACAAAAAAUUCUUAAAAUUAUAUGGUAAGAAUAUACAUGAGUAUAGUUUCAGAGAAAAUUUUCGGAUCUCAAUUCGGAGUUCUGUAGCUUAAGAUAUAAUUAAUUUAGUGACUAUGACCAAGUGAACAGCUUGUUAUGAGUAAACAAGUUAAUAGUGGUAUAAUGUAUAUAUCAAGGAUGUGGAAUGGAGUGGAGGAGGAGGAAAAAUAUAUGUGAAUAUUCAUCUAAUAUGAGUUUAUUUUAAAAUAGCUAAUUUACAUGUUUUAGGUUCAGGGACUAAAUUGAAUAAAAGUAAAAUUUUAAGGGUAAUUUUGUAAAAAUGUCAAAAAGUGACCAAAUUGCAUGAAACGAAUUGUUUUAUUAUUUAAAUUAAUAAAUUGAAUGAAAUAUUAAUUUAUAUCAAGAUUGGGAGGAAAUUCGAGGAAAAUAGAAAAUUACCAAAAUGCCCCUAAAUUUUGGUAUUUCUGCAAUUUAGCCUGGUAAGUUCGUGUAACUUGAAUUAUAUUCUUAGAUGAUUGAAAUAUAUAUAUUGGAUUGAGAAAUUGAUUUGAAUUGUGAACAUGAGAAAUUGUGAAUUGAAUGAAAUGGAAAUGAAGCUUUGAAUUACAUGAGUAAAUAUCGGGUCUCGUAGGCCCUAUUUAUUAUGAAUAUAAUAUUUCGAGGAUAUGUUGUAAAGAAUUAUAAAAGCACGUUAAAAAUUAGUUUUAAUUCAGAUGAAAUUUUGUAACUCGGUUUAAUACGCAUGCAAAUGUAUGUAUUCUAGUAAUGUCUCGCACCCUAUUCCGCCGUCGAAUACGGGUAAGGGGUGUUACAAUGUGACAUCGUCAGAUUCGGUCAUAACGUUUAGACCGGGUUUGGAGUGUUAUAUGACACACUAGAUUUGACCAUAACUCUUAGGUCGGGUUUGGGGUGUUACAUCUGGCCAAUACAUAUUGAGGGUUAAAUAGUUACAUUACAGUGGUUUUUUAAAAAUAGAGCGACAGGAAAGAUCAGUGGAGUAUAGUGAUUAUAGGUUAGCUUAAAAGUACAUAAAGAAAAUUAAACGAGUAGAAUAAGUUCGUGAAAAUAAAAGCAAUUGUCAAUGAGGUACUGUGAAAAAGAAAGAAAAGUGACAAAGUCACAAAUAUAGAAAAACUUAUUCAUUAUUGCACAAAAAAAACCUCGUGAGCUAGCCGUAGUUACUAUAUGAUGUUGAGAUUUCCUAUAAGGAGACAUAAGGAAGGUAAGAGAAGAAGAAAUAAGGCGAUGAGCGAGAAAGGGUCAUUAAAGGGAAGAAUAGAGGACAAUAUGAUGUGUUAAACUGUUUUUGUGCUUGAAACUAUUUGAUACUAACUAUUCUUGAAUUCCAUACAUGACCUAAGCCUCAGAACAUUACAAGCCGAAAAGCCCUAUGUGAUUUAGGUAGGUUUAUUCAUAAUUUGAAAUUAUACUGAAUAAUUGCAUUUACGACUGUUUGUAUUCUACUAGGACAAUCAAAUACCUUGUAUAAUUUAUUAAUGGAUUCCUACAUUUGAGACCCUUAAUGCUUGUAUGCUUUGUAAUAUACUAAACUUAGGUGUUUGAUAUCAAAAGUGAUAAGUCAGCUAUAUAUCAUGCCAAGAUUAUGUGUGAAUAUGAAAUGCUUAUUCAUGUGCUCCAAAGCUAACAUUUGUACCAUACUUUCUCAAGUGUCGUCUUUUCAUUUAUUAUUUUUGUUUGUUUUACUUGAGGAUAAGCAAUGACUUAAGUGUGGGGGAGUUUGAAUACAAGUAUUUUUGUUAAGUUUUAAUUAUGUUUUCACAAUUUUAAUUAAAUUCAGUAAAGUGUGUAAUUUGAGUCUUUUAUUGACCUAAGGGGCCGAAUAAGGCUUAAAUGUGAGUUAAUAUACUUUGUGAACAUGUAAGACACCAUUAGAAGGUGCGCUAACUCGAUAUUGGUCACUGUGUUGCAACACGACGCACUGAAUGUCGUACAUAGUGAACAGAAUAGAAGAAUUCCAAGACUACCUUUGGUGUUGUGACAUAGCUUAAGGAUGUUGCGACACACCCCUGAAGAUACCCUAAAGAUGAACAUACUACCCUCGAUGUCGUGACAUCACCUCUGUACAGGAAAUAAUUACGAGCCAGAGGCAUUUUGGCCCAUACAAUCAAACAUUAAACAUGAGGAUGACAGCUGACCUAGGUUAAGGAUGACGACUAAUCUAAAGUCUAUAAAUAGGCUCAUUUAACACAUGUUAUGGACAACAUUCGUUUUGUAUGAUUUCCCCCUUAGAUUUAGUCUUUAGUUUUUCUCUUUUUUUAGACUUUAGGUUUAUUUUGGUUUUGUUAUUUGUUCUUGUCGAAGAAAUCAGAUUUGUGAAACAUAAUCAAACUCUGUGAGGAUUCUGCACUCAUUUCUAAUACAGAUCAGGCUUCUUGUAAACUUUAUACUCUUGAAUUAUUAUUCAUGUUUACUCUUUCUAUCAAGUUUAUAUUGUUUAUGAGAUUUAUGAGGAACUAAUCCUCCUAUGGGAGAAUAGCGAGUGGAGAUAUGAUUAAUUAACUGUUUUGUAGGGUUUUAUUAGCGGAUUAGCUAUUUAGGAAAGGAAGAACCUAAAACCUAAGCUUGACAAUCCCAGGAAGUCAUUAAGGUGGGAAUUAACCUAAAUUUGGUAUGCCCUAUCCGUGAUUACCUUAACCCUGAAUCGAUCUAGACUAUGAGGUUGAGAGAUAAAUAGUUCUUGUUAACUCAUUAUUUUAGUGGAAGAUUGGAAGAUCUUGCUGGGAUUUCGACUAGUUGAUUGAACAAGAAAACUCGAAGCAACAGUUGGUUAUAUUAUUUGAUUUCUUGUGCAUUAUUUAUUUCUUUUCUUUCUUCAUUAUUAUUAGUAUAGAUCACCAAAACUUGUCUUUUUAUCUCAUCAUAAUAUAAUUCAUUUAAAGUACUAACUAGAUCUAUUUAUGCUUACGUUAGAAUUAAUUUAGUGCUCGCCUCCCUUGGGUACGAUCCUCGGAGUACUCAUCUACUAUGUUGUAACUAUAUUACAACCUGACCCGUAUACUUGCAAAUACUGCCUUUUCAUAUAUUUUGUGCAAGAUUUCUACUAUGGAUGUUGGUACAUCUAGAGGCGAUCAGUAGAUCACACAAUCUCGUUAUUAAUUCGAUAUUUUUUCAAUUGUUUUAAAGCUCAAUUUUGUCGCAUGUAUAUAGGUUUUAUGAAUUGUUAAUUUUGAAUGUUGGCAUAACUUGAACUCUAUCUUGUGCUUGAUUUUGGCAAUGUUAAGUUUAAUCUAAAUGGUGAGUUUUUAGAAAAUAUGGUUCAAUUAUGAAUGAAAGUUAAAAUAGCUUGUUUAAACAUAGAUUAGCAUAGUUGAGAAGUUGAUUUUGAGUGGCUAGUUGGUUGGAUGAAUGGUUUGUGAUUGAAUAAGUUGAAAUGGUAAAUUUGGUGCUAAUUUGAAGUUUUGUUAAAAUGGUUGAAUUGAAAUGGUUAGAGGCAAUAUUUUAGUAUGUGUUUGAAAUGUUGUUGUGUAGGAAAAGUUACGUAAAUAUGCACUAAAUGUAAAGAAUGGGAGGUAUCCAUGAAAUAGGUACCAAAUGGCCUAAAUUUUACGAAAAAUAGAGUCCAUGUUCCGACAACCAAUCUUCCUCAUCGUAAUGUUGGCCAACAAUAAGUCACGUCACGACAUUAAGUGGCCUAAGGUCACAACGUAACAAAAUGUUUGGUGACGUCACGUUGUCGGCCUUGAAAUUUUGAAACUUUGCAAUUUGGUCAUAUUUCAUGCUUGAGUCAACAAAAGAGCUUUUCUAAACUUGAUUAAGGGUCAAAUUUAAUUUUGUAUCAUAAAGUGAAGGUGUUUAUGAUAUGAUUGAAUGUCUAAAUGAUUUAUUUACGGUGUAUUGGACGGUAGUUGCUCCUGCAACGAAUGUGGCAUCCUAUGGCUCAGACCCAAUGAUUGGGUUAGGCAAAGGUUUUUACAACCAAAGUGUAUAAAUUGUAUAAUUGUUCUGAAUUUUUUUUAAUAAUAUAUAAUAGAAGGUCUCAUAAGGAUGUGAUUGAGACUGGUUUCGAAAUCGAAGCUCAAAAUUAAAAGAUAUUGUUAAUUUUAAUGACUAAAUUGAAUAAAAUGUAAAAAUUUAGGGAAAAUGAAAUUAAAAUGGUUCAUGCAUAUUGGGGGUUGAUAUAAAAAUAUUUGGUAUUGAUAAAUUAAAUUGAAUAAUUGUAUAGAUCGAGAAUUGAACCAAAUCGAAGAUAAUCAGGGAAACGACAAAAUUGAGGAAUUAUUUUUAAAGAUACAAUUUGCUUGUUGUUUUGCCAAGUAAGUUUAUAUGGAACUUACUAAUUUUUUUAUGUGAUGCUGUAUUGUAUUUAUUCUAUCGACAUGUUUAGUCUCAACUGAAAUAGGUGAAAUUGGCAUAAUUGGCUUAUUUUGGACUAAAUUGUAGAACAUGAAAAUGAUGGCUAUUAUGAAAGGGUACAAGGUACCAAUAUGAAUGUUAAAUGUUUAAAAUAUGUAUGACAUGUGUAUAGUGAUACAUGAUUUGAAAUGAUAUUAUUACAAUAAUGAUGACCGUGUGAGCUUAGUAAAAGAUUAGGAUAUGUAUGAUAUGCCACUAGGGUUAAAUACGAAAUCGAAUAGGGGUAUACAUGAUGAAUGAGAUCCAAAAUUUAUUGUAGAUUCUAGAUUUAUAUGUAUCAUUGGUUUAACCUAGACUGGUAACCUCGAUACGAUGUCAACUUGUGUGAGUAAAUCUGUUAUAUUGUCAGCUUGUGUGAGCAAUAUAAUCUUAUGUAUCGGAGUUCAAUUUACGAAGGUUCUCUCUGGAAAAACUUUAACUUAAUGAAAAUGGAAAGAUUGAAAUGAAUUGAAUAUAGAUAAAUUGAUAUAUGAUUUCAAAUGGAAAUGUGAUUUAUGAUUUAUUAUCUAUUCAAAUUGAUAUACAAAUGAACUAACCUAGUGGUUGUUUAUGAUUUAUGUGUUAGUUAUUUCAAGAUAUACUAAAUAAUGCUAUAUUGAUUUUGAUUGUGUUAAAUGAUUAGCUUAUUGAAUUGUUAAGGUAAAUUAAGUAAAUUACAUAUGACCUUACUAAGCAUUCAAUAAGCUUACUCCAUUAUUUCCCCUUUCCUUGUAGAUUGUUACAUUGCGAAAUGUGUCAAGUGGAAUGUUUGAACCUCACAAUAUCCCGUUUUUGAAUCGGUAGUUUAUUUUUAUCAUUUUAAGUCCAAAUUUGUGGCAUUCACAUAGGUGUUUUGCAUAUGUUAACUUUGAAUGUGGAACAUAGCUAAAAUCUACCUAAUGCACAAUUUUGGCAAUGUUAAUGUCUUGAUGAAAUGGUAUGUUUUGGUAAAUGGUUUGUGAUGUGUAUGUAGCAAUUGAGCGGGCUUAUUUGGAUAUGAAUUAGUGUUGAAAAGCUAGUAUUUAGGUGUUUGUUUGAUAUAUAUAUGUCAUGUUAAUAAGAUGAUAUGUCUAAUGGUUGAUUAUAAAUUGAUAAGAAGUUGAUUGUAUUAUUUGCAUUUGUUUUGGUAUAUUUUUUGAAAUGUUUUGGUGCAGGUGAAGUUAGUCAUUUGUGCACAAAAUCAUAAGUUUAUGUGGAAGCUUGAAAUAGGUACCAAAUGGCUCAAAGUUUACCAAAAACAAAGUCCACAUCCUAGUGUGCAACUUAGCUCGUUGCAGCAUCGACCAAAAUAAUGAGUCACGUCGCGACAUUGAGUGACCUUAAGUUACGGCCUGACAUACUAUUUUGAAAACAUCCCGAUGUGGAGAAAUUGACUUCACAAAUUCGGCUUUAAAGUUUUAAAACUUUGCAAUUUUGUCAUAUUUUGUGCUUGGGUUAUCAAAAGAGCUUUUGUAAGCUCGAUUGAGACUCAGAUUUGAUUGUUUAUCAUAAUUUAAAGGUAACUGACUCGUAUUAGAAUUUAUAAAUGUUUUUUUACUGUGAACUUGACGGUAGUUUCUCCGAAAAAAAAUGUGGCAUCCUGUAGCUUGGACCCGACGAUCAGGUCGGGUGAGGAGUGUAACAUUUAGUGGUAUCAGAGUUAUGAUUUAAUCGAUUCUAGGACUAAAAUGUAGCUUGUGUUAAGUCUAGAAAUACAUGCCACAAUAAUUUGCAAUAGUGUGAUGCCUUGUGAAUCAAAUUGACUCUGUUUUCCAUAUAGUUAAAUUAUGUCGGCCGAAUUAAAUAGAGUCAUACUAGAUGAAGUCAAUAGUAAUGUUCAUGCUUUCAAACAGUGAGCUGCCCAGAGUUUGCCCAUUCUAUAAGGGCCUAGAAACCAGGAAAAAAUGUCUUUUUUUCAUAUGAUGAACAAGUGGUUCACUUAGCUUAUGGGAGCUAACCCUUCAACUUUACAACCGCAAAUGCACCCUUCUCCCUCGAUUGUGCCUCUUGUGGCACCCCUUGUCCUCAAAAUCUUAAUCUGGUACCUAUAAAUCGACUUCUAAUCGAUAAAUUCUAAAAAUGGGUUCCUUAUUCCUACCUUAGCCAUUAUUGGGAUUCCUACUGAAUUCGUCAAUGCUACGGACACUUAUAUACACAUUUUGGCGUCUCCUCUCACUAUUUCAGACUUGGACACUAGUCCUCCAACCUCGCAUACAUCCCCAAUUGGCUUUCUCUACUACACUCCUCCUACUAGCAAGGUACAAAUCUUCUUUUCUUGGAGGAAACACAUCGGUGUGGGACAAUAUCCGUUCUCCCCCUUGUUGUUUGGCAAAGGAAAGAUAGGGAUUUUCUCUUGGAAUUAAAAUACUUAGCCUACCCUUCUUCUUCUUCCAAGGGUAUUCACAAACCUACCCUACCAGAGUUGGCGGGUUCUUUUUCCAUGAUGGUUGCAGAGUGUGACUUAUGAGUUGGGCUCUCCAAAGGGCUUGUGAUGAGAUCAAUGCUAGGAAUCUGAGAGGAGAAUUCUCUUUGGCAAGCAAUCUCUUAACCAAGUCCACUAAUCGUAUGAAGCCGUUGUCUGCUAAAAUCACGAGCUUACACAGUCAAUCUCCAUUUGGGAGACUAAGUACCAACCCUCGAUUGUCUAAGAAAAAGAGUUAGAAGAGAGGGUUCGUCAGCUGUAAGCCCUUGAGAAAGAGUACCUCGCCAAACAAGAGCAGAUAUAAAGGGAGAACAAAAAGGCUCUAGAGAUGUUGAAGGAAAAUACCAUCGCGAACAUUCGAGCAUUUCUGCCUAGCUUGAGGUCUAACUUAGUGCUGCAUGUACAAGUCACUAUUGGUCACUUCGACUUGCAUUGUGUGAACUUUAAUUGUGUGCGAAAACUCACAAACACCGACCUUGACUUCAACACUCUAAACCUCAAGGGGGCUAAAUGUGAAGAAUUCCAUAGGAAGUGGAAGGAAUCCAAUACUCUUUUAUGAUCAAGACUUAGAGCUGUCCAACUCUGCUUCCUCAAAAGAGGCUGACCUAGAAAAAACCCCAGGGAUGCCGCCACUUCUCCUACUCAAGGGGAAAUUAGAAUAUUGCUGUUGUACCCUGCACUGACCUUGUAAUUUAAUGACAUUUUUCUUUACCUUCUUUACCUAUCUUUUGCAUCUACUUUAUUUAGUUUUUUCCCUUAUAUUGUCUUCGAAAUGCAUAAUGUCAGGCUUACAACAGUUUGCCAAUCUGUACCCAACUUCAUAACACGUAAUAACUUUACAACAACUUAAAGGACUAGGCCAGAUCCAAUGUAGCAUGCAUAUAAGGGCUACUCCUUACCUUUCUAUAUCAAAAGGAUUGGCUAAAUUGAAGCUCUGAUACCAUUAAAUUGUAAAACCAUUUUCUCGACUCGAUCGUUGAGUCCAGAGCCAAGUGUCACAAAUAACCUGAGUUAUUUAACAUAAAUCUAGCUUUGUUUAUUUACAAAUUUAAGUACACCAUGAUUAAUCUGAAUUUUCCAUAUGACUAUGAUACCUUUAAUUAACAACAGGUUUCAAAAUAGGGCUACAAUUAAAAUUUCUACAAGUUCUAAAGUUCGUACAUCUGCAUCUUUUUAUCAAGCAUGAACAAUUAAUUACAUUAACUUGGAACUUAGAACUUUACUAUAGAUACACUUAAGUAAUUUCCCCUAAGGUGUAGCCUCUAAGGGUGCCCCUCUAUACGCAUGGUAUAGCUAUGACGCCAUUAAUGUGAGUUUGACAGUGUCUAGCUUGGUCCAUCCACAUGAUCCUCGAGUCACUCAUUUACCCUACAUUUCAAACAGUACAUUUGUAAGUUCAUAUGAAUUUAGUGAAAUCCUGUACAGCAAAAUUCAUAAAAAAACUCUUAAAUUAUUGGGUAAAUAACAAUCAAUGCACAGAAUUAAAACUUCAUGAGUGUCUUAGAAGAUUCCACAGGUUUAACUGGCAUUGUCGAUGCCCAUACGUGCUCUGAACUAACCAUUGGCGAACAUGUCGACUGGUUUAGUCGUAAGCAUGCUCUUCUAGAAACCCUUUUUUCUAGGACUUGACCCUGUCUAGUUUCAACUCAGACUUCCAAUUUUUCCUUCUUGAUUCGACUCAUCAUAAGAUAACCAUAUACACAAACGUGCGAGUUGGUUUCAAUUAUUGGAAAACAUUCAAAUAUCUCACCACCUGGCAGAUUCCUUCCUGUCUCCUUUCAUUCCAUGCCAAACAUAAUAUAGACAUGUCAUAUUGUCUCGACAUUUUCCCUUUUAUGACUUAACCUAUGUGUGUACCACUUUCUUUAGGUAAACAUGUUUCCUAAUAUUCUUAUUUGCGACAUUGAAUAUUAGAUUUGGCUGAUAAAUAAGCACCACUUUCAUUGCGGACUUGCACUUGUAAGAUAAUCUCGUAGGUCUUUCCCCUCUUUAGAACAUUCUACUAAAAUACUCUUAAGAAUAGAUAGUUCCCGAUGAACUAUAUCUUCUUUAGUUUUCCCUUGGCAAACUUCCACCCUUGAUAGUCUUUUGUGGGCUUCCUCAUUCUAUAUGGUCCUGGUAGAAAUCUUAUUCUUUUGUAAAUUCUUGAUGGACUUUCUCACCAAAAUAGUCAUUGGCAAACUCCCCUUUUAAAAGGGUCUAUGGCAGACUUUCUCUAUUUCUGGUGGCUUCUUUACCCACAGAUUCUUAGGAUUAAAAUCUGCCUAAUCAUCUAGAUUUAACACACCAAAUGUUGGUUUACUCACCAAACUUUGGCGGAUACUUAAAUACUUUGGAGAAAAUACCCUUUCAUUUCACAUAUAUCGCAUUUAAAAUGCUUCUGCAAUUCUUCUUACCUCCAUAUUGUGGAGGAUCCUCUUAUUAGCAUACUUGCCAUUAUUUUCAAAUAAGUUAUGAUCAUCAUGUCAGACUGCUCACCAUGAGUGUCAUACAAUAACUUCCCUUUUUAUUCCCUGACAAGCUUCCUUGUUUACUGUUCUAGCAGACUCCAUUUCGCCAUAAGGUGUACCUGUUCACCACUGGAUCGUGUCAUGGCCAACCAUGGACUCUUGAUUCUCAAGAAUCAAUAAACCCCUUUCAAGGUAUCACCACGAAAGACCUGUAUACCAUUUACAUGGUGUCACCCUGAAGGACCUAUAUACUAUUUACACGGUGUUGCCCCGAAGGACCAGUAGAUAACUGUCAACAUGAUGUCAACCCAAAGGACCAGUAGAUAUCUAUUCCACAAUGCCACCAAACUCCCUUGAAUCCUAUAACAAUUCGCUCAUUCCUCCAUUACACUAAUUAUUCCUAUCUUCAUCUACCCCAUCAAAGUAAAUCCUUCCAAACCCUGCAUUUUAUAAACAUACAUUUCACGCAAGUCAUUGUACUUAUUAUUAUAACAUACAGUACACUAUUUAUCAAUAAGACAAUGCACAACCACAUUUGGCAUCCAGAGAACAUACUUGCAAUGAUCCAUAUAUUUUCACAACUUUAUGCAUGCAUGGCAUACUCAUUCACUGUGAUCAUAAACAACCAAUAGCAAACACACGAGCAGAACAUUCCAACACAUUAACAACAAACACCUAAGUGGAGCACAGAAACUCACCUUAAACCCUUCAUCCUCGCCAGUUUAGCUUAUACAAAUGCCAAAGCCUUCUUUUUCUUGGCAGCUAAGCAUGACAACCAUAUAUAUAUAUAUAUAUAUCAGUUAAACCAAAGGUGUUCAAACCUUCAAACCUUGAAUCCAUUAUUAUACAGAAGCUUUUCAAGAAUCCUUACUUCUUUUUUCCUCUAAUUGAAGAGUACAAAGAGACAUGGGAGUUUACCAGCUUACUACAUUCUCUACUUUCCAGACUCGAGUCUCACAUUUACCGCCUCAUGCAAAGCUUUCCUUAACUUUCUUUUCUUCGAAGCAACCGAAGAAGACGAUGCAGAUGAAAAGAGAAUAUAAACAGAACACGGAAGAUUUUUUCCUCUACUGAAUAAGGCUUCUUACUUAUAUAUAUAACUCUUCUCGUAUGAUCACCAAAGCCCCAAUUAAACCAUCCAUCGGCAAUCAUUUUGUCCCCCACUAAGGAACCAACCAGUUCCAACAUAAUUGAACCAGAAUUAGAUUUCCACUAAUUAUCAAUCAGCCACAAAAAUUUCUAACUUUUCCAAUAAAGCUCACCCACUUACUAUUUUAUCAAAUUAACUCCCAACUCUCCUUUAAAUACGAUACUUUAAUGAAAACCAGGUGUGACAUCUAUAAUUCAAAUAACAAAGUGCAAGUUAUCAACAAAUACGUCUUUCAUAUCAACUGCAAAACAUCAUGCUAAAUGUACUAUAUUAUCAUACCAUUUUCCGAAUCGAAUUGAUUGAUUCAUCACAAUUCUAUAUAAAUCUUCUAGACUUAUAAAUUCGGCUCAAAUAAUAUUUUAAAAUAGCAAUUCAUUUCAUAUACUAUUAUUAAAAUUAAUUUUUAAAUCCAUAUUAACAUAACUUGGACUCAAACGGAUACAUGAAUCCAACCAACACACUAAUUUACCACAUUGUGCCUCAUUAGACAAACCAGAGUAAAUACAUUGCGCCCAACGCUCAUCAGUAUAACCGAAGUAAAAGUUGUGACCAACAUUUAUUGACCUAUAGUUGAAGCAACUUGUACUCAACACAUCUGACCACCUCCGGAUGUACUAAUGUCCAGAGUAUGAAUACUGCAACAAAAGAUAAAGAAUUGAGGUGCUGUAAUAUAGUUUUUACGAUGAAGUAGGUAAGUACUCCGAGGAUCGUGCCCAAGGGAGGCGAGUACCAAAUUGAUGUUAACCUAAACGUAAUAAAAUUAAUUAGUAGUUUAAAUAAAUUAUAAUACGAUGAAACAUAAAGAAGAAUUUUUAGAUUUUUAUAAAUGACGAAAUAAAAGAUGCAUAAAUAAAGUAGACUUCGGAAAACUUAAUUUAUAAACUUAAUCAAAUCUAGACAUGUGUGAUUAGCUCGCUUUGCUGAUUAUAACUAAUUCCUAUUUCAAGUUUCUAUUCAAUCAACUAGUCGUUAUCCUAGCAGGAUCUCUCGAUCUUCCACUAAACUAACAAGUCGACCAGAACUACUUAUCUCUAGCCCUCACAAUCCAAACCGGUUCUAGGCUAAGGUGUUCACUGAUAGGCUAUACCAAUUUUGGGUUAAUUCCCACCUAAAUGACUUCCUAGGUUCAUCAAGCCUAGGGUUUAAGUUCUUUCUUUCCUAAACAGCUGAUCCACUAAGAAAACCCUUCAUAACGAUUAAUUAAUCACACCUCCACUCUUUAAUCCCCCAUAAGAGGACUAGCUCUUCAUGGAAUCCAUAAACAUAGUAUACUUCAUGAUAAAUAUAUGCAUGAAAAAAUAAAUCAAGAAUAAAUUUUAGAGAAUCCUGAUUGUAUUCGAUUGAUGAAGCACGAAAAUCUUAAAACAUUUUAUUGUGUCUACAAAUCAAGUUCUUCGAAGAACACGAAUGAAAAGAACUAAAAAGAAAUCUAAACCCUAAGAGAAAGAAAAAAUUGAAAAUUGAAUUACAAAGAAAAACUUUGAAUAUCAAAAGUUUUCCAUAAUAAGUGUUAAAUGAGCCUAUUUCUAGAUUUAGGGUUGUCGUAGUCCUCAAUCCUAGGUUAGUUGAUGCUCUCAUGUUAAACAUUUGAUUGUGCAGACCAAAACACCCCUGGCUCGUAAGUGUUUCCCAUAUAGGACCGAUGUCGCGACACCCUAGUACCUGUGUUGCAACAUCAAGGGCAACAUGCUCAUAUUUAGGGUAUCUUCAAGGGUGUGUCGUGACAUCCUCAAGCCGUGUCGCGACACUGAAGGUAGUCUUGAAAUUCUUCUAUUCUGCUCCCUAUAUUGCAACAUCAAACUCUUCGUGUUGCAACACAACAACUAGUAUCAAGUUAGCACGUCUUCUAAUGGUCUCCUGCACACUCACAAAGUAUAUUAACUCACCCUUAGGCCUCAUUCGGCCCCUAAUGUCAAUAAAAUACUUAAAUUACACUUUUUAUUGAAUGUAUGAAAUUAUGAAAAAUCGACUAAAACAUAACAAAAGAGCUUGUAUUCAAGCUCCUUAAAUGUGAAAACUAGUUUAAUCUGCUACACUGAAUUUUGAAAAAUUAAACUCCCCCACACUUAAGCCAUUGAUUGCCCUCAAACAAUGUAAACAUAUAAUUAAAAUAAACGAAAAAGAAGGUAUGAAAACAAAAAAGAAAAAAAAUUAGUUGUAAAUAAAAGUAAACCAAACUACAAAACAUAAAAAAAAAAAGAAAAUAACUACUUGGUUUCUUUCUUUAAACAAGCUAGAAUUGGUGAAUAUGGUUGUAAAUAAGAACCUCACCCCUAGACUCACCUACACUUAACUUUUGGUUUGUCCUCAAGCAAAUCAAGUCCAAACACAUAGCAUGUAAUAAGAAGACAUCCCUUAGAUUUUAUUGCUACUAAGAACAUGAUUGUCAAAUAUGAAAGGUAUAACAAUUCUUAUCGCACAAGUAACUUAAUUUUGAUAGUUUGAUGCUUUGAAAUUUUUUAAAGCAAAAAAAAUAUUAGUUUACAAAGUUACAUUACUAACAAAUUAGAAGUAAUCCCCAUGACCAAAUAUUUAACAAUAUCACCAUUAACAUAAAUAAAAAAGACAUGCAGUAGACACAAUCAUGUGAAUUAGAAAAUAUUCAUUGAGUAUAAUUGUUAGCAAUUCCGUAAUAUUAUGCACAGAGAACGCUUAAGUCACAUUGGUCUUCUAGGCUUGUAACUGUUUGAGGCUUAGAACGGUAUGAGUUCAAAGAAAGAUAUGGCUCACAAUGAUUCAAACACUAGAAAUAGUUAGGCACAUGACAUUGUUCUCUAUCUUCCCCCUUAAUGUCCCAUCCAAGCUCACCGCAUUUUGUCUCCCUCUCUCACUUACCUUAUCUUUCCAUGUAGGAAGAUACAAUAUAAUACUAGAAACCAUGUUCGACUUAAUGACUUUUGGUGCAUUGAUGACUGAGUUUUCGCUCACUUUUGUGACUUUUUGUUUUGUCACUUGACUUUUUACUCUUUUCUCAGUCAUGGUGUUUUUGUUUCUAUUCUAUACUCUUUCCACACAUUUUUACUUUUGAAUUUCUUUUCUUUUUCGCACAUUUUUGCUCAACCUAUAAUCAUUGUAUCACAUUGUUUCUUCCUUUGUCGCUCUUUGUUUUUGGAACCACCAUAAUGUAUCUACGUAAACACUCAAUAUCUAUGGUCUGACUAUUUUAUAAUGUAUUAAAGGACUAAUGAUAGGGAAGAGUUCAAGUUUUAUGUGUGGUCGUUGGGUUUUAAUUUUGCUGGUUCAUCAAAAAGGAGUUAUCAGGCUCAAAUAAGGACAGUAGGGAUUCAUAGCAUUAAGGUAUGGUCAUUUGAGAACUGACUAUUCAAAUAAUGCCUUAGGUCAUCCCUAAGCAUCCCAUCAUACACAAUUUCUUUCAUGCUUCAAAUUAAACCGAAUGAAUAAUAAUCAAUUCAAGCAUUCAUGUCUCUAAGACUAUCUACAAAACUUAUAUUUCAUAUGGCAUCAUUAAACAUUCUUACUUAGGUACUUCUAAUCUAUUAUGCAAUUUAACUAGGUAACCUAAUUAAUUUCCCUUAAAAUAAUCAAAUUAUCUCAUAUCAAUAAAAAAAUUCAUAAUUGACAAAAAUCAUUACAUGCUUCACUAUUUUCAACCACUACUCACUAUCUUAAUAAUACAAACAAGAAAACUUCCCUAAGUAGGUCAGAUCCUUAUUGUUAUGAUAAUCUCAGGAUUUGUGUGCUCCAGGCAAACAAAAAGGUACCUAAAAAAAUACUACGACAAGAAAUAUGAAAUAAAAAUAAAAAUAAGAAGAAAAAGAAAAAGAAAAAAAACAAAGAAGUGUCAAAAAUCGAUGACAGAACGUCUAAAAAUACUCAGAUGAACUUGGCCUUUUCAUGUUGCAAGGUACGUUCUGCCUAGGAUGUCACGACAUUAGAGUGCGAUGUCGGGACAUCAAGCUAGUUUCUAGCUUCUUUAUUUUUUUUUCAAUUCUAUUCCACCAUAGUAUCUACUCCUAAAAAAACUUGAACACAAAUAACAUUAGUACUAAAAACUAAAAAUAACGAGAAAUAACAAAAAAACAAAAAUAAAGAAAACCGAAAAUAAAACAAAAUAUAGAAAUUCUUUAGAAAUUGGGAUGACCCGUAUCGCCACCAUAGAAGAACUUCCUUCUAGUUCUUGACACUUUGAUUCGACGUUUGUUUCUCUGUUGAUGUAUAUGAACUAGCCUUUUCGAUUGAUUUCAUGUUGUCUUAUUUUCAAUCGGCGUGACAUCCACAUUACAAGCCAUUUGGUACCAAAUCUGAGCCAACCCCAAAUUACUUUCCAAGGUAUUAUUGCCUCAAGCUUCCUUCCCUCCAUUUCGCGUGAAGUUUUGAUCCCUCUAGCUUUAUUGCUUUUGUUGGUUGAGAAUGGAUCAAACUCAUCGACUUCUUCGACUAGCACCUUCUCUGCUACAACCAAAAAGUGUAUUGGCUUUUCUAAAAUUUCAUUCAAUAUUGGUUUAAUCUCUAUGUUAGUGGUUAGUUCAUCUUCCACUUAUACCUCUACGAUAAGUUCUGCUGCUAUGUUAAUUGGAUCAGAGAUCGUUUCAACUAUGUUCAAUUCAUCCCCAUGGUCUUCAGUUACAAGCUCCGGUUGAAUCUCACCAUAAUUCUCACCAUGGUCAUUGAUAAUACAAGGGUUCUCUUGAUCUACGUUGUGAGCGUCAGACAUUCCUCUUUCCCGGAAGGCAGCACUUCGUAUACUUCUUGCAUCAUUUUGAUCAUUUGCGCCAUCAUAUUUGACAUGUGUGACAAUACCUUAGAGUUGUUUGUCUUGGUGGUUUCACAUGAAGGAAUUUCACACGAAUCACUGGAAGGCUUGUUUGAAUGUUUGGGCAUAUCAUCAUCUUUUUCAAGUGCCUCAUACAAAUUAUCAAUGAACUUAUAUAGAUGUUCGACUAUAUCAGUACCUUGUUCAUUACUUCACUGGUAUGUUGAGACUUUAUUUUUAGCUUGGCUCAUCUCGAUCAUGAACAAUUUUUUAUUUUCCAUGAUCUCCCAUUCUUCAUAUACUCCCUCAUUGUAUAUUUCAUCAUCAAAGCCCAUCUUAUCAUUGAACAACAUGUAAUUAGUUUCAUCCAUGUUUGGAUGAUUUUCUCGAAUUACUCCCUAUGGAUCAGUGACUGACUAAACAAGUAUUACUCUCUUCUGAGGCAUAUACUGAAAUUAACAAAGAAAAAGAAAGGAGUUAGUAAACUAAAUUAAUAAUACUAAAAAUAGAAAUCGUAUUUAUAAUUCAAAAUUUUCCUAAUUAUUCUUAUUAAAAUGUAAAAAUUAAAAUCAAUUUAGUAACGUUGCCUCCCUGGCAGCGGCACCAACAACUUGACUGCCUCUGAACGUACAAACGUCUAAAGUAUGAAUACUGCAACAAAAGAUAAAGAAUUGAGGCAUUGUCGACAAUUAUACGGGUCAGGUUGUAAAAUAGUUUUUACAACGAAGUAGGUAAGAACUCCGAGGAUCGUACCCAAGGGAGUCGAGUAUUAAAUUAAUGUUAACCUAAAUGCAAAUAAAAUUAAUUAUUAGUUUAAAUAAAUUAUAGUACGAUGAAACAUAAAGAAGAAUUUUUGGAUUUUUAUAAAUGAUGAAAUAAAAUAUGUAUGAAUAAAGUAGACUUUGGAAAGCUUAAUUUAUAAACUUAAUCAAAUCUAGACUAGGGUGAUUAGCUCGCUUUGGUGAUUAUAACUAAAUCCUAUUUCAGGUUUCCAUUCAAUCAACUAGUCGUUACCCUAGCAAGAUCUCUCGAUCUUCCACUAAACUAAUAAGUCGGCAAGAACUAAUUAUCUCUGAACCUCACAGUUCAAAUCGGUUCAGGGCUAAGGUGUUCACAGAUAGGCCAUACCAAUUUUGGGUUAAUUCCCACAUAAAUGACUUUCUAGGGUUUAAAUUCUUCCUUUUCUAAACAGCUGAUCUGCUAAGAAAACCAUUCAUAACAAUUAGUUAAUCACACCUCCACUCCUUAAUCCCCCAUAAGAGGAUUAGUUCUUCAUGGAAUACAUAAACAUAGUAAACUUGAUGAUAAAUAUAUGCAUGAAAAAAUAAAUCAAGAAUAAAAUUUAAAGAAUCUUGAUUGUAUUCGAUUGAUGAAGCGCGAAAAUCCUCAAACGUUUGAUUGCAUCUACAAAUCAAGUUCCCCGAAGAACACGAAUGAAAAGAACUAAAAAGAAAUCAAACCCUAAGAGAGAAAAAACUGAAAACUAAAUUACAAAGAAAAACUUUGAAUAUCAAAAGUCAUCCACAACAAGUGUCAAAUGAGCCUAUUUAUAAAUUUAAGGUUGUCGUCGUCCUCAACCCUAGGUCAACUAACAUUCUUGUGUUAAACAUUUGAUUGUGUAGACCAAAACGCCCCUAGCUCAUAAGUGCUUCUUAUACAUGAUCAAUGUCGCAACACCCUAAUGCCUGUGUCGCAACAUCGAGGGCAGUAUGCUCAUAUUCAUGGUAUCUUCAGGGGUGUAUCGCGACAUCGAUCAUGUCUUGGAAUUCUUCUAUUUUAGUCCCUAUGUUGUGACAUCAAACUCUCCAUGUUGUAACACAGUGACCAGUAACGAGUUAGCACGCCUUUUAAUAGUCUCCUGCACACUCACAAUGUACAUUAACUCACCUUUAAGCCUCAUUUGGCCCCUAAGGUCAAGAAAAGACUCAAGUUACACUUUCUAUUGAAUGUAAAUGAAACUACGAAAGCUUGACUAAAACAUAACAAAAGAGCUUGUAUGCAAGCUCCUCAAAUGCCAAAACUAGUUUAAUCUACUACACCGAAUUACAGCAGAUCAAUAUCCUAUGGUAUGUCAACUAUAUUCGACUUUGCCCGAAUAGUGGCAACAAAUCAUCCAAUUCAUAAUAUAGCUUAAUUUUGCAUUUCAUAUCUCCAAUUCAUCAACCAAGUCAUCAAUAUAUACAUAGCAUAACAUGAGUCAUCUCAAUUCACAUCCAAUUUCAUAAUUUCAUCAAGUUAUGCUAUUUUUAAUUUUAUUCAAUUUAGUCCUCUAUCUCUAUAAUCAAUCAAAUUCAUACAAAUAUGAUUCGAUAAAUCAUAUUUAACUUACCUCAAUAUCCUACCAUGCAAAUAAUAGAAAUAUGCAUCAAUUCACGUAAUUUGAAUAAUAAAAAUAUUAACUGAACACUCGAGUUACUCAUUGUUGGAUCUCGUCUUUCCAUUCCCUCUUGAAGUUUCCACAUCGUCUUUAGCUACGAACUAUAAUCUAAUAGUACAUAAUAUUAAAUACCAGCCAAAUCACAACCAAUUACAAAAAAAACACACAUUUUACAAUUUAGUCCCUAAAACCAGGACUAGCAUAACUUUCAAUUUGAAGUUUCAAAUUGAAAUCCGAUUUCACUAUUAUUCAUUAGUGGCCUCCUAUUUCUUAUUACUACUAUAAAUUUUACGGUUUAUUCACUUUAAUCCCUAAUGUACAAACCCUUGUUAAUGCAUCUUAUUCUUCUUUAUUUAUUUUGGUUCGUUUGGGGAGGAUGAUUUUUCUCAUUCUUCCCACUGAAUUGCACAUAUAUAUUAUAAUUAACUUAGUUAAUUAAGUAAUCAACCUCAGUUUAAUAUAUAUAAUACUUAAUUUAUUAAAUCUAAUGAUAACAUGCUUUUGUCGUCCAACUUUCAAUGUUUAGACAUGGUAUAUUUGAUAUUUUGAACCUUGGGUUAUUUGCAAUUUAAUUCCUCAAGCCAUUUUCUAAUUAAAAAUCUAUAGCGAUUGAACUUUACAAUUUAGUCCUAGACCUCAAUUAAGCCCUAAUUCAACUAAAUUAUUUGUCCAAAAAUUUACGGGAUCGAUUACAUUUUUUGACACCACUGGAAACUGAAUCGUUACAAAUUUAUUUAAUUUCAAAUUUAUUGAUGUGAGUAUGCUUUUAUUGCUUAAUGAUUUUAUAUUAUGAGAUUGAUUUAUGUUUAACACCACUAUACUUUAUAUGUUCAACGUGCAGUUUGUUUGUACCAUGCAUAAAUAUUGGGAGAACACGCAAGUAGUAGUCCUUAUAGUCAUAACAUUUGAGCUCUUGAAUCUGAGCUACAUUCAUUGAACUUUUGUAAUUCCUUUCUUUGGCGUUAAGUUAUAGGCAUUUACCUAGGUCCCUUUUACAUGUCUUAUACUUAUAUCUUUAAGGUUUUGAUACGAUUGGUAUAUUUGGCAUGGAAUGAAAUAUUUUGGUUUGUCUUGGUUCCUUUGGUCACUUUUACUUUGGAUUUGGAAUGUUAAUUCUAUAUGGUGAAUGAAUGGUUUUUAACUUAUAUUUUACUUGCCUAGCCAAACAAUAAUUUAUUAUGUUAGAUGACUUGCAAUUGUAUGUUUUAGUCUUGUUUUCGCAUGUUAAACAUGUUGGAAUUGGUUUGGUCGCAUGUUGCAUGUGUUUAGGUACCUCUAAGGGUUAAACUACAUGACUUACAUUACCUUUUUUUUUUUCAUUUUUGGGUUAGUGCUUUGAGAUAUCAAAAACAUGUCUUGAUACCUUAAGAACAAAAAUAAAAUUUCAUCCAUCUCUAGGUGUACAUCACAUGACAUAACACUAUGGUUUCAAGACAUAAGGCCUUAAGUCUGGAGACAUGGAGAUUUUGUCUUGAAACAUAAAACAUCUAGCUAGUUUAGCAGAUAUCUAGUCCAAGGACUUGAGACAUGGUUUCAUUGUCUCGUGACCUCAAACUUCGAAGCUAAAAUUCUAAAAUAGGGGAGGCAUGUCUUGAAACAUGGCUUCACUGUCCUGCGUUUUGCUAGUUUGACUCAGGAUCCGUAACCUGGCUCCAUGUUUGGCCUUUUUUUUAUGUAGGAUUGUUGUGUACGAGCCCAACUGACUUCAUUCAUGUGCUUUUAACACUCGUAUUCUCUAUUGACUUUGCCACACUUGCUCUAUUUUUAGCUUCAAUAGUUGUUUUCAUCGUUUCUUUAAGUUACUUCAGCAACUGAUUGGCUUCUUGCACCCAAUCGGCUUCCAGGUCAAGCAUAAACGGUUACAAUGUAGAUAUAUGUGAAUUUUCUUAUAAGUUUUUUUUUUAAUAAGGGACAGAAGUAGAAGUUGUUCAACUAUCGAAUUUGAUACUAAUGUUAAUUGAAUAGUUGAACAUAAAUCUUUUGCUUAUGUCACGAUUUGACCCCUAAAUUAUAUUUGUUUUUCUACUUUUAUCCUUGAACUAUUAUUUUCAUCUUGAAAACCAAAAUAAAAAUUAAAGUUACUAAUAAGAACAUGAUACAUGACAAAUUCUUAUCAGACACGUAUGAUUUUUGUAAGUAAAGUAGGCUCAUACCAUUACUUAUACUUAUUUUUUUUACCAAUUUGCUUUUAAUUCAAUCAAAUUGAUAACAAAUAUUGAAAUAAAAAGGUUAAACUAUGUAUAGGUCUCUAUACUAUUCACAAACUUGAAAUUUAGUCCCUAUACUUUUAUUUUAGAAACCCUGUCCCUCUACUAAAAAAAUCACAAAAUGAACCUAAAUUUAACAAAAUAAUUUUAAUAAUAUUAAUAAUUGGACAUGAAUUUUGAAAUCUGAGAAGUAGAUAAAUUAAAUUUUUAGAAAUAAAAAUAGAAGAACUAAAUUUCAAAUUUACAAAAGGUACGGGGACUUCUGAGAAAUUUUAAACAAAUUAAAAAACAAAAAAGAAGGUAUAUUUUAUCGAGUUAAAUGAAUGAGAAAAUAUUAAAAUAAAAGAUUAAGGGUUUUUUUUUUCAGUCAAAUGAAUAAGAAAAUAUUAGAAUAAAAAUAACAAAAAAGAAGGAAAGAAUGUUUAUUAUCGUUUGAUGAAAAAUAAUACACGUGUCAAAUGAUUACAGCAUCCAUCACAUUAUCGAAAAGUACAGAAGCAGCGCACGUCUCGGCUUUAGAGUUGGAAUAGAAGCAAGUUUCUUCUAGUACUACCAGAUAUUCCUUGCUUGUCAACAUCUCUCUCCCUCUCCCAUAUAUAAAUAAGAUCGGCGGAUUUUGGCAAACGGAGUGAAAGAUCGAAAUUGGCAGAAGAUGAAGGUUUUCGUCAAAACUCUCAAAGGCACUCACUUCAAUAUCGAAGUCAAACCCGAAGAUGCGGUUCGCUUCUCUCUCUCUCUCUCUCUCUCUCUCUUCCCCCCCCCCUUUCCUGGGAUUUUACGUUUUGCUAACUAGGGUUUUCCGUUUUCCCCUAUAUUUGAACAUUUACUAGCGUUCAUUUAGGACUGUAUUAAUUGGACUUAUUAUGCACGUUGUUGAAUUACCAUGCCUCAAAUGUAAAAUCGGAGAUCGUGAAUUAUUUCUUCAAUUUUAGUCUCUAAUUUAUUGGAUAUGUUGAUUUAGCUUGUUGAAUAGUCUAGCAACUUCGAUUAAGUUUUAGUGGACUGAUACUCGUGUAGCUUGAACAGCGGUAUCAUUUUCUUCCGGUGACAAUUAGAAAAUAAGUUCUUCCUACGUAAUGCUUUUUACUAAUUCAUUGAAAUUAGUGAAUAAUACUUUGAUUUCUGGGCUUCAUUUUUGUUGUAGUAUUUCAUUACCUUGUAUCAUUGAAUAUUGAUGCAUAGAUUGCCAUGUAAUUGCCACUUGUAGUGUGCUAGAUUUAGGUUUGAACUGGAGUAUACGCAAGCUUUGAACAUUGCCAUAAGCAUCUCAUAUUUUGCAAUGCUCUUUCACUUCUUUUUAAUUAGUGUGGCUAUCAACACUUGAUUAAAUGUACAGAAGCUCCUUUUAAUAGAUCUUCUAUAACAAAGGAUCAAGUUCUGCAUUCUAUGGUUACAUCUAAUCAAGGGGUGUGUUUUUUGAAUGAUGUGGAUUUUCUAACUAUAUAAAUAAGCUAUCAUUAUUUUAUUUUUUUUACUACUUUUUAUGCCUUUUAAGGUUUAAACACACACACACAUGCACCGAUAUGAAAGAAUUGGGAUAAAAUGCAUUUUACAUUACUUUGUCACUUGGUAUUAUACAAUUCCGCUGCUAAUGCUUGCCAAUUCUUUCAGGUUGCAGAUGUAAAAAAGAACAUAGAAACUGUUCAAGGGGCAGAUGUUUAUCCUGCUGCACAACAAAUGCUUAUCUAUAAGGGAAAAGUCCUUAAAGAUGACACGACACUGGCUGAAAACAGUGUCACUGAAAAUAGCUUUAUUGUGAUCAUGUUGACAAAGGUGAGAUUGGUUACAAUAUUCUAAUUUUUAUGUUUGUAAUAUUUCAUUUAACUCGUUCUAACUUUUCUGAUCAAAGUAUGCUGACUUUGUCCUAAUAAAUGCCUAACUGACAUCGCUAUUUUUCACACUGCUGUUGAACUUGAAAGUUAUCUUAGUUAUAACUUAUGACGGAGUGUUGUAUCAUUAUAUUUUUCUUUUGAAACCUGGUUGUUGCUUUCCUUUAGGUGCAUCUUAUAAAUCAAUUUGUUGCUAAACUACAAAAUUUUCUUUGUUCUACUUCUUGACCUCUUACCUACUUGUAUUUGGAUCUGAAUUUGUUUUUCAUGACUGUCAUUUUCAUACUAAUAGUGUCCUUUUUGCUUAAAUAAACUAGAAUAAGGGUGCAUCUGGUGAGGGUUCAACUGCUUCAACUGCUCCUACAAAGAAAGUAAGAUUAUAAUUGUCACCUCUUACUGCUACUUGCAUCCAUAUUAGCUCGUAAGCAGUGAUUGUCACCGUACCUUUUUAGCUAUAUUUCUAAAGGCAUUUGCUAUUGAUAUGACGUGAAAAGUGUUGGGGGUUCUGUUUUUGCCAUUUUGGUGGAUGUUGUUUACUUCAAUGCUAUGAACUAGAAGUCGAAGUGAUAGCUAAGCAUCUUGAGCAAAUAUAAUUGAAUAGGAGUAAAUCAUUAAAUAAGAUUUAGGUAGCAAAUGGAAUGCUUUUAAGAUUUUGGUUGUUCAGAUAUGGCCCAGGUUUGAGUUUUUUCUUGCCCAACUGCUUUCAAUCUUUCACUACUAUAAACACAAUGCAUAAUUUGUAGUCUGAGUUGGUGUUAUUACCAAAUUCGACCACCUUAAAUGUUUAUGGGUUAGCUACAUAGUCUCUUAUCCACGUUUCUCAAUUUCACAAUUGUCUUCCUUUCUCUUUUCCAGUAGCAUAUCAACAUGAAAACAAAUGGCCUUUAUCCUAUUCUCUCCUCAUUGACUCCACCUAGAACAAUGUAGCUUGAGCAAUGAAGUCUCACAAAAUCAUCAUGUGAAUUUUGAUCUUCAAGUUUCUUUUUGAGUAUGAAUAUAAAUGUCUGUUUUCCCCCCACAAUACAAUCUUUGUAGGCUCCUGAGGCAAGUAGUCUGCCAACAGCUCCAGCACCAGCUUCUACUGCAUCUGUUUCAAUGUCAGCUAUGUAAGUCCUGCUAUUCUACACUUUUUGGUCAGAUACAGCACCUUUGCAAUUGAUUAAUUGCUUAUUAUUUUUUUUUCAGGGCUGCACCUGCCACUGAAUCUGCUCCUGUUGCUUCAAGUACUCCUCUGUGAGUAACUUAUUCUUGAUAGUAAAUUUCAUGCUUCUUAUUUGAAGGAUGGAAGCUUUUGAUUUAAUUGAAUUGCUUUUAGUAGGAGGGAUCUUGUGUUUUUCCUUGUUUUCCUUUGCAUACUUGUAAUAUCUUGAAUAAUGUUUUUUGGAAACAGGUCAGAUUCUGAUGUUUAUGGCCAAGCAGCAUCUAACCUGGUUGCAGGGAGUAACUUAGAGGGAACAAUCCAACAAAUUCUUGAUAUGGGUGGAGGGACCUGGGACAGGGACACUGUUGUCCGUGCCCUUCGUGCUGCUUAUAAUAACCCAGAGAGAGCUGUUGAAUAUUUGUAUUCUGUAAGUACCUUCCUUGUAUCCUGAAGAAUAUGUGCUUUCUUGUGUGCUUCUAGUUGCUGUUGUUUUAUUGUUCUCCUUAAUGUAGAUGUGGGAAUAGCCUAAUAAGCUGAGCUCAUCCUGAGAGGCUUUCUUGGAAUGAUGAUUAUGCCAUUUUGUCAUUUUUAAUUUGAUGUAAUUCUAUUUGAAACUUGGCCUUCUCCUUGCCAUGAUUUAUUGGUCGAUGAUGAUUGAAUUUCUGCACACCCAAAAUAUGCCUCCUCUGUUACAUUUUGCUGGUCCUUUUUGACUUGGUGGAUAAGUGUGCGGGAAUUGUGAAUUUUCCUUUGAUGAUAACUCUUUUGAGUUACCCUCCCCCCCAAAAAAAAUGUGAACAGGAAUGUUGGAUUUCUGGUGGGUUUUAAUGAUAUUGUAUACUGCACCCUUAUCUUUCUUUUCUUCUUUUUUAUUUUAAAAUAUAAAAGCAUGCAUUUUGUUUCCUAAGCUGCUUCUUGUCAUCGUGUCAUAAAUAAUUGUUGCAAAUGCUAGGGCAUCCCUGAGCAAGCUGAAGCUCCACCUGUGGCCCGUGCUCCUGUAGUUGGGCAAGCCACUAACCCUGCAGCACAACCUCAACAGCCUGCGCAAACGGCAGCUAUUCCUACAAGUGGACCAAAUGCAAAUCCAUUAGACCUCUUUCCCCAGGUAAAAUUGUCAUGCGGUAGACAUUUGAUAAAUUUGAUGAUGGGCAAAUUAACCAGUGACUUGAUGGCCUUUUAUUGAUACAGGGCCUUCCCAACAUGGGUGCAAGUGGUGCUGGGGCUGGCACUCUUGAUUUUUUACGGAACAGUCCACAGGUCUCUCCCUUUCUUAUUUGGUUGUAUAUGGGCUUGUUAGCAUCACUGUUAUGUAAAUACCUACCUAGAACUACACUCAGUUUGCAAUUCUCUUUUCAGUUUCAAGCUUUGCAAGCAAUGGUGCAAGCCAACCCACAAAUAUUGCAGGUAAUUCUCUGGUCCCUUGUUUCCCCCCUUCAAUCCUAGUGUGUUUUUCAUUGUCUUUUCAUCUUUUGUUUUUUUACCUUUCACCUUUCCUCAAUGUCUCCCUUUUCUAUAUUUUUGGCAGCCUAUGCUUCAAGAGUUGGGGAAACAAAAUCCUAAUUUAAUGAGACUCAUUCAAGAGCAUCAGGGUGACUUUCUUCGCUUGAUCAAUGAACCUGCUGAAGGUGGAGAGGGGUGAGUCUUGUUUUCAGUUGCUCAUUUCUUGAACUUAUAUACUGUGUAUGUAUGUCAAGUGUUUAUUUGACAUCUCCUGUUGUAAAGAAACAUUUUGGGGCAAUUAGCUGAGGCGAUGCCGCAAGCUGUGCAAGUCACACCUGAGGAACGUGAAGCCAUAGAACGGGUAUGUCAUCUUUUACAUAAGGGAUGACUUGGAUGUGGUCACUAUUCUCUGUAAUCAUGGAUUAUUUAGCUAUCUUCCCCACUGCCUUUGGAAAUGCCUUCAUUUCCUUGGCCUUUAUCUGAGUUAUGAGAUAUGCAUCACAUCUUUCUUUUAGGCAAUGGUUUUACUUUUAGAUGAUUAAUAAACUCAAAUUUGUUGCAUUGAUCUUGUGCCUACAAAUACUUUUGUAGUCUCCUUAUUCUCUUGUGCAUUCCCCAUCUCUUGCAGCUUGAAGCAAUGGGGUUUGACCGUGCAACUGUGCUCCAAGUUUUCUUUGCGUGCAACAAGAAUGAGGAACUUGCAGCCAACUACCUUUUAGAUCAUAUGCAUGAUUUUCAGGAUUGAGCUGGUAAAAGAAAUGGCUAGGGAAAGGACAAUAUCAUUUUCUCUUUCGUUCUUUGGGUCCAUUGUCAUUCAUGUCCCCCCUCCCCUCCCCCCAAAACUCUA